rnacentral:lncRNA from 1 species
ACUAAAAAAUACAUAUUUGUUAAGAAUUUUGGAAUUAUUUUUCUUUGAGUAAUGAUACUAUAAUUCAAAAGAUGCUUUUUGAAUUACAUCAGAUUUUUUAUUCAAAACGAACAAAGGGAUUAUAUUUUACAAUUUAGGAAAUAACUAUAUUUAAUAGAGAUAAUUUUGGGACAUAGCAUUUACUUUCUAUUGAGAAAUUUUCAUAUAUUAGACAAAAGUUACAAAAGUUUACUUAAAAAAAAAAGAAAAUUAGACUUCACACGUUUAACAAAUAACCCGAAGGAAUAUGAAUAAGAAUUAUUAAAACAAAAAUGAUAAAUAAGGAUAAUUUUAAAAUUAAAUGCAAUUAAUGGAGAGAUGAUGACUGAUAAGAAAAAUUGGGGGGCAAAAAUUAAAAUAUCAACCUACUACUAAUGGUUGAUAGUCAUGACCCACUCAAUUUGAGAAUUAAAAGGACAAAAGCCAUGUGUUGAAAACUAUGGUGUUCAUGGGGAAAUUCAGCUAAAAGUCUAAAAAGCAGUGAAAUUAUAUCUUCAACAAUUCCUGCACUGCAAUAAUUUUCGAGGGACGUGGUGCAUGUAACACAAAUUCACACUAGACUAUUGAACCAUACCUUAUUAGAUGAAGGGUAUAAUGUACCGAAAGCACGUAUUUAGCAUUGUAAAAUUAGUGGCCUUCUUUUCCUGCAGAUUUAAUCUACUUGGCGUGUUAUUUUUUUUCCUUUUUUUUUUUUUUGAAUGCCAGUGUUUCAUUCAUGAUAUUUCUGAAUUUUUAUCCAUGAUGUUUUAACUUUAUUUUUAUUGAUUCAUGAUAUAUUUUAAAAAAUAUAUUUGUAUAUUGAUUUGUCAUUUUCACUCAACUCAUUUGUGUUGUGAAUCCAUUCGCUUAAACAUGUAAGGAAAACUGACUUGUAAGUAAACUAAUAUUAGUUUAUGAAGUGAAUAUUGCGCCGAAAUAUAUGGAAAAUACAAACAGAUAGUAAUCAAUUAAUUUUGCGCGAGAGAGGCAGAUAGUUAAUUACCGUGUGCAAAUGGUGGAUAUUGGUUUGAAUAUUAUCAUUAUCAGUGUGAAUGAGGAGGGAUCGAACUUUAUGCCAAUUGAGGCAACAAGUGAGGACGCCACUCAUGCGAAACAACAUCAUCAAAGCAGAGCUAAACUAAGAGGGAAACCUAGGAUGGCCGAUUUGAUGAUGACGCUUCUUCAUCAUUCCCCAUUAUUUUACUUCUCGCUACGUACGUAGUACUCUAUGCUACCUUUCUUGCUUCCUUCAAGCGUACAUUUAAUUGAACACAAUGGUAUUAGUAGUAUUAUAGGAAUUUAUAUUUACAAAACUGACUUGUAAGGAAAGAGCUUGUCUUCUAGUACAACUUUAAAUUUACCAAGAUUAAGAAUUUUCCUUCUGAAGAAAAGUAAUUUCUAUAGCAGCUAUUACCAUCUUCAUCCCAACGGUAAGCAGCUCCAUACUAAGGAAAGAGUGAAAUAGGUGUGCUUUACUUAUAGAAGCCCGUUCCUGUCCAGAGUGAUUAGUAAGUUGUUUCACCAUGACCCCCAUUAUGGUUGACUGGAAAAAGAAAAAAAAAAUAUUUGCCCAACACAGAAGUAGCACCCAAAAAGUCCUACUUAAGCGGCUUCAUACCCUGCACAAAUUGGAAAGUUUUUUAAAAUUUUCAUGUUCCAAAUGAAGAUUGCCCAUUAAAAAAUUACACACAUAAUGUAUGUAAAGCAAUUAAAACAGAAAAACAAGGAUAACCCAGAAACAAUCCAGCCAUCAAUAACAUAAAACUUUUGUAAAUCUGGUAAAGUGAAUGAGAAGCAGAACAUACAUUUCACUUAAUAAUGAAAGAUACAUCUUUUAAUCAGUUUUUGCUCUUGCUUUGUUCUUGUACUUCCUUCCAAUAACAAUUCAUAAUGCAGGUAGGUAUCUUAAAAAAUUAUAUCAUACAUUUCUCUUAUCAAAAGAAAUACAGUUGAUUAAUUGAACUGUAUUUCUAAAAAAAUUAUAUCAUACAAACAUGUCGUUUAUUAAUUGAACUGUGGUCAUUAAUACACGCACACACAUGUAUGCUUAUGGUACAGUCACACCGAAUCUGUUAUAGACUAAUUAAAUACAAUAUGUUUUAACUAAAGUUGGUUAGUGUGAGUGGUUCGGCACUCUCACUCCUUAAGAGAGGUCAGGGGUUCAAGCCCCACUCUCAUAUGGAGUCACCACUUUGGCCAGCACUGUACCCUUUACGGGCCGAUCUGGUGAGAGCGGGGAUUAGUCUGGGUUGUGGUACGCACUUAAAGGUACCUCCCACAGUUGGGGCCCACUCAGAACCACCUCGUGGUUUAGACCCAAAAAAAAAAUACAAUAUGUUUCUUUUACUAGCUAUAUGAUUGGAUCUUCAUUAAUGACCAAAGAAGAAAUUAUAACAACCCAUGCAAGUAUUAGUACUUCUCCUAAAGCUAAUAUUAAUGAAACAAAACAACUUCAAAUAUUUCCCAAUAAGCCACUAGAUCAGGAUCAAGUCCACAAUUCAAUAUUCCACAUGAUUUUUCCCUUUCAUCUGCAAUUACUAGAUUAAAAGGUAAUAAAAUUAAUUACUUAACAUGCAUUCUAAAUCAUCCUUAAAUUUGAUAUGUUGGGUUCCAGCUGUAGGCAAAACUUUGGAUAAGUACAGAAAAAAAAUUAAAAAUGAGUAAAAAUGAAAAAGGAAGAAAAUAUCGAUCAAACCUCUUGUUCAAACGGAGGGGCGGCGCUAGUUUUUGAUCUAACAGUAUGCUAAGUUUUUUUUCCUUAAUACAAGUACAAAUGAUAUCAUACAUUUCUAAAAAAAUUAUAUCGGUCUUAAUUCAUAAUGCAGGUAGGUAUUCUAUGAUCCAUCUAAUCUUUCUACACUUUUUUUUUGUACUAGGAAAGCGAUAUUUAUAACGUAUCUCAAAAGAAAUACAGUCAAUUCUUACUGUUUUAGGAUAUAGUAUUUAAUUUGCAUUCAAACAUUUUCUCAUUUCAGAAAAGGUCCUAAAAAUUUAUUUUUUUAAUUCAAAUAUAAAUAUUAAAAAAAUCAGAUAUAAGUAUAAAAAAUAAUUUUUUUUAAAAAAAAGUUAGAUUUCAUAUGUUUAACAAUCAAUGCUAAGGAAUAUGAAAAAGAGCUAUUACAAACCAAAAAAAAAAAGACUAAUUUUGAAACUAAAUACAAUUAAUUGAGAGAUGAGGACCAUAAGAAAAAUUGAGGAUAAAAACUAAAAUAUCAGCCCCUCGUUGCUGAUAGUUAUGAGUAUGAAAGCACAGAAGCCGUGUGUUGAAAAGUCUGGUGUUCAUGUGGAAUUUUCCGUUAGAAGUCUACAAAGCAGUGGAAUUAAUCGAUCAUUGUGGAGUGGACGGUGGUUGGAGUUGGACAAUGAGAUGAAAUUGAAAAAUUAUCACGGAACUUGAAGGAAGGUUCAUGGCAUCGAUUUUUUCUAUAGAGUCGCUCACAUUUGGUUCAAUAACUGUUUUCAUCCGAAUCAAAAUCUCUCUCUAAUCAAUUCAACUAUUUCUGUUGAUUAUGGCUUCUUCUUCUUGAAACAACAAGAAGUAUGAUGUUUUUGUUAAUUUCAGAGGAGAGGACACCCGAGACAACUUUACUAGCCAUCUCUAUUCUGCUCUGAGUCGACAAAAUAUCCAAACUUUCAUUGAGUCACUGGUGAAUGCAAUUGAAGCAUCAGACAUUUCUGUUAUCGUCUUCUCAGAAGGGUAUGCAUCUUCCAGAUGGUGUCUCGAUGAACUUGUAAAGAUCCUCGAGUGCAAGAAAGAGUAUGCACAGAUUGUGAUUCCGGUUUUCUAUCGGGUUGAUCCAUCAGACGCGAGAAACCAAAUAGGGCAUUUUGGGAUUUCAUUUUCGAAGCUUGAAGAAAGAUUUAAGGAGAAUANNNNNNNNNNNNNNNNNNNNNNNNNNNNNNNNNNNNNNNNNNNNNNNNNNNNNNNNNNNNNNNNNNNNNNNNNNNNNNNNNNNNNNNNNNNNNNNNNNNNNNNNNNNNNNNNNNNNNNNNNNNNNNNNNNCACGCAGCACUCUUCGUUAAAAUUUCUGGCUACUAAACUACAAGUUUAAAAAUUUUUAAGCAUCAAAUUCUAGACUUCCUGACUUCCCCACUUUUGUGCUCUCAUAAUUAUAAAAUAAUUGUGACAGAAUUAAUAAUAAAAGCUCGAGAAUUUUACAAUAUAUAUGUAACAAAAUUAGGGGUGGUCUGUCGUUUUUUAAGCAAUUUCAACCUCCCACUCAGAUACCACCAUUAGAAAAAAAAAACUCACGCAUAUUCCUGUAAUUUAAGAGUUCUUAAUUUACUGGGAGAUUGUAGACCAGUGGUGGUAUAUAUUAAUUUCAAUAGAAAAAUUGGCAAUCUCCCUUAUUUCAUAUUUAAUGCAAAUUCCUCCUAUUAAUUUUAUGUAUUUGCCAGGCGUGAGUCGGAACUUAUAAAUGAAGUUGUUAAUCACAUUUUGAAGAGAUUGGAUGAAGUGUUUCGGCCGUGUGAUAACAAAAACCAACUGGUUGGAGUGGAAUCAACAGUUGAGGAAAUUGAAUCUCUAUUAGGUGUUGAGUCGAAAGGUGUUUACGCUUUAGGGAUUUGGGGCAUUGGUGGUAUAGGCAAAACAACAAUCGCUAGAGCUAUUUUCGACAAAAUCUCGGGUGAUUUUGACGAUUCUUGCUUCCUCGAAAAUGUUAGAGAAGAGUCACAAAUACCAGGAGGAUUAGCUUGCUUACGACAAAAACUUCUUUCAAAUUUAUUGAAGGAUAAAAAUGUGAUGCCUUAUAUUGACCUCAAUUUUAAUUAGAAGGCUCAGUCGCAUGAAGGUUCUGAUUGUUUUUGAUGAUGUGACUUGCUUCAACCAAUUGGAAUCUUUAAUCGAAAGUCUUGAUUGGCUUACGCCUGUGACUCGAAUCAUAAUAACCACCAGAAAUAAACAAGUGCUUAGAAAUUGGGGGGUGAGGAAAAUAUAUGAGAUGCAGGCAUUAGAAUAUCAUCACGCUCUUGAGCUUUUUAGUCGACAUGCCUUCAAACGAAACCAUCCUGAUGUUGGUUAUGAGGAACUUUCAAGCAAAGUAAUGAAAUAUGCUCAAGGUGUUCCUUUAGCUCUUAAAGUUUUGGGUUGCUUUCUACAUAAAAGGGAAAAAGAAGUCUGGGAAAGUGCAAUAGAUAAAUUGCAAAGAAUCCUCCAUCCAAGUAUUCUUGAGGUAUUAAAAAUAAGUUAUGAUAGUUUGGACGAUAAGGAGAAAAAUAUUUUCCUUGAUGUUGCUUGUUUCUUUCAAGGUGAGCAUGUAGAUCCAGUAAUGAAAUUCUUUAAUGCAAGUGGCUUCUACCCAGAAAUAGGAAUGAGUGUUCUUGUUGAUAAAUCUCUCAUUGCUAUCGAUUCAUACAUCAAGAUAACAAUGCAUGAUUUACUACAAGAAUUGGGUAGGGAAAUUGUUCGACAAGAAUCAAUUGAUCCUGGAAACCGCAGUCGGCUGUGGCAUCAUGAGGAUAUCUAUGAAGUUCUUACGUAUAAUACGGUAAGCAGUUUGUUUAAAAACUUGAUGUGAAUAUAUUUACAUACGCUCACACUCAUGAGUCUUAGAAAUGCGAUGACAGUUUGUAUAACCGUUUGUAAGCAUAAUUGAUAUGUAUUACUUGUGUUAUUAUGUUUCUUCGUGCAUUUGCAAUCAAGAGUUUAACUGCCUAGCAGUAACUAUAAACAUGAAUUAUUGAAAUUCGAUAUGUGUAAUGACAGAGAGCCCCACUCCAAUCCCACAUAAACUCCAUGCAAGAAUAAAUAAAAAUUGAAUUAACAACUAUAAAUUAAAUGAAGUUCAAUUCAUUAGUGGAAUAUAUAUAUCAUCUUUCAUUUGAUUUUAACUUUAUUGGUUUUGUAUUUACUUUUAGGGGACAGAAAAAAUUGAGGGCAUCUGUUUGGAUAUGUCAAAAGUAAAAGAGAUUCGUCUAAAUCCUAAUACUUACACAAAGAUUCCUAAAUUGAGAUUUUUAAAGUUCUAUAGUUCAUCAAUCAAUGGAGAGAACAAAUGUAAGAUAUCUUAUUUGCAAGAUUCCGGAUUUGCUGAAGUGAAAUAUCUUCACUGGUAUGGAUAUCCGUUGAAGUCAUUGCCUUCAAACCUUAGUGCAGAGAAACUUGUGUUACUUGAAGUGCCUCAUAGUGACAUUGAACAACUUUGGGAUUGUGUGAAGGUAUGGAUAUCUUAUUAUAUAUGUGCAAUCUCUCAAUAACAACAUUAAAUUAUUAUACGUGGUAACGAUUUUUUGUUGGCCUCUUUUUUGACUGAGCAGCAUUAUAGUAAUUUAAACCAGAUAAUCCAUGCUGCCUGCAAUAAGCUAAUUGCUAAAACUCCAAAUCCCACGUUGAUGUCACGUCUGAACAAGCUAGUUUUCUUGAAUCUAAGAGGUAGCAAAAGCCUGAAAAGUCUUCCAUCUGGAAUAUUUAGCUUGGAAUUUCUUACCAAACUUGAUCUUUCGGGCUGCUCAAAAUUGAAAAGGCUUCCAGAGAUCUCAUCAGGUAAUAUAAGCUGGUUUUUUUUAAGGGGGACUGCAAUUGAAGAACUGCCCUCAUCAAUUGAGCGUCUACCUAGGCUCGGGUACUUGGACCUUUCAGAUUGUAAAAGGCUUAAGAGUCUCCCAAGCAGCCUAUGUAAGUCGAAAUCUCUUGGAGUUCUUAUUCUCUGUUGUUGCUCAAAUCUUCAAAGAUUGCCGGAAUAUCUUGGCCAAUUUUCCUCGCCAAUAGUAUUGAAUCUAGCGAAAACCAAUAUUGAGAGAAUACCAAAAAGCAUUACCCAACUUGUCAUGUUGCGAUACGUCCUCUUAAGUUAUAGUGAGAGGCUUCAAUCCUCACCAAAGCCUUCAUUCAUUGAACGAGGUCGCCAGGCACUGCAACCAUUUUUAAGUUUGUUCUCUAAGUUAUGAAUCUUAUAGGCAGUUUUUUUUUUUACCGGACUAAUAAUUUUAAAUUGUAAGGUGAUUCUACUACAGGAAUUGUUCAAGAUACCCUGAGCCAUAUGCUAGAUGUACUUUUGCAAGAAAUAUGGGUAAAUGUGUGUCUUUAACUCUCUCUACUUACAAUUUCUACAAUCGUUUUUUUUUGGGCAUUUAAAAUUAUGUUUUUUCGGUACAGAGAGGUUUUUCCAUGGGCAAAGUUCAUAUAGUACUACCUGGGAAUGAAAUUCCAAAGUGGUUUAAGUUUCAAAGUGUGGGAUCUUUUAUAAACUUGGAGAUGCCACCAGAUUUCUUCAAUAAUAGCAUAAUGCAGGGCAUUGCAUUUAGUGCUAUUUUAGCAUUUUCUAACCGUCAUGUAGAUUGUGGCACAUGGUUUUCAUUUUCUUUUGAGCUCAAAGUGAAAACCACUAAAGAUUGUGGUCCGCAUGACACACAGUUAUUUCAGAGCAGAGUUAAUUAUAUAGAAUCAGAUCACUUACAUUUCGGGUGCUAUCUGUUCUGUGGAAAGGAUUUUAAUGGUUUUUGGAAAUGCAAUUGCAUUCCUGAGGCAGUCCACUUUAAUGUUUUUCCGCCUUUGAAGUGUGAGUGCUGCGGGGUGAAAAAAUGUGGGAUCCAUUUAUUUUGCUUCCCAGAUUCUACGAAUUCAAUAGAAGAUCCAAGCACAUGUUUCAACUAUAACGAAGAAGACUGAGAUUUUCAUGAAUGUAUUUUUAUUUCUUUCUUUUUUCUAAUCACUUUUAAUAAUAGGAGAAAAUUCAAAAUCAGUUCUUGGAGCAAAACAUUCAUGUAAUAACUUUUGAGGGAUCUAGUGAAUGUAACACAAAUUCACACUAGAGUAUUGAACUUUCCCCUGUUAGAUGAUGAGUAUAACGUAUGAGAGGCACAUGAUGUGUAUUGUAAAAUUAAAAUUAUUGGCCUUCUGUCCUACAUUUUGCGCACAUAUAUCUACCAAUGAAAAUAUGCCACUUAUUGUCAUGACCCAGCCUAGAUCGUCAUGACCUAACCUAGACCUAAAAAGAUAUUGUCAGCUUUGAACCUUAACAAGGCAUGCACGGUUUUGUUUCUAGAGUGCCUAUACACCUUAAAACGUGUCUUGCCAAUUUAGGUGUGGAUUACCCCUUAUAGACCUAGCAUCUCUCUUGUGUUUUGUCAAUGUGGGAUUUGCCUAAGUGUUAUAUACACUCCUAUUUAGGGACUCAAUAUCCUUACUGAGGUUUUGUCUCAUCAUUGUUCAAGAGGACACGUGAAGCUGCAUAGAUACCAUCUAUCAUGAUCCAACCCAGAUUGUGAUUUCGGUUUUCUAUCAGUUGAUCCACCAGACAUGAGAAACCCAACUUGGGAAUUUGGGGAUUCAUNNNNNNNNNNNNNNNNNNNNNNNNNNNNNNNNNNNNNNNNNNNNNNNNNNNNNNNNNNNNNNNNNNNNNNNNNNNNNNNNNNNNNNNNNNNNNNNNNNNNUAGAUGAUGAGUAUAACGUAUGAGAGGCACAUGAUGUGUAUUGUAAAAUUAAAAUUAUUGGCCUUCUGUCCUACAUUUUGCGCACAUAUAUCUACCAAUGAAAAUAUGCCACUUAUUGUCAUGACCCAGCCUAGAUCGUCAUGACCUAACCUAGACCUAAAAAGAUAUUGUCAGCUUUGAACCUUAACAAGGCAUGCACGGUUUUGUUUCUAGAGUGCCUAUACACCCUAAAACGCGUCUUGCCAAUUUAGGUGUGGAUUACCUCUUAUAGACCCAGCAUCUCUCUUGUGUUUUGUCAAUGUGGGAUUUGCCUAAGGUGUUAUAUACACUCCCGUUUAGGGACUCAAUAUCCUUACUGAGGUUUGCCUCAACAUUGUUCAAGAGGACACGUGAAGCUGCAUAGAUACCAUCUGUCAUGAUCCAACCCAGAUUGUGAUUUCGGUUUUCUAUCAGGUUGAUCCACCAGGCAUGAGAAACCAAACUGGGAAUUUUGGGGAUUCAUUUUUGAAGCUUGAAGAAAGAUUAAAGGAGAAUACUGAGAAGCUGCAGAGUUAGAGGAAUGCUUUGAAGGAAUUUAUGCCCAGUUUGUCUGGCUUUCAUUCUCUUAACAUCACAUGAAAAGUUACCUUUAAUUUCUCAUACUAAUAUUUAACAAUAAAUAAAAUUCACGCAGCACUCUUAGUUAAAUUUUCGUGUGCUAAACUACAAUUUAAAAAUUUUUUAAGCAUCAAAUUCUAGACUUCCUAACUUCCCCACUUUUAUGCUCUCACAUAAAAUAAUUUUGACCGAAUUCAUAAUAAAAACACGAGAAUUUUACUUCACAUAUCUAACAAAAUUAGUGGUGAUCUGUAAUUUUUUAAGCAAUUUCAACCUCUCACUCAUUUACCACCAUUCAAAAAAAAAAACACAUAUUCCUGUAAUUUAAGAGUUAUCAAUUUAUUGGGAGAUUGUAGACUUAUAGUGGUAUAUAUUAAUUUCAACAAAAAAAAUGACAAUCUUUCUUAUUUCUUAUUUAAUGCAAAUUCCUCCUAUUAAUUUCAAGUUCCAUUUCUUAUUAACAGCUAAACUUUGAGACUAAUUGAUAAUUAGGCAUGAAAUUCCCAAUGAAACAUGCAACCCUAAUUCGAAUUGAACAUCAUCAAUACCCAAUUUAAAAAAUCAAUCAAACAAACAAGUAACAAAAGGCAGCAGCUCAAUUGAACGCACCAACACCGGCACCAGUCUGGCGGGCAAGUUUUGUCCAUUCAGUGUGGAAAGACCCAGGGCGAUCAAUCCUCUCAUAAGUAUGCGCCCCAAACAAGUCUCUCUGAGCCUGAACAAGAUUCCCUGGUAGCCUCGCCCUCCUGUAAGUAUCAAAAUAAGAAAGAGUAGCACACAUCCCAGGAGUGCUAAUCCCAGCAGAAAUAGCCAACCCCACAACUCUCCUCCACGCUGCCUACCUCUGCACCAUCUCCCUCGCAAACUCUGGAUCCAUGACCAAGCUAGCCAAAUUUGGAUUCCUCUAAUAAGCCUUAUUAAUCCUAUCCAAAAAAUAGCUCUAAUAAUACACCCGUCUUUCCAAAUCCUCGCCAAUUCGCCAAAAUUCAAAUUCCAUCCUUUCUCAUUACUCUUACUCCUCAACAGAUUCAUCCCUUGCACAUAACUACAAAUCUUGGAAGCAUACAGAGCUUGCCUCACAUCAUCAAUCAAUCUCUUCUUGUCAACAUGUACUCCCACAUUUUGUACCUCAUCAUUCAAUCCCGCCUCUUUCAAGACCUUGGCGGCUUCCUCUCUUUCCUCUUUCAAACCGCUCAAGUACCUACAAUCCAAUGACCCAGCAAUGGUCAGGGUAGCGACUAAGAGCUCAGCAGCUUGCUGAAUGGUCCAUUUGCCAGUCCCUUUCAUUCCGGUCUUAUCUAAAAUCUUAUCAACAAGCUCACCCUCACCAUAUUCAUCCUUCACCUUGAAAAUAUCAGCAGUGAUCUGAACCAUGAAACUCUCCAACUCGCCCUUAUUCCACUCAUCAAAUAUCUCUGCUAACUCGGCAUUGCUGACUCCACCCACGUGCUUCAAAACAUAGUAAGCUUCGGAAAUCAACUGCAUGUCUCCGUAUUCAAUUCCGUUAUGAACCAUCUUAACGAAAUUACUAGACCCGCCUUCACCAAUGUAAGUAACACAAGGGCCAUCAUCAACUUGGGCGGCAACUUUUUGCAAAACACCUCGAAUAUUAUUAUAGGCCUCGAAGGAGCCACCGGGCAUCAAAGAGGGACCAUGACGCGCCUUCCUCACCCCCGGAGACCCCCAUGCCGAGAUAAGGCAAACCCUUCUAACUGGCUUCAUGGAUACGGCGCUCGGUAUUGAGGUACCACUCGUUGCUCCGAGAGGGCGGUGAUGGUCUGGGUCAACGGGGGAGUCGGCUUUGACUAAGAUGAUGACGGAUCUAGGGCGUUGGAUGGAGAGGACGAAGUCCCUGCGAGUGUAAUGGUCGUUCAAAGGGAGUUGACCCUCGCGGUGGGCCCGAUCUAGGGUUUCGUCGACUUUAGAAGUAGUGCGGUUUUAGACGGAGAUUGGGAAGCCUUUUUCAGCGAUGUUUAGGGCGAGGUUCUGGCCCAUGACGGCUAGGCCAGCAAGACUGAUACGUGAGAGAGCAGAGGCUUGUUGAAAAGUCAAAGAAUGGCUUACAAAUUUCAAAAGACAAAGUUGGUGGGCUUGCCAAUUUCAAAAGACAAGGUUGGUGGCACGAUUUUGUUGAAGUUGCAUGGAGGAAAAAUGUGAUGGUUUUCUAGAAGCCAAUUGAUUUUUUCAAAAUUGUUGAUUUUGUUGCCCACCAAAUUAAUUUUCCAUUCUAAAUUCAAUAUGUCAAUUUGGCAAGUUGUAGCCAAAUUGAAAGUGGUAGGUGAGCUACGGUUCCUAUAAAUAGAAGGGCCAUUGUUCAUUUGUUAGCAUCCCAAAAUUGUUAAGCUUAUAAGUUUCUAAGCUUUUGAGAGAAGUGAUAGAAGUGUGUCUAGGGAAUUUAUCUUUCCUGUAGAGUGUGAGAGUACUCGGUAUAUUUGGGUUUCUAGGAAGUGAGAUUCGUUACUCAAAUAUUUGUACUCUAUUAAUUAUUAAAUAAAUAAUUAUUCUUUCUUACCUCCGUGGAUGUAGGUUUAAUUACUGAACCACGUAAUUCUUGUGUCUUUUAUUUUUCUAUAAUUAUUUGGUGCGCUUGAUUCCGCAUUCCGCACACAAUAAGUGGUAUCAGAGCCGACGGUUCGUACUUGGGGGGAUACGAUACUAUUCACAUAUACGGUACUAUUCACGUAUACAGUACUAUUCACGAAUACAGUGGAGUCGGCCAUUUAUAUUUGGGAGACAGUCUAUUGUAAGUAGUGUGUAUUUUUGCAUGUCUAGGAAAGUUCUGUCAACAGAGGCAAUAAGAGUCUAAGGAUUCUGGUUUUUAAUUGGGAUCGAGUUCCCGUCCAGUCUCCUGGGAACUUUCAUGGUGCAUUUAUUCAUGCGAAAUUAACAUCAUAGUCCACAGAGGCUGUUUUUCAAGUGAAAAUAGUUCGUUAAGAAAAUGGUAGAAGGUGAAACUUCCAAAAUUGGGGAGAAAUCUACCAAGACUAUUUCAAAAGACACUUCAGGUGGGAGGCGAGAUUUGUCAAAUCGCCAUUCAGCACCUGUUAUAAGAGGCCAGAAAAUUGAUGCUGAAAAGUUUGAUGGGAAAAUCAACUUCAGCAUGUGGAGGCGUGAAGUUAUGAAUGCCCUUAUUCAAAUCGAUCUCGAUGUUGUUCUGAAAAAUAAAAGACACUUGUGUGAUGAAGAAAUUUAGGAUCGUAUGAACGAGAAAGCUUGUGGUCAAAUCAGAUCUUGUUUGACCAAGGAGGUGAAAUACUUGGUGAAAGAUAAGGAGUGUGCUGUGACUUUGUGGCGUACAUUGGAGAAGAAGUACCUACUGAAAAGUCCUGAAAAUCGUCUUCAUACAAUGAGCUAAGUAUAUGGCUUUCAAAUGAAGCAUGGGGUGUCAAUGCAUGAUCAUGUCUCAAGAUUUGAAAAGUUACUUGAUGAUUUGAAGAAUCUUGAUGAAGAUAUUAAGGAUGAAGUCAAGGCUAUGAUUCUGUUACACUCACUACCAGAGGAAUAUAGCCAUUUUGUGACUACCUUGAUAUAUGGGAAGAGUGUGAUCAUCUUUAAAUAUGUUUGCACAACAUUGACUAACUUGGAGAUUCAGAAUAAUAAUAAAAAUUCUGAAUGAGCAUAUUUUGAAGCUUUGGUGAGCUGAGAUUGGGUGAUCGAGAAAAAGAAAACCCGUGGUGGAAUGAAUUCUUGAUCUAAAUCGAAAAGCAAAAAUUAACCUCGAGAGAAUGUGCCUUUUGUCAUGAAAAUGGCCUUGGGAGGAAAGAUNNNNNNNNNNNNNNNNNNNNNNNNNNNNNNNNNNNNNNNNNNNNNNNNNNNNNNNNNNNNNNNNNNNNNNNNNNNNNNNNNNNNNNNNNNNNNNNNNNNNACGAAUUACUAGACCCGCCUUCACAAUGUAAGUACACAGGGCAUCAUCACUGGGCGCACUUUUGCAAACACAAUAUUAUUAUAGGCCUCGAAGGAGCCACCGGGCAUCAAAGAGGGACCAUGACGCGCCUUCCUCACCCCCGGAGACCCCCAUGCCGAGAUAAGGCAAACCCUUCUAACUGGCUUCAUGGAUACGGCGCUCGGUAUUGAGGUACCACUCGUUGCUCCGAGAGGGCGGUGAUGGUCUGGUCAACGGGGGAGUCGGCUUUGACUAAGAUGAUGACGGAUCUAGGGCGUUGGAUGGAGAGGACGAAGUCCCUGCGAGUGUAAUGGUCGUUCAAAGGGAGUUGACCCUCGCGGUGGGCCCGAUCUAGGGUUUCGUCGACUUUAGAAGUAGUGCGGUUUUAGACGGAGAUUGGGAAGCCUUUUUCAGCGAUGUUUAGGGCGAGGUUCUGGCCCAUGACGGCUAGGCCAGCAAGACUGAUACGUGAGAGAGCAGAGGCUUGUUGAAAAGUCAAAGAAUGGCUUACAAAUUUCAAAAGACAAAGUUGGUGGGCUUGCCAAUUUCAAAAGACAAGGUUGGUGGCACGAUUUUGUUGAAGUUGCAUGGAGGAAAAAUGUGAUGGUUUUCUAGAAGCCAAUUGAUUUUUUCAAAAUUGUUGAUUUUGUUGCCCACCAAAUUAAUUUUCCAUUCUAAAUUCAAUAUGUCAAUUUGGCAAGUUGUAGCCAAAUUGAAAGUGGUAGGUGAGCUACGGUUCCUAUAAAUAGAAGGGCCAUUGUUCAUUUGUUAGCAUCCCAAAAUUGUUAAGCUUAUAAGUUUCUAAGCUUUUGAGAGAAGUGAUAGAAGUGUGUCUAGGGAAUUUAUCUUUCCUGUAGAGUGUGAGAGUACUCGGUAUAUUUGGGUUUCUAGGAAGUGAGAUUCGUUACUCAAAUAUUUGUACUCUAUUAAUUAUUAAAUAAAUAAUUAUUCUUUCUUACCUCCGUGGAUGUAGGUUUAAUUACUGAACCACGUAAUUCUUGUGUCUUUUAUUUUUCUAUAAUUAUUUGGUGCGCUUGAUUCCGCAUUCCGCACACAAUAAGUGGUAUCAGAGCCGACGGUUCGUACUUGGGGGGAUACGAUACUAUUCACAUAUACGGUACUAUUCACGUAUACAGUACUAUUCACGAAUACAGUGGAGUCGGCCAUUUAUAUUUGGGAGACAGUCUAUUGUAAGUAGUGUGUAUUUUUGCAUGUCUAGGAAAGUUCUGUCAACAGAGGCAAUAAGAGUCUAAGGAUUCUGGUUUUUAAUUGGGAUCGAGUUCCCGUCCAGUCUCCUGGGAACUUUCAUGGUGCAUUUAUUCAUGCGAAAUUAACAUCAUAGUCCACAGAGGCUGUUUUUCAAGUGAAAAUAGUUCGUUAAGAAAAUGGUAGAAGGUGAAACUUCCAAAAUUGGGGAGAAAUCUACCAAGACUAUUUCAAAAGACACUUCAGGUGGGAGGCGAGAUUUGUCAAAUCGCCAUUCAGCACCUGUUAUAAGAGGCCAGAAAAUUGAUGCUGAAAAGUUUGAUGGGAAAAUCAACUUCAGCAUGUGGAGGCGUGAAGUUAUGAAUGCCCUUAUUCAAAUCGAUCUCGAUGUUGUUCUGAAAAAUAAAAGACACUUGUGUGAUGAAGAAAUUUAGGAUCGUAUGAACGAGAAAGCUUGUGGUCAAAUCAGAUCUUGUUUGACCAAGGAGGUGAAAUACUUGGUGAAAGAUAAGGAGUGUGCUGUGACUUUGUGGCGUACAUUGGAGAAGAAGUACCUACUGAAAAGUCCUGAAAAUCGUCUUCAUACAAUGAGCUAAGUAUAUGGCUUUCAAAUGAAGCAUGGGGUGUCAAUGCAUGAUCAUGUCUCAAGAUUUGAAAAGUUACUUGAUGAUUUGAAGAAUCUUGAUGAAGAUAUUAAGGAUGAAGUCAAGGCUAUGAUUCUGUUACACUCACUACCAGAGGAAUAUAGCCAUUUUGUGACUACCUUGAUAUAUGGGAAGAGUGUGAUCAUCUUUAAAUAUGUUUGCACAACAUUGACUAACUUGGAGAUUCAGAAUAAUAAUAAAAAUUCUGAAUGAGCAUAGUUUGAAGCUUUGGUGAGCUGAGAUUGGGUGAUCGAGAAAAAGAAAACGCGUGGUGGAAUGAAUUCUUGAUCUAAAUCGAGAAGCAGAAAUAUAGCUCGAGAUGAGUGUGCCUUUUGUCAUGAAAAAUGCCAUUGGAGGAAAGAUUGUCCAAAGGCUCAAAAGAGAGAUGGGAAGAAACCAGCAGCAGCAAACAUGGCACGGAAAGAUGAAGACUCUGAUUAUUCACUAAGUAUUACUCCUACAGCAUACGUGACUAGUUCGAGUGAGUGGAUACUUGAUACUGGAGCAACCUAUCAUUUGUGUCCUAUUAAGGAAUGGUUUAUGGAUUUUCAUAAUCUGAAAUCCGGUGCAGUUGUGAUGAGGAAUGAUCAACCUUGUCGCACAAUGGGAAUAAGAACAAUUCGGCUCAAAAUGUUUGAUGGAAUGGUCAGAGAACUCAAAGAGGUUAGAUUUGUUCCAGCUUAAAGAAAAAUCUAAUUUCUGUGGGUGCUUUGGAAGCUAAAAUCUAUAAGGUUACUAUUGAAGAUGGUAUAAUGAAGUUUACACAUAGGGCUAUGGUGAUUUUGCAAGGGGUUCGGCGUCACAAUCUGUACUAUUUAAAGGGAGGUAUAACUGAUGAAGCAAAUAUUGUUGAGGCGUACAGUGACACCACCAAGCUAUGGCAUGUACAACUGGGACAUGUUGGCGAGAAGUCUUUGCAAACUCUGAUGAGGCAUGGACUCUUAAAAGGUACCAAAACCUGUAAAUUAAAUUUCUGUGAGCAUUGUGUAGUAGGCAAGAAAACAAGGGUCAAGUUUGGUACAACUAAUCACGAUAUUCGUGAGAUCCUUGAAUAUGUUCAUAGUGAUGUAUGGGGACCAACCAAGACUGCAUCAAUUAGUGGAAGCCAUUAUUUUGUUACAUUUGUUGAUGAUUUCUCUAGACGUGUGUGGGUGUACACCAUGCGAGCAAAGGAUGAGGUUCUAGAGAUUUUCGUGAAAUGGAAGAAAUUGGUGGAGACUCAAACUGGAAGAAAGAUCAAAGUAUUACGAUUUGAUAAUGGGGGUGAAUAUACUUCUAAUCCAUUCUUGCAAGUAUACCAGAACGAGGGUAUUAAAAGAUAUUUCACGGUGAGACAUACUCCGCAACAGAACGGUGUGGUUGAGCGUAUGAAUCGUACUUUACUGGAGAAGGUACGGUGUAUGUUAUCUAAUGCUGGUUUAGAUAAAAAGUUUUGAGCUGAAGCUGUGAGCUACGCAAGUCACUUGAUAAACUGGUUGCCUUUUGCUGCAAUUGGAAGUAAAACUCCUAUGGAAAUGUGGUCUGGAAAACAUGCACAAGACUAUGAUUCCCACUCCUAUGGAAAUGUGGUUUGGAAAACAUGCACAAGACUAUGAUUCCCUUCGUAUAUUCGGGUGUCCAGCUUAUUAUCAUGUCAAAGAUGGUAAACUGGAUCCUCGUGCUAGAAAAGCUAUCUUUGUGGGAUUCUGUGUAGCAGAGAUGUCACAUUUGAUGAAGCUUCAAUGAUGAAAGCUUCAAGUUUUCAGCAGGUGGAAAACAAGACCAAAAAGGUAUUGCAUCGGGUGGAGUUUGAUGCAACUCCAUAUGUACCGGUUAGUUCUACAUCAAAGAAUGGUUCAACUAUGGAGGUGACAUCUAGAGUUGAAGAAGAUGUUGUUUCUUCUGAUGUCCCACAAAAUAAAGAAACAAUUGAUGAUGUAGAUAAUGAUGAUUUUAUAGCAACAAGGAGGCCAAGAAGAGAGAUAAAGAAACCCGGAUGGCUUACUAAAGAUAUGGUGGUAGCCUAUGCACUUCCAGUUAUUGAUGAUGACAUCCCCAACACUUUCGGUGAAGCAUUAUGCAGCAGUGAAAGUGAUUAGUGGAAGUUAGCCAUGGAGGAAGAGAUGAAAUCUCUCCAUCAAAACCAGACUUGGGAACUUGUAAAGUUACCAAAAGGGAAAAGGGCUAUUGGCAAUAAAUGGGUCUACACAAAAAAGUAAGGAUCUCCGAAUCAAUCAACUCCUCGAUAUAAGGCAAGGCUCGUGGCAAAAGGUUUUGCUCAAAAGGAAGGUAUUGACUAUAAUGAAAUUUUCUCUCCAGUUGUAAAACAUACUUCCAUUUAUAUAAUACUUGCCUUAGUUGCAGAAUAUGAGUUAGAGUUGGCUCAGUUGGAUGUUAAGACGGUGUUCUUACAUGGAGAUUUGGAGGAGGAAAUCUAUAUGAUUCAGCCUUGUGGUUUCAGAGUUGCUGAAAAGGAGAAUCAUGUGUGUAGGUUGAUUAAAUCUUUGUACGGAUUGAAGCAAUCGCCAAGGCAGUGGUACAAAAGAUUUGAUCAAUUUAUACAAGGGCAGAAAUUCACCAGAAGUGAACACGAUAAUUGUGUUUACUUUAGAAGACUACCAGAUGGAGCUUUCAUCUAUUUGUUACUCUAUGUCGACGAUAUGCUUAUAGCUUCGAAGAAUAGAGAUGAGAUCGAAAGAUUAAAGAAGCAGCUGACUUCUGAGUUCGAGAUGAAAGACUUGGGUGAUGCACAAAGAAUACUUGGGAUGGAGAUUCAUAAAGACAAGAAGAAUGAGAGCGUAUGGUUGACUCAAAAGUCUUAUUUGAAGAAAGUGCUAGAAAGAUUCGAUAUGGAUGACAAAACUAAACCGGUAUGUACACCUCUAGCUCCUCAUUUCAAAUUAAGAUCUUCUUCAUGUCCUAAAUCUCAAGAAGAGGGCGAUUACAUGGCUCGUGUUCUAUAUGCUAGUGUUGUGGGUAGUCUUAUGUAUGCUAUGGUAUGCACAAGGCCCGAUAUAUCUCAAGCAGUGAGCAUGGUUAGUAGAUACAUGCACAAUCCGGGUAAAAAUCAAUGGCUUGCGGUAAAGUGGAUUCUCCGAUAUCUGUAUGGGACAGUUGGUGCUGGGUUAUUGUUCAAGAAGGAUUGUGGUCAACAAUGUGUUGGGUAUUGUGAUUCUGAUUUCGCUGGAGACCUUGACAAGCGAAGAUCAACAACGGGCUACGUAUUCACAUUGGGUGGAGAUCCGGUUAGCUCGAUUCUACAAUCGACAAUUGCUUUGUCCACUACGAAAGCAGAGUAUAUGGCAGCAACUGAAGCUGUAAAAGAAGCAGUUGAAAGGCUUGUUAGGUGAUUUGGGAGUAAUCCAGGAGAACAUUGCGGUCUGUCUUUUGUGAUAAUCAAAUUGCAAAGAAUCAAACAUAUCACGCUCGGACGAAGCACAUAGAUGUGAAAUAUCAUUAUGUGAGGGAGAUUAUCGAAGGUGGUGGUGAUGUGUUGUUGAAGAAGAUCGAUACAAAAGAUAAUCCAUCAGAUAUAUUGACGAAGGUAGUUUCUAGAGUUAAGUUUCAACAUUGCUUGAAACUAAUUCAAACCCUUCGAUUGUGUUAAGUUAUGUCCUUCGGGAAUUAUAAACUACGGUUGGCUUGAUCCCAAAUUUUAGGUACGUAGGCAGUCAUAACGAUGCAGCCGCCUUGGAUCUUUUUUAGGAUCAUUUGGGGAUGAAGUAUUAUGGUCCGUUAAUGUCGGCUCAGAUUUGGAAACUUUUCACCGAGGUGGAGAAUUGUUGAAAAGUCAAAAAAUGGCUUGCAAAUUUCAAAAGACAAAGUUGGUGGGCUUGCCAAUUUCAAAAGGCAAGGUUGGUGGCACGAUUUUGUUGAAGUUGCAUGGAGGAAAAAUGUGAUGGUUUUCUAGAAGCCAAUUGAUGUUUUCAAAAUUGUUGAUUUUGUUGCCCACCAAAUUGAUUUUCCAUUCUAAAUUCAAUCUGUCAGUUCUGCAAGUUGUAGCAAAAUUGAAAGUGGUAGGUGAGCUACGGUUCCUAUAAAUAGAAGGACCAUUGUUCAUUUGUUAGCAUCCCAAAAUUGUUAAGCUUAUAAGUUUCUAAGUUUUUUAGAGAAGUAAGAGAAGUGUGUCUGGGGAAUUUAUCUUUCCUGCAGAGUGUGAGAGUACUGGGUAUAUUUGGGUUUCUGGGAAGUGAGAUUCGUUACUCAAAUAUUUGUACUCUAUUAAUUGUUAAAUAAACAAUUAUUCUUUCUUGCCUCCGUGGAUGUAGGUUUAAUUACCGAACCACGUAAUUCUUGUGUCCUUUAUUUUUUUAUAAUUAUUUGGUGCGCUUGAUUCCGCAUUCCGUACACAACAAGGCUUCCAUUGAAAUCGUCGAGGAAGCGAAAGGCCACUGACUUAACGACAAAAGCAAACGAAUAAGAGCGUGCAAUGAUUCCGAGGGACAAUACAAAUUGAGCUAACUGCCCAUACGACGGCGUACGCAGCUUUUUUUUUACUUUUUUAUUAUUUUUAUUUUCAUUGACUGCUAAACGCAGCCCCCUAUUAAUUUGAAGUUACUGCUGCUAAUUUUAUGUAUUAGCUAGGCGUGAGUCGGAACUUAUAAAUGAAGUUGUUAAUCACAUUUUGAAGAGAUUGGAUGAAGUGUUUCGGCCGCGUGAUAACAAAAACCAACUGGUUGGAGUGGAAUCAACAGUUGAGGAAAUUGAAUCUUUAUUAGGUGUUGAGUCGAAAGGUGUUUACGCUUUAGGGAUUUGGGGUAUUGGUGGUAUAGGCAAAACAACAAUCGCUAGAGCUAUUUUCGACAAAAUCUCGGGUGAUUUUGAUGGUUCUUGCUUCCUCGAAAAUGUUAGAGAAGAGUCACAAAUACCAGGAGGAUUAGCUUGCUUACGACAAAAACUUCUUUCAAAUUUAUUGAAGGAUAAAAAUGUAAUGCCUUAUAUUGACCUCAAUUUUAGAAGGCUCGGUCACAUGAAGGUUUUGAUUGUUUUUGAUGAUGUGACUUGCUUCAGCCAAUUGGAAUCUUUAAUGGGAAGCCUUGAUUGGUUGACGCCAGUGAGUCGAAUCAUAUUAACCACUAGAAAUAAACAAGUGCUUAGAAAUUGGGGGGUGAGUAAAAUAUAUGAGAUGGAGGCAUUAGAAUAUCAUCAUGCUCUUGAGCUUUUUAGUUGAGAUGCCUUCAAACGAAACCAUCCUGAUGUUGGUUACGAGAAACUUUCAAGCAACGUAAUGAAAUAUGCUCAAGGAGUUCCUUUGGCUCUUAAAGUUUUAGGUUGCUUUCUAUAUAAAAGGGAAAAAGAAGUCUGGGAAAGUGCAAUAAGUAAAUUGCAAAGAAUCCUCGAUCCAAGUAUCCUAGAGGUAUUAAAAAUAAGUUACGAUAGUUUGGAGCAUAAGGAGAAAAAUAUUUUCCUUGAUGUUGCUUGUUUCUUUCAAGGUGAGCAUGUAGAUCCAGUAAUGAAAUUCUUUAAUGCAAGUGGCUUCUACCCAGAAAUAGGAAUAAGUGUUCUUGUUGAUAAACCUCUCAUUGCUAUUUGUUCAUUCAAGAAGAUAAGAAUGCGUGAUUUACUACAAGAGUUGGGUGGGGAAAUUGUUCGAAAAGAAUCAAUUAAUCCUGGAAAUCGUAAGCAGUUUGUGGUGGAUUAUAAUUUUGAAUUAUUCUAGCAUUUAAAAUUUGAUAUGAAUAUAUUAAUAUAUGCUCAAACUGAUGAGUCUUAGAAUUAAUUGAAGUGCCAAUGAUUAGAAAAAACAAUAGUGGUUAGAUGGUGUAGCAAUAAAUUAUAAAUGCGAUGACAACUUGCAUAAUCGUUUGCAAGCAUAAUUGAUAUGUCAAUUUGUAUCGUAAACAUACAUAAUUUUUAUGUUAAAUAUUACGUUAAUUGUUUUGUUUCUUUGUGCAUUUGCAAUUAAGUGUUUAACUACCUAGCAAUAACUAUAAACAUGAAUUAUUGAAAUUUGAUAUGUGUAAUGACAGAGAGCCCCACUCCAAUCCCACAUAAAUUACAUACAAGAGUAAAUAAAAAUUGAAUUAAUAACUAAGCUACCUUUAAUUGUGAAUUUGUGACAAAAUUGCCCUAAAAAUUUGUCUUGGUGGGGUUGAAGUGCGACUCAUUAGUGGAAUAUACAUAUCUUUCAUUUGAUUUUAACUUUAUUAUUUUAUUUAUUUUUAGGGGACAAAAAAUUGAGGACAUCUGUUUGGAUAUGUCAAAAGUAAUAGAGAUCUGUUUAAAUACCAGUACUUUCACAAAGAUGCCUAAAUUGAGAUUUUUAAAGUUCUAUAGUUCAUCAUUCAAUGGAGAGAACAAAUGUAAGAUAUCUUAUUUGCAAGAUCCCGGAUUUGCUGGAGUGAAAUUGAACAACUUUGGGAUAGUGUGAAGGUAUGCAUAGCUUAUUAUAUAUGUGCAAUGUGAAGGUAUGCAUAUCUUAUUAUAUAUGUGCAAUCUUUCAAUAACAACAUUAAAUUAUUAUACGUGGUAACGAUUUUGUCUUGGCCUCUUUUCUGACACAGUUAUUUCAUAGCAGAGUUAAUUAUGUAGAAUCAUAUCACUUACAUUUGGGGUACUAUCUGUUCUGUGAAGAGGAUUUUAAUGGUUUUUGGAAAUGCAAUUGCAUUCCUGAGGCAGUCCACUUUAAUGUUUUUCCACCUUUGGAGUGCCAGUGCUGCGGGGUGAAAAAAUGUGGGAUCCAUUUACUUCACACCCAGAUUCUACGAAUUCAUGAAUAGAAGAUCCAAGCACGUGUUUCGUGAAUGUAUUUUCACUAUUUUCCUUUUUCUAAUGACAAUUAAUAAUAGGAGAAAAUGCCAAAAUCAGUUCUUAGAACAAAACAUCCAUGUAAUAACUUUCGAGGAUCUGGUGCAGGUAACACAAAUUCACACUAAAGAACUUUACCUUUGUUGAUGCCAAAAUUUGGAUAAGUUGGUCAGAUCUCAGAUCCCUGCAUCAUCAUUAAAUUUGUUUGGUGGGAAGCUGAUGAUUAGUUAGCACCAUGAGCAGAUUUUCUAUGGGCAGAUGUUUUGUGAGCAGACAACCCAUGAGCAGAUAAUCCAUGAGCAGACGAUCCAUGAGCAGAGAACCCAUGAGCAAACAAUCCAUGAGCAGACAACCCAUGAGCAGACAAUCCAUGAGCAGAGAACCCAUGAACAGACAAUCCAUGAGCAGAUAACCCAUGAGCAGACAAUCCAUGAGUAGACAACCCAUGAGCAGACGAUCUAUGAGCAGAUAACCUGUGAGCUUGUGAACACAACCAAUAGUCAGGAGGUGCCGGAAGUUUUUCCGGCGAGAACCCUCCGACGCUCAAGUCAGCGAUUCGGGUCUUACUUGGAAAAACCCAUACCACAAUUCAUGUGGCUUAAUUAUGAUUGCUUUAAACAAAAAGCUUUUAAGUAAAUUUAAAGGAAAAGAAUUUAAAAUAAUCAAUCUUAAAGAAAUCACAGGCGAAAGAGAAAUUUCUCAGUGGUAGAGAGAGAAAAAGGUCCAAUGGGUUCAGUUGCUUAGAGAAAGAGAGAGAGAGAGAGAGAGCUAGAAGAAUCCCCCCCUUUCCUUCCCCUUCCUAGGGUUUUUAUAGGAAACUAUAGCGGUUUUUAUCCACUCUCCUAGAAUUAUCAAGAAAACUACUAAAUUUCAGCCCACUAAUAAUAUGGUCCCUAAUAUUUCGGAGAAACUGUUUUGACUGAAUCUUGCUUCCUGGUAACUUCCUGGUCGAGGUGACCAAUAACAUCCUGGUCGAGGAAAUGUGCUCGAAGUCACCACAUAUUAUUCUGGUCGAGGUGACCAAUAAUAUCCUGGUCGAGACGAUAUGCUCGAGGUGACCAAUAACCUCUUGGUCGAGGUGAUGUGCUCGAGGUCACCACAUAUUACUCUAGUCGAGGUGACCAAUAACAUCCUGGUCGAGGAAAUGUGCUCGAGGUCACCACAUAUUAUUCUGGUCGAGGUGACCAAUAACAUCCUGGUCGAGAUGAUCUGCUCGAGGUGACCAAUAACAUCUUGGUCGAGGAAAUGUGCUCGAGGUCACCACAUAUUAUUCUGGUCGAGGUGACCAAUAGCAUCCUGGUCUAGAUGAUCUGCUCGAGGUGACCGAUAACCUCCUGGUCGAGGUGAUGUGCUCGAGGUCACCACAUAUUACUCUAGUCUAGGUGACCAACAACAUCCUAAUCGAGGUGAUGUGCUCGAGGUCACCAAACAACAUCCUGGUCGAGGUGAUCUGCUCAACCAUUUGCUCGCUUUUACUUUGGAGGAGAGCACGAUAAUGUAUAAGCAAACACCUUUAUCUUGGUCACCCUAUUUCAUUCCCUAAACAACCUUAUUAAGCGAAGAGUAUAAUGUAUGAAAAGCACAUGAUGUAUGUUGUAAAAUUAAAAUUAUCGGCUUUCUUUUUCUUACUUUGUGCACAAAACAAUUCUUAUUCAAAACAAUCCACGUAGUAAAACUCACAAGCUAGGCGAUGUCGGAUAUUAUAGGAUGCACAACAAUUCUUAUUGGCGGAGCUAUGUUGUGGGCCCAUCUCUCUAUCAAUGAAAACUUGCCACUCACCCCAUUGCGCACCAUAUCAACUCUCAUCUAUAUAAUGCAAUCACAUUUGAAAAUUUUCUACUUUCUUAAAUCUAAAUUGUUGUAUAUGGGAAAGUUUCAUCAUGUGGAAACAAAAGCCAUAAAGAGGGAACAGUUAAAACACCAUCAAAUCUUAUACAUUUUAAAAAAUAUAUUUGAAUACUGAUUAAAAAAAAAAAGGAUAGGUGUCGUUUUCACUCUACUUGUUUGUGUUGUGAAUCCAUUCGCUUAAACAAUUAUGCACUUUUUCAAGUAUAUGUACCAAUUCCAUAUUUGGAAUGGUGGAUUUGAUUCCACAGUUGACGUGGUAUCGUCUAUGGCUGGAAUUUAUAUUUAUAAAACUAACUUGUAAGGAAAGGAUUGAAGAUGCCAGUGAACUUAUAUUUCGAUUUAGAUUAUUGUAUCUUUUCCAUGUAUAAAAUUGGAUCCUAUCAUUCACAUAUCGUUAACAUGAGCAAUUUAGAUUACUAAAUAAUUGUUCUUUAUUAUUGUGCUGAAUUUGACUUUUUAUUGAAUAAUUUGAUAUAUGCCUUGAAUCAAUUUGGAGCUUCUACAACUUGUCAGGGAUCAAUUUCUCCUACAUUCUUUUCGGCGCCAAAAGAUAUUCAAGUGGUUGAAUAAGAUUUGAUAUAUACAAUAUAAAUACAAGAGCUGUUUGUCUUUUUACAAUAGGAAUAAUAUAUAAUGCUCAUCAAAACUUGCUGAUGAGAAAGUAAAUUCCUUAGAAAUUAAAUGUUUCAGCCAACCAAGGAAGCAGCUUUUCGUGGACCAACUCGGGUCUGUCGUCAUGGGGACAAUGUCCUACUCCUUCCAACACAAUUAACUUCACAUAUGAAAGUUGAGAAGGCAGAGAUUAGAAGUAUCUACCAACAGGUCCAUCGAGGGGGGUGAAUGGAUCCUCAUCACCCUAUAAAACUAGUACAGGUAUAGAGAUUGAUGGCAUCAAUUGCACGGGGUUCGGCCCUGGUGGGCCUGUCACAAUCGAAACAAAUGCAUCAAGUGCCCCUUCAUCAUUGGCGGGUUCUCGAAUGAUCAGCAAUUUUUAGGUCAAUUUAUGAAUUCUGAGUAGCCAUUUUUGUAAGAGGUUAAAAUGGCACGUAAGUGGAGAAUAUUAAUACCUCUACCAGUGUUUCAUCCACAGAUUUCUUAUUUGCAUAGAUGGACAGUAAAAUGUUCCUCAGUGUUUCCCUACAGCACCAAUAUAUACACAUCAUAGAAUUUUUUUAAUUUUUGACUCUAGUGUUUUAGGAUAACGAAAAAUGGACUGAAUAGAGAGAAGAGAAAAUACCUUCGUUUCACAUCUUCAAAGAUUGCAUCUGCAAUUGGCCUUUGCUUCAACAAGAAAUCAAUGAACCAAAGCAAUGGCAACCGUGGCUUGAUUCUCCAAUCAUCAACAAUUGCCUUGUUGUUCAUGCUGCCACCAGCACAAUUCAACAAAACAAGCCCUCGAACAAGUGUUUGACUGGAUUUUUAUGGUAGAAAAUAUAGCAGGUUUUCGCAAACCAUAUUAACCGAAAAGGCUAAUCAGGUGCAAGUGUUUCUUUGCAAGCAUGAUGACGAAUAUUUGAUGCCCAAGAGGACUAUUGGCUUCUGAGCAGCUUCAUCCAAGAAAUCCAAUAUUAGCUGUAUCGGUGAGUCUCACUCAAGUUAGCAAGGAAAAUAACUAAAGGUCAAGCAAUUGAUGAUAUAAGUACAGGAGUUGUGAAAUAACUUAUAUGAAAUAAUUGCUUUUCCUUAACAUUUGUGGAUGCCUACAAUUAUAUGUUCACAGAAGUAAAUAGAAUAAAAAAAAUAGUACAUUAUCAACAAGAAAAGUUCACUACAAGAUGAAAAUUAUUUUUUGUCAUUUGUGCCUUGUGUACUAAAUUUUGUGUUAUUUUAUUACAUAUAAUAUUAUUCUACGGAAUGCGGGAAGAAAAAAUGUGGGGUCGAUUUAUUGUAAGCCCCAAAUUCAACCGAAGAUCCAAACGCAAGUUUCAAACUAAACCAACCCAAAGUUUGGGCAACAGUCCAACGCAACCCAACUAAAAUCAUUUUAAUUUGAUUUUAGUUUGGGUUGACUUAGGCUUUGAUAAAUUCACAUGUUGUAUACCAUAAUUAAAAUAAAGUAUUAUUUGUCAUACAUUUUAUACAUUUUAUACAUUAAACACAUAAACGUCCUCUCUGGAAUCUUUGUGGGCAACGUAUACGUGGUAUCUGUUGGAGAAUUAAUAAAUAAAACACACAAAAAACACACUAUUUUAUUUCUUCAACAAUACUCCUCACCAAUUACAACUCUUAUUUUUCACUCUCUACACCUUAGAGAUUUUGCUACUUCACUUCAUGUUUAAACCAAAGGGGAGAGGGGAUAUUUAUACAUAAAACAAACUAAUCACAACCAUUUAUUUAUUCAACUAAUAAACAAAUCAUCACCAUCCAUUAAAACAUACCACUCACUUACUUCACCAAUCAUACCUAACACACCUAACACAAAUAAUUCAAACCUCACCAACCAUAUCUACUCAUGGAACCUUCCAUGAGUUGGGCUUGAUUUAUUCAUCUUGGAUCAAGUUUAUGAUCCAACACCUCCCCUUAAACUUGAUCCUGUGACACCAAGCAAACUUCUGAAUCUUACAAAGUCUUCUUGCUUGAGUGGCUUAGUGAAGAUAUCAGCUGCUUGAUCUUGUGAUUUUACAUACUUGAUUUGCACUUCUUUUCUUGCAAUAUACUCUCUUAUGAAAUGAUAGCGAGUGUCUAUGUGUUUACUUCGAUCAUGAAAGACUGGAUUCUUGGAUAGGGCAAUUGCUGAUUUGUUAUCAACACAAAUCUCGAUUGGCUCUUCUUGUGCCAAACUCAACUUCUUCAGCAAAUUUUUGAGCCAAAUUACAUGACAAACACUUGAUGUGGCAACUACAUAUUCAGCUUCACAGGUGGAUAGCGUGACAAUUGGUUGCUUCUUUGACAUCCAUGUGAAAGCAGUAUCUCCCAUAAAGAACACAAAUCCUGUGGUGCUCUUUCGAUCAUCUACAUCUCCACCUCAAUCGCUAUCGCUAUAUCCAACAAGCUUGUAGUCAUUAGAAAAUGAGUAUAGCAAGCCGAAAUUAGUUGUACCUUUGAUGUAGCGAAGGAUUCUUUUUGCAGCUUUAAAAUGGGUGGUCUUUGGAUUCUCCAUGUAUCAGCUCACAAGUCCAACAACAUAAAGGAUAUCUGGUCUUGUGCAUGUCAAAUAACGUAGGCUUCCAACCAAAAUUUUAAAGAAUGUUGGAUCUAUAUCUUCGCCUUCAUCGUGUUUAGAUAACUUGACUCCGCAUUCCACUGGCGUGCUUAUAGGCUUACAAUCAUUCAUCUUGAACUUCUUGAGAAUCUCAUUUGCAUAGCUUUCUUGGGAGAUAACUAUGCCUUCUUCAUUUUGCUUGACUUCAAUGCCGAGGUAACAUGCCAUCAGUCCGAUGUCAGUCAUCUCGAACUCUUUGAUCAUCACUCUCUUGAACUCUUCAAACAAGCUUGGAUUACUUCCAGUGAAGAUGAUAUCAUCCACAUACAGGCACACAAUCAAAAUAUCUCCAUCUUUUUCUUUGACGUAGAGAGCAUGUUCAUAUUGGCAUUUGGUGAAGCCUUUCUCUUGAAAAUACUUGUCAAUUCUGUUAUUCCAUGCCCUUGGUGCUUGCUUUAACCCGUAAAGAGCUUUCUUCAAUCUCAAAACUUUUUCUUCGUGUCCUUUCACCACAUAGCCUAAUUGUUGUUCAAUGUAAACUUCUUCUUCAAGGAAUCCAUUCAAGAAAGCAGACUUCACAUCCAUUUGAAAAAUCUUCCAUUUGUUUUGAGCAGCCAAAGAAAUAAUAAGUCUAAUGGUUUCAAGUCGAGCUACAUGAGCAAAUACCUCAUCAUAGUCUAUGCCAGCCUUUUGACUAUAGCCUUUUGCAACUAGUCUCGCCUUGUGCCUUUCAAUUUCUCCCUUCGCAUUUCUUUUUGUUUUAUACACCCAUUUGACACCGAUCGCCUUGUGACCUUUUGGAAGAGUAGUAAGCUCCCAAGUAUCAUUCUUCACAAUGGCUUUGAUUUCUUCAUCCAUUGCAAUUCUCCACUUCUCAUCUAGUGCAGCUUCUUAAAAGUUGACUAGCUCACAAUCAGCAAAGAGACAAAAGAGAGUGAGAUUAUCAUGUCUCUCAAUUACCUCAUAGAGAUCUUGAAGACUCCUUGUAUGUUCUUCGAUUCUUUCAUUUAAGAAAGACGGCGGUGAAUCUCUGCAUGUGGUUGGUGCUAGUGAGAUAGGUGGAGUGGCAGGCUCUUGUUGUUCGUCUACUUGUUUUAUCUGUGUAUGAUCAUCUUCUUCAAUGGGAAAGAAGUUGAAGUCAUCCACACUAGAGCCAAAAUCUCAUUCUCCUUCUUCAUAAAAAAUUACAUUUCGACUGAUCACGAUCUUCCCGUUGUUUGGAUUGUAAAGUUUGUAUCCUUUGGAGUUGUUGUCGUAGCCGAUGAAGAUGAACUUCUCACUUUUGUCAUCCAGCUUGGCUCUACUUUCGUUUGGUACAUAUACAUGAGCAAUGCUUCCGAAAACUCUUAGAUGGGUGAUGCCGGGUUUUCUUCCACUCCAAGCUUCUUGUGGCGUCUUGCCCUACACGCUUCUUGUUGGAGAUCGAUUGGAUAAGUAGACUGAAAUUCUUUAAGUAGCCUCUUACUCUUAAGCAUGCUUCUUGCCAUGUCGAGGAUGGUUCUGUUAUUCCUUUCUGCAACACCAUUUUGUUGGGGGGAUCUUGGAACUGUCAAAGGGCGUCGAAUUCCAUUUGCUUCACAAAACUCUAAAAAUUCUUUGGAAGUGAACUCUCCACCUCGAUCAGAUCUCAUGGCUUUAAUCUGGUAUCCACUUUCUUUUUCAACUGCAGCUUUAAACUUCUUGAAAGCUUCGAAGACUUCUGAUUUUUGCUUCAAAAAAUACACCCAAGUUUUUCUUGAAAAAUCAUCUAUGAAGAGAAGGAAGUAGUUACUUUUACCAAGGGAGUUUAGCUUGAAUGGACCGCACACAUCAGUAUGAAUGAGCUCGAGUGGCUUCUGAGCUCUUGAGUUUGACUCAUUUAGAAAGCUCUUUCUAAACUGCUUGCCAAGGAAAUAUCCUUCACAAAGUUGAUCAGGGUGAUUGAUGUAUGGUAAGCCUUUCAUCAUGUUCUUCUUAGAUAGCAGCUCCAGUCCUCCAAAGUUGAGAUGCCCAUAUCGAAGAUGCCAAGUCCAUGAUUGAUCUUUGUGACAGGCUUUGAGACAUUUUGCAACAUCAUUUUGAAUAUUUAAAGGAAACAUUCUAUUCUUUGACAUUCUCACCUUUGUAAUUAGAUUUCCUUUGUCAUCUCUUAGGAAAAGACUAUAAUCUUUUAAGUGAAUAUCAUAGCCUUUUUCUAAAAGUUGACCUAAACUAAGAAUGUUGCUUUUCAUAUUGGGCACAUUGUAAACAUUUGAAAUUAUUUGGUGGCUACCAUCUUUUGUACGAAAAAGAAUGUUACCUCUACCCUUCACUGGUACUUUUGAAUCAUCUCUAAAAGCGACACUGACAUUCACAGAUUCACUUAGUUGCACGAACAUGCUUUUAUUUCCACUCAUAUGAUUGCUAGCACCUGUGUCAAGAUACCAUGUAUUUUCUUGACCUCCACUUGUGUCAUUGCGUGCUAGUAAAAGUGUGCCAUCUUCACUAUUUUUUUCUUCAGCAUAGUUCACUCUCUCUUCAAUUCUGGUGCUUGGAGCUCUGCAUUCUGAAGUAUAAUGCCCAAACUUUUGACAAUUAUAGCACUGUACUUGGGAUUUGUCAUACCUCGAUCUUGGAUUGCCUCUGCCUCGUCCUCUGGUUGAGCUUUCUCCUUUGGCAUAAUUGGAGUUGUUGUUGUUGAAAUUCCAACCUCGUCCAUGACCACGACCUCUACCUCGGACAUAGUGCCUUCUCUCGUUGUCGGAGCUUUCUUCUCUUUUCUUUGGAUUGACUUCCAUCUUGAGAAGUUUUUCUUCGAUUCCUUGCUUCUUUUUUUGUUUUUCUUCAUAGGCUUGCAACCUUCCUUGAAGUUGCUCGAUCGUCAUAUCCUCCAGAUCUCUUGUUUCUUCAAUUGUCACAAUAAUAUGGUCAAACUUCGAGUCUACUGAUCGAAGUAUCUUUUCAAUGAUCCUUACCUCUUUUAACUCCUCGCCAUUUCUUUUUAAUUCAUUAGAAACGGUCACAACCCGAGUAAAGUAGUCAGAAAUUGACUCCGACGCCUUCAUGUGUAAGGACUUAAAUUCUCCUCGUAAUGUUUGGAGACGAACCUUCUUAACUUGCUCCGCUCCUUUGUAAGAGGUCUCUAGUUUCUCCCAUGCUUCUUUUGAGGAGGUUGUACCAGCAAUCUUUUCAAAAGCAUCUUCAUCUAAUGAUUGAAAGAUGAGAUACUUUGCUUUCUUCUCUUUCUUCUUCAAAUCUUUUAAAUUCUCCUUCUCCACCGCAGUUAAAGUGGCUUCAUUUUCUGGCACAAUAAAGUCUUUCUCCACGACAUCCCAUACGUCAUGUGCGCCCAAUAGAGCCUUCAUUUUAAUACUCCAAUUGUCAAACUUACUUCCCUUUAAUUGUGGAACUUAAAAUGACAUCAUACCACCGUUUGCCAUAACUCACAAAUUGAGUGAGGAUUUAGAGAUUCUGAAAGCACAGAUGGAUCCAGCACGUCGAAAAACCUUGGGAAGGACUCGAGUCAACAUUCGGUCACGGUCAAUGGUCAACGUGGUCAACGGUCAAUGUCGGUCAACGGUCAACACCGGCUUGGUAGUCUUGGUUCGGUCCGGAUUGGUUCAGCUCGAGUUGGCUCGGUUCGACUUGAUUUGGUUCAGCUCGGCUCGGCUUGGUUCAGUUCGGCUCAGCUUGGUUCAACUCAGUGAGUCGACUCAACUUCAGGACAGAAAACUUCCGGCGGCAAGUGUGUGGGUGUUCGGUCUCGGAUCGGGAUGAUUUUUGCGGCGUCACGUUCCUCUCGUCGAGAUCUUCGAUUUGAUAUGCUAUAUGACUAUAUAUAGCAUCAAACACUAGCUCUGAUACCACUUUGUUGGAGAAUUAAUAAAUAAAACACACUAUUUUAUUUCUUCAACAACACUCCUCACCAAUUACAACUCUUAUUUUUCACUCUCUACACCUUAGAGAUUUUGCUACUUCACUUCAUAUUUAAACCAAAGGGGAGAGGGGGUAUUUAUACAUAAAACAAACUAAUCACAACCAUUCAUUUAUUCAACUAAUAAACAAAUCCUCACCAUCCAUUAAGACCUACCACUCACCUACUUCACCAACCAUACCUAACACACCUAACACAAAUAAUUCAAACCUCACCAACCAUACCUACUCAUGGAACCUUCCAUGAGUUGGCUUGAUUUAUUCAUCUUGGAUCAAGUUUAUGAUCCAACAGUAUCUUCACUAAUAAGUGUUGAAUCUUUUGCUUCAAAGGAAAGAAACUAAAAAGGUUUGUAAAUUUACCCCACUUCUAGAAAAUAAUUAUAAUAAAUUCACAAUAUUUUUAAAAAAUACAAAUUAAUAAAAAUUUUGUAUAGUUAAUCAAUUAAAUCCCUCUAUUACUUUUUUUAUUAGAUUUCUUUGAGUAUAUUUGAUCAUAAACUUGAUAUAAAUUUUAUUUUACUAUUUUAGUAUUAUGAUAUAAAAUGGCCAAAUUGUACAAUAAACAUGGGUUAUUGUAUCUAAUAAUUUAGGUAUUUAAUCAUGUGAACUAAUAUUUUUAAAUGAAAUUUAACUNNNNNNNNNNNNNNNNNNNNNNNNNNNNNNNNNNNNNNNNNNNNNNNNNNNNNNNNNNNNNNNNNNNNNNNNNNNNNNNNNNNNNNNNNNNNNNNNNNNNUGAGUAUUGUGCCAUAAAACAUAUGUCUGUUUAAAUUAAUGUUUUAUAAUCAUACUAAUAAAGUAGUAUUAGAAAUAAUGAAUUUGAUAUAAAAUUAGAAAAUAUUGAAGUUAAAGAAUUAGUUUUACCUUAUAAGGAUAAAAUAAUCAAUUUAGACUUAUGUCAAAUCAAUCCUUAUGAUCAAAUAUAAUAAAAAAAUUAAGUCACAAAAAGUAAAUUAAAAUAGAUUUGUUAAUUUGUUCUCCCAAAGUUCAAAAUGAGUAAAAGGAAUUAGGCUUCGUAGUUUAGGAAAUGAAUUUACUGAAUAGAAAUAUUUUUAGUAUAUAUUAUUUAUUUUUCAUUCAAACAUUUUCUGAUUUCAGCAAAGGUCACAAAAAUUUACUUAUUUAAUUUAAAUGUAAAUGUCUAAAAAUUAGAUAUAAGUUUAAAAAAAAAAAAAUUUUAAGUUAGACUUCAUAUGUUUAACAAUCAACCCUAAGGAUAAUGAAAAAGAGCUAUUAAAAAAAAAAGAAUAAUUUUGAAACUAAAUACAAUUAAUUGAGAGAUGAGGACGGAUAAGAUAAAUUCAGAGGUAAAAAUUAAAAUAUCACCCUACUUAUUGCUAGCAGUUAUGAGCAUUAAAGCACAGAAGCACGUGUGUUGAAAAGUAUGGUGUUCGUGUGGAAUUUUCAGCUAAAAGUCUACAAGGCAGUUGAAUUAAUCAAUCAUCGUGGAGUGCACGGUGCUUGGACAAUGAGAUGAAAUUGAAAAACUAUCACGGAACUUGAAGGAAGGUUCAUGGCAUCGAUUUAUUCUACAGAGUCAUGCACAUUUGGUUUAAUAAUUGUUUUCAUUCGAAUCAAAAUCUCUUUCUAAUCAAUUCAACUGUUUCUGUUGAUUAUGGCUUCUUCUUAUCGAAACAACAAGAAGUAUGAUGUUUUUGUUAGUUUCAGAGGAGAGGACACUCGAGACAACUUUACUAGCCAUCUCUAUUCUGCUCUGUGUCGACAAAAUAUCCAAAAUUUCAUUGAUGACCAACUUAACAGAGGAGACGAAAUUUCGGAGUCACUGUUGAAUGCAAUUGAAGCAUCAGCCAUUUCAGUUAUCGUCUUCUCAGAAGGGUAUGCAUCUUCCAGAUGGUGUAAGUAAGUACAAGAGAUAAAAGCAAAAGGUCAAGCAUCUCAUUUGAGCCUGUCACUAACAAAUGGUCAAUGAGCAAUGUCUAGCUAUGACUGAGCAACAGAAUCAAUAAACAGAGACAAAAAAUAAUAAUCAAGUCAUCUGUCAAAUGCUAGUCCAUGAAAAUCAUAUAUAGAUAUAGAGAGAGAGAGAGAGAGAGAGAGAAAUAUUCCAGUUAAGAAUUUUAAAGUGCGAGAAAGUACGGGAAACCUUUAAAACCAUUAAAACCGCAUGGUUUUAAAGGCUUAAAACUAUAGGCUUUUAAAGUCGUGUGGUUUUAAAGUUUUCCCAAACUUUCCCGUACUUUAAAAUCCCUGACCAGAAAACUACUCUAUAUAUAUAUGUAUGGAUAUGUAUAUGUAUGAUCAUUCAUUUCUCAAUCAACCACCAAAUUGAUGUCAACAAAGCCAUGAGGAUUGUCUCACAAGUCUUUCAUUUUCCCUCUCUUUAGGCCAGAGACCAGUAAACCAUUUGAAAUAUGGAUGUGCAAACCAGUAAAUAAAUCAUGAAGUUACAUACUAGUCUGCUUUCGCACUCAUUCGGAACUAUCAAUGAUACUUACUGCAGGUGUGGUGUAUACAUUAUACUAAAGUGAAGGCUAGAUCAAUAAGAAAUUCAAAAUGUUUAAUCACAUUUGGGGCUUGAUGAUGCCAAAGAAAGACCAUACCAAUUAUCAUGAACAGUAAAAUGUGAACAAGAACAAGCAUACAUUUAAGAAAGCAGAGAAGCAUCAUUAAAAUAAAGUAUUCUUCUUACUAUUCUAUGUUGUUGGAAAAUGGACCAAAAUAAAAAAGGAACCAUAUAUGGUUAACGUCACAACAAGAGUAUUUGUGCAUUUGUACAUCAUAGGAUAUUGGGAAGACAUCAGCAGAGAAGUGCAAAUAUUUUUUUUUUUUUUUGAGGAAAGGAACAGAGAAGUGCAAGUCAAAAAGGAGAAAAAAUGAAAAGAGAGAGAUCAAAAGGAAUGCAAUCUAAUUAAUUGUCUAAGGAGACUACUAUGCUACAUUUAGCCAUUGGUUGAAUAGGCAGCUUGUUUUAUAGUACAACUUUAAAUUUUCCAAGAUUUAGAAUUUUCCUACUGAAGAAAACUAAUUUCUAAAGCAACUAUUACCAUCUUCAUCCCAACGGUAAGCAGCUCCAUACUAAGGAAAGAGUGAAAUAAGUGUGCUUUACUUAUAGAAGCCCAUUCCUGUCCAGAGUGAUUAGUAAGUUGUUUCACCAUGACCCCCAUUAUUGUGACUGAAAAAAGAAAAAUAAAAGAAGAAAAUAUUAGCCGAACACAAUAGUAGCACCUAAGAAGUCCAACUUAAGAGGCUUCAUACCCUGCACAAAUCGGAAAGUUUUUAAAAAUUUCAUGUUUCAAAUGAAGAUUGUCCAUUAAAAAAUUACACACAUAAUGUAUGUAAAGCAAUUAAAACAAAAAAAAAAAAAGCCAGAAACAAUCCAACCAUCAAUAACAUAAAACUUUUGUAAUGCUGGUAAAGUGAAUGAGAAGCAGAACAUACAUUUCACGUAACAAUUCUCGUACUUCCUUCCAAUAACAAUUCAUAAUGCAGGUAGGUAUCUUGAAAAAUUAUAUCAUACAUUUCUCUUAUCAAUGGGGCAGACACUCAACAACAAAACACAGACUUAUUGUAUUUGUUGCACAAAUAAGAAAGAAGAUAACAAUUUUAAAUUAACCAACAAGUUUUAUCGUAAUACACACUAUCAACUAUGAAUUAGCAUACCUUUAGAAGUCCUGAACUUAUUCACAGCCAUUCAAAGAGAAUCAUCCGAUAGAAUCAACCGUGACAAUGCUCUAGUGCUUAACCUGCGAAAAAUAGAUCAAGCAGAGCUUGCAUUCCCUGAAGUUAACCACAAAAAAAAAACAUUACGAUGACUUAAAUUUUAACAGAAAACAAAAAAACAAAGCAAGAGUGAAUAGAGUAAUACCAAAGCAAAUUUAAGAUUGUUAGGUCCAAUUUGUGGUCCAACUUCUGAACGUCUAAUAGUAGACUUAGGAGGAAGGAUUUGAAGAAGCUGUGGCAGCGGCGAAUACGCAUCAAGAUUCACAUUGCUCCUCACAUUGAGGGCUAAAAGAGUGCGGAGGCGCGACAAAGCUGACGCGCGAUUCUUGUGCUGCGACCGGUCUUCGGCGGCAUGCGCUAUGACGUCGGUCGGUACUAUUAAGUUUUAUACGAAACUGUGAUAUUGUUUGGUUACUAAGAAAAUAGGAAGAAAGAAAACUUCUGUAAGCUGAGAAUUCUAUUAUUAUUGAUCUGAAUGAAUCUGGAGGUUACAAGCCCUUUUAUAUGUGCANNNNNNNNNNNNNNNNNNNNNNNNNNNNNNNNNNNNNNNNNNNNNNNNNNNNNNNNNNNNNNNNNNNNNNNNNNNNNNNNNNNNNNNNNNNNNNNNNNNNNNNNNNNNNNNNNNNNNNNNNNNNNNNNNNNNNNNNNNNNNNNNNNNNNNNNNNNNNNNNNNNNNNNNNNNNNNNNNNNNNNNNNNNNNNNNNNNNNNNNNNNNNNNNNNNNNNNNNNNNNNNNNNNNNNNNNNNNNNNNNNNNNNNNNNNNNNNNNNNNNNNNNNNNNNNNNNNNNNNNNNNNNNNNNNNNNNNNNNNNNNNNNNNNNNNNNNNNNNNNNNNNNNNNNNNNNNNNNNNNNNNNNNNNNNNNNNNNNNNNNNNNNNNNNNNNNNNNNNNNNNNNNNNNNNNNNNNNNNNNNNNNNNNNNNNNNNNNNNNNNNNNNNNNNNNNNNNNNNNNNNNNNNNNNNNNNNNNNNNNNNNNNNNNNNNNNNNNNNNNNNNNNNNNNNNNNNNNNNNNNNNNNNNNNNNNNNNNNNNNNNNNNNNNNNNNNNNNNNNNNNNNNNNNNNNNNNNNNNNNNNNNNNNNNNNNNNNNNNNNNNNNNNNNNNNNNNNNNNNNNNNNNNNNNNNNNNNNNNNNNNNNNNNNNNNNNNNNNNNNNNNAAGUUGAGCCAAGCUUACUAAUUACCUCUUCACAAGCCUUGUAUUUGAUCCAGUGAUGAGUAUGUCAUCCACAUAAAUCAGAACAACCAAAAUAUCAGCCCCAGUAUGUUUAAUAAAGAGAGAAGUAUCAGACUUAGAAGUUUGAAAACCCCAUUGCACCAGUGAACCUUUUAGCUGAUCAUACCAGGCCCUUGGAGCUUGUUUGAGGCCAUAUAAUGCCUUGUUCAACUUGCAUAUAUGAGAAGGAAAUCUGGAAUCAAUGAAACCCUCUGGUUGGUGCAUAUAUACAUCUUCAGUAAGUACUCCAUUCAAGAAGGCGUUAUUGAUAUCUAGUUGCCUAAUAGUCCAGUGCUGCAUUACUGCUAAGCUGAGAAUAAUUCUGACUAUACAAGGCUUUACAACAGGGCUAAAGGUUUCAAAGAAAUCUACUCCAUGUGUUUGGUGAAAGCCGUUAGCCACCAAGCAUGCUUUGUACUUAGAAAUGCUGCCAUCUGGAUUGUAUUUGACUCUGAAAAUCCAUUUGUUACCUACAAUCUUGUUAGCUGAAUCAGAAGGAACCAUAGUCUAUGUCUGAUUUCUAUGUAAAGCAUCCACCUCUUCUUUCAUAGCCAUAUACCAUUUCUGACUAGACAGUGCUGCCUUGACACUUGUUAGUUCUAUGUCCUAAGUUGCUGCUAAAUAGGUUUUGGGUUUGAAUAUUCCAGAUUUUGCUCUAGUCAUUAUAGGAUGUAUAGAAAUGGAAGGUCUGGAAGAGAUAGAUGGGAUAUUUGUUGAUGCUGGUGAUUGGCUUAAAGGUGAACUUGGCUCAAGGGUAACAGCAGGGAGUUGAGUUCCACUUCUGAAGUUGCUAUAGGUGGUGCUACUACAUUACUGUCAUCAAGAUGAGGAUUUGACAAAGAAAAAUGAGUGAAAGACUGAUUUGCAGGAGUGACACAUUUUGUUGGAAUAGAGGAAGAGUUGUUGGAAGCAGAAAACAACUCUGGAUAUGAAAAUUCAGACUCAUUAAACACAACAUGUCUGGCAAUGUAAAUUCUACCUGAUUUUUCUAGACACUUAUAACCUUUAUGUACAAGAUUGUAGCAAAAAAAAAAAACGCAUUUUUGUGUAUAGAAGUCUAAUUUGUGUUGAUUAUAAGGUCUCAAUAAUGGAAAGCAUGAGCAACCAAAAACUUUAAGGAACUGAUAAUCAAGUAAACGAUUGUGUAGCUUCUGAUAGAGUGAUUUAUUGUUUAAAACUGGUGUAGGAAUCCUAUUUAUCAGAUAGGUUGCUGUGUGAAAAGCUUCCCACCAAAAGACAAGUGGAGGAUUUGCUAGAGCAAGAAGAGUAAGGCCAGUUUCAACAAUAUGUCUGUGUUUUCUCUUCACAACUCUAUUUUGAUGGUGUGUAUGGGGACAACUAAAUUUAAUAUGUAUCCCUUAUUGCUGAAGAAAUGAACCAAAGGCUCUAAAUUCACCCCCCAUGUCUAAUUGCAUGGUUUUAAUAGACUUGGAAAAUUGUUUUUCAACAAGGAGUUUAUACUGUUUGAAUGUGUCUAAUGCUUCUGAUUUUAAAGUGAGAGGAAAUAUCCAACUACAUCUAGUGAAAUCAUCUACAAAGGAUAUGUAAUAUUUGUAUCCAUCUUUGGAUGACAUUGAUGCUGGUCCCUAGGAUCAGUGUGUAUUAAUUCAAGUGGUGCUCUAGUUUUUAUGUUAGUGACAGGGAAGUGAAACUGAUGUAGUUUGCCAUAUUGACAAGCAUCACAGAAGCUAAGAUAAUGAUUGACAAUAUGUGAAGUUUGAGUCUUUAAAAUGAUUUGCAUAGCAUGUUUAUUGGGAUGACCAAGUCUAUUAUGUAACAGCUGCAUUGAGAUACAACUAGAAGUAUUGAAACUUGCAGGAGAAUUGUUGAAAGACACUGAAUUAACAGAAACUGACUUGAUAGACUUUGGACAAGAGUUUACAAUUUUAUUUGAAACAACUGACAACAUAGAAUUUGGCUUUAAAACUUGUACUUUAGAAUUGGAGAACAAAUCAUCUUCAGAUAGUAGUUUGUAGAGACCCCCUUCAGCAAUUCCUGUGCUAGUAAUGUCCCCUUCACCUUGUCCUUUACAAAACAAAAUUCAAAGGUGAAUUCUAUAAUCAUACUAUUAUUAGCAAGGAGUUUGGACACACUGAUGAGAUUCUUUGUUAUAUGAGGAACACGUCGCAUGUCAGUAAGAUGUAGUAAAGCUCCAAGGGAAGUGUAAAAAUAAGUGUAACCAAUAUGAGUAAUAGAAAGGCCUUUACCAUUACCAACUAGCAGCAUCUCAGAACCAGAGUAAGACUUACCAACAGUCAGAUUUUGCACAGCAUUUGUGAGGUGAUGUGUUGCUCCACUGCCUAAGUACCACCCUUGAUCAGUAACUCCUUCUAAUGUCACCAUGUAUGCAGCUCUUGGUCCUUGAUUUUGAUUUGGAAAGGAACUCUGAACUGGAGGAUUUGGCACAAAAUUUUGGUUAAACCUAUUUCUGCACUCAACAGCUGAAUGAUUUGGCUUGAAACAGAUCUGACAUAUGAUACCUCUGCCACUUCCUCUUCCAGAAUUAUUGAAACCAGCAGUAAAUCCAUUUCCAUUGAAUCCAACAAAGCUAUUUCCAUUAAAUCCAGUAAAUCCACCUCUGCCUUGAUUACCUCCUUGAUUUCCAUGCCAUUGUCCCCUUCCAGUACCAUAUCCUGCAUUACCUCCUCUCCUUGCUCCAGAAUUUCCUCUACCAUAAUUUCCAUUCCAAUUUCCACCUUCAGUUCUGUUUCCAAAGUUUCCAGUGUAGUUGCCUUGAUUAUUAUUAUUAUUCCAGCCAGCAUUAUAAUUGUUUUUCCUUUGAUUAUUUCCAAUUUGAACCAAAUUAGCAGCAUAGUUCAUUUUAGCUUCUUUACUGGCAUUAGAGUUAGCACUUUCCAAUCGAGCUUCAUGAGUCAGAAGCAUAGAGUAUGCUUCAUUAAUACUCAUCUUAAGUACAUUAGCUUCAAUAUAAACCACAACUGGAUAAUAAGGUUGUCCUAGACCAGAAAUUAAAUGAGUAAUAAAGUCUAGAUUACUAACUGGACUACCAGCAAUGGCUAACUCAUCAGUAAUAGAUCUCAACUUACUAAAGUAUUCAGUCAUAGUCAGAGAAGCUUUAUUGAGAUUAUUCAGCAGCAUUUUCAAGUGAACCUUUUUAGCAGCAGUUUCAUAUCCGAAUUGCUGUUCUAAAUUAGUCCAAAGCUCAAAAGAAGUUUUAGAUGUUACUACUAAUCUGAGAACUUCAAUACUGAUUGAGGAAAGAAGCCAGCUCAGGAGCAUCUGAUCUUAUUUCUUCCAAGUGAUGUAGGCUGGAUUCUCAUGCAAAUCUGCACUGGAGCUUCUAGGUUCAUCAUCAAGAAAUUGGCUAGGACAGAUCUUGGAGCCAUCAAGAAAUCCUUCUAUAUCAUUUGCUCGAACUGAAGAUAGGAUCUGAGAUUUCCAGAUCAUGUAAUUGGAACGAUCAAGUUUGAUUGGUGUUGUGAAGGUGAAUGAUGAGAUGGAAGAAGAACCAUUUGUAUUCAAGUUGACAGAAGCCAACAAAGAUUGAAUUAGAAUGGCUCUGAUACCAUAUUAAGUUUUAUAUGAAAAUGUGAUGUUGUUUGGUUACUAAGAAAAUAGGAAGAAAGAAAACUUCUGUAAGCUGAGAAUUCUAUUAUUAUUGAUUUGAAUGAAUCUGGAGGUUACAAGCCUUUUUAUAUGUGCAUAAAAGACUCUACACACAUUGCACACACGUACGGCGGAUUCGCGCUUAUUGCGGUGCUGACCGCCUGGUCCCGACGAUUUGUACGCGUCCAUUUCGCAUUCACAAAACAACUCAUCGUCGGUCAAUUCUAAGUAAUUCUUCGAAGAAGAAGAAGAAGAAGUUGAAGAACAAUUGUCAUUGGUGUUGUAAAUUGCAAGACAAGAACAAUGGCUGAUAAUUCCCGCGAUGCUUGUACGACGGAAAGUUUAUAUUUUUCCUUCCGAGUUAGGGAAUCCGAAGCACGAAUUGAGCGGCCAACGCCAUCAUCAAUUUCAGUUUCCCUCUCUGUGUAUGGGAUAAUCAAAGCAAAGCUUCGUACUGGUAACACAUUCUCAUAGCAAGCCCAGCCCAAUCCAGCCCAGUCAAGCAAGUGAGCAAUGUUAUUAUUUUAUUAUUUUUGAACUCGCGGUGGCUCUGUAUUAUUUGCAAAAUACUCAUGUAAGGCAGAGAAUAUAUUUUAUAUUGGAAUAUUUUCAAAAUAAAUGGUGCUUUAAACAGGCGUCCGAUUGUAAAGAUAUGUCAUAUGCCUAAUUAAACAGUGUCAGAUAUAAUAAAAAUAUAUCUUUUUAUUUAAAGAUGUAUUCAUUCACGGUUUUAUACUUUAAUUUGAAAUGGUGAUGAUUUAUUUUAGACCAGUGAUGAUCUAAUUCAAUUUUUAAUUUAAUAACCAUAAAUGAAAAAUUACAUUUGCAAUGUGUCUCGAAGCACCAUCAAUUCUUACCUAUAUUUCAAUUAAAAUAAGAGUGAAACUAUUGGCACCCAUUCAUUAUUCAUAUAAAACUUAUUUCAAAUAAAAUUACAGUUAAGGGCAAAGAAGAAAUAAACACAUGUAGGAUUUUUUUCCCAACAAAUUACUUACAUUAAUAAUCAAACCUUUUUUUUUUAAUUUCCUACCAUUAUUUCUUAUCUAACUAAGAUAAAUUGUAUAAAUCUGGCAUAAUCUAUUUUUCUUUUCCUAUUUCUUAUUGAUUAAAUAUUUUCGGACUCAAGAUUACUUUCAAACUACAAUCUAAAAUAUAUGUUAUUUAAGCUAAUGAUUAGCAUUCAAACUUUAUCACCUCGAAAGCUUUUUAAUUUGUAUGUAGGAUAACAAUAAGAUUGCAAAAGAAAUGAAAAAUAGCACAAUACUACUUUGAGUUUUAACAAUAAAAGACGUGUUGUUUGUGAAAGCAAAUCCAGAAAACCAAAACGGCAGCAGACUUUGCGUUUAGGAGCUGGAAACACUUAAGCUCAAACGGCACAGGAUCCUGCGUUUUGAAGAGUAGAAGAAAUACACUUCUGAACGACGUAUGGGUCUGUCGUUUAGAUUUAAGUGAUUCACGCGUAUAUCACGUGCCUGAGUUCAGCUUUGCAAAGUUCGUUAUAUGUCGUUAGAAGUAUGAGGAACUCACGUGAGGUGCUGGGGAUUUUCUGGGUUCGUUAACUAAAGCUGUUAUGGAACAGCUGAUGUGGAAGCAACGGAUUGGAGAGCUAGAGAGAGAGAAGGGAACUGGUUAUAUAAGCUAGUUGUGAUCCUUCUUUGAAAGCUAAGCAUUUUACUCUGUAAUUCAUCUGAAGUAAAUCAAUAAAGCUGUGUUCUUUCCCUCCCGUGGAUGUAAGCUAGAGAAAUCUAGCUGAACCACGUUAAAGAUUCUUUGUUCUUUCUUUACGUUACUUUCGCUUGAUUCUCUAUACCAUUUUGAUUGAUCAUCUAAGUUCCAUAGGUUCAUCUUAGUCUAAGCUUUUUCAGUUAAACAUCUUGCUGCAUCUUGUUCUGUUGGCUGGAGGUCUUGGGGCAGAGUCUUGGGUUGCUCUAUCAGUCAAUAGCACCUGAGAUUCUUCAAUUGGUAUCAGAGCUGGAUCUACAACCAAAGACAAGUAUGGUUUCAACCAAGAUCGAUCUUGAGAAGUUUACUGGCAAGAAUGAUUUCAACAUGUGGAAGGUGAAGAUGGAGGCCUUGCUGAUAACUCAGGGGUUAGGAGAUGCACUCGAACCUGUCACCAAGAAGGAAGGAAAAGAAGAAUCAUCCUCCAAGACACCUGAGAUGGCAGUCGAGAUGGACAAGAAGGCCAGAAGCACCAUCAUAUUGAGCCUUGGUGACUCAGUGAUAAGGGAGGUUGCCAAGGAGAAGACUGUUGCAGACCUAUGGGCCAAAUUAGAAAAGAUUUAUAUGACUAAAUCUUUGGCUAAUAGGUUGUAUAUCAAAAGGAGGAUGUUCACACUGAAGAUGGCUGAAGGGUCCUCUCUGGAUGAUCACAUUGAUGAAUUCAAUCAAGUGUGUGACACACUUGAAACCAUUGAUGAGGGGCUGGAUGAUGAAGGAAAGGCAUUGCUUCUGGUGAGCUCUCUACCUCAGUCUUAUUCAAAUCUUGUCGAUGCCCUUAUGUAUGGAAGAUCAACCUUAUCAUUAGAUGAGGUUAAGGCUGCCUUGAAUACUAGAGGGCUACAAGAAAAAUCUGGGAAUAUGAUGCAUGCUGAAGGAUUAUCAGUUAAGGGUAAGUUUAACAAGAAUGAUGGAAAGAAGAAGAAACAAAAGCAAGACAAGUCUAAAUCACAAAACAAGAAGUGCUUUCAUUGUAACAAAGAAGGUCACUUCAAGAGAGACUGUCAAGAACUAAAGAACAAAAGCAAGGAAAGAAAUGGUGAUGCAGCUACAGUGGAGGAAAAAGGUUAUGAAUCUGCUGGUGUGUGUGUGGCUACAGAGGAUCUCCAGAGAGGUAAAUGGAUACUAGAUUCUGGUUGCACAUUUCAUAUGUGCCCAUUUAAAACUUAUUUUUCUGAUUACCAUGAUUUAGAUGGGGGAAAAGUAAUGAUGGGUAACAAUGCUGUAUGUAAAGUCAUAGGCAUGGGAAAUGUGAGUCUUAGGCUUCAUGAUGGGACAACAUGGGAACUUAGAGAGGUCAGAUAUGUUCCUGACUUAAAGAGGAACUUAAUCUCACUAGGUUUGAUAGAUCAGAAUGGGUUUAGUAUUAAGCUUGAAUCUGGUAGAUUGUUGAUCAUGAAGGGCUCUAAGAUAGUGAUGAAAGGUUCAAAAAGAAAUGGAGUAUAUGUCCUAGAUGGUGAGGCAGUUACAGGUAUAACAGAUGUGAUUGUUGGCACUGGUGGGGUUAGCACCAGGUUGUGGCACCUAAGAUUGGGGCAUAUGAGUGUUAAGGGGUUAAAAGAGCUUGAGAAACAAGGAGUUCUGGGGAAGGAUAAGAUAGAGGAGUUAGAUUUUUGUGAAGAUUGUGUAUAUGGAAAGUCCACAAGGCACAGUUUCAAAAACUCAACCAGCAAAUCUAUUGGCAUCCUAGACUACAUACACUCUGAUCUCUGGGGACCUGCACAGACAAGAUCAUUAGGUGGAAAUAGCUAUUUUUUGUCAAUAAUAGAUGAUUAUUCAAGAAGGGUUUGGGUCUAUGUACUAAAGCACAAAGAUCAAGUCUUUAACAAAUUCAAAGAAUGGAAAACCUUAGUUGAGAAUCAGACAGGAAAGAAGGUUAAGAAAUUAAGAACAGAUAAUGGACUUGAGUUCUGCAAUCAGCAAUUUAACAGCUACUGUGCAAAUGAGGGGAUAGCAAGGCACAAAACAGUGAGGUUAACACCUCAGCAAAAUGGAUUGGCAGAGAGGAUGAACAGGACCCUGAUGGAUAAGGUGAGGUGCAUGCUGGUACAAGCAAAGCUUCCAAAAAGCCUCUGGGCAGAAACCUUAUUAACAGCAAGCUAUCUGGUGAAUUUGAGUCCCUCUGCUGCUCUAGACUUUAAGACUCCAUUUGAAAUGUGGCAUGGGCAACCAGCAAGCUAUGUAAAUCUUAAAGUGUUUGGAUGCCCUGCUUAUGCACAUAUCAGUCAAGGAAAGUUAGCACCCAGGGCUCUUAAAGGUCAGUUCCUAGGCUAUCCUGAUGGAGUUAAAGGAUACAAACUAUGGUGCACUGAUCUAGAACCUCCAAGGUGCAUAAUAAGCAGAGAUGUGACAUUUAAUGAGAAGGCUGUUUUGGAAGUCAGAAAGGAUGCUGAGCUGAAAACUCAGAAACCUCAAGUGCAAGAUGACAUGCAAUUUGAGGUGGAGCAUCCUGAAUCAAAGAAAUCUGAGAAGGGUGACAGUUCAGAUAAAGACAGUGAAGAUCAUGAUGAAUGCAGUGGCCCUCAACCACAAUCUCAGAGGCAGACUCAAGUACAGGGUUAUCAGCUGACAAAAGAUAGAGAAAAGAGACAAAUCAAACCACCACAGAGAUAUGGUUAUGCUGAUUUGAUAGCAUAUGCACUAGCUGCUUCACAUGAUAUUGAUGUAGAUGAGCCUAAGAGUUAUGCAGAAGCUGUUCAAAGCUCAAACAAAUCAGAAUGGCAGGAAGCUAUGAAUGAUGAGAUAGCUUCUCUUAAGAAGAAUCACACCUGGAUAUUGAUUGAGAAGCCUGGAAACAGAAGGACAGUGGGUUGCAAGUGGGUUUUCAGAGUCAAAGAAGGCCUCACAGCUAGUGAACCUAGCAGGUACAAAGCUAGGCUGGUAGCUAAGGGGUACACUCAAAGGGAAGGAGUUGACUUUAAAGAGGUAUUCUCCCCUGUGGUCAGACAUGCCUCUAUAAGGGUGCUGUUAGCAAUGACUGCAGUUCAUGACUUAGAGCUUGAUCAACUUGACGUCAAGACUGCAUUUUUACAUGGAAGACUACAGGAAGAAAUUCUUAUGACUCAACCUGAGGGUGAUGUGGAUUCUGAGAAACCAAAUCAUGUUUGCUUGCUGAAAAGAUCACUGUAUGGGCUCAAGCAAUCUCCAAGGCAGUGGUAUCUCAGGUUUGAUGAAUUCAUGCUGUCACAUGGAUACCUGAGAUGCAGUUUUGACUGCUGUGUAUAUUACAAGCUAAUAAACACAAAUCUCUACAUAUACCUGUUACUAUAUGUAGAUGAUAUGUUGGUAGCCUGUAAGUCAAGAGAAGAAAUUGAAGCUUUGAAGAAUUUGCUGAGCUCUGAAUUUGAGAUGAAAGAUUUGGGGUCAGCAAAGAAGAUACUAGGCAUGGAAAUCAAGAGGGAUAGAAGCAAAGGCAUCAUGUUUCUUUCUCAAGAGAAAUAUCUGAGGAGGGUAUUGGAAACUUUUGGGAUGACCUCAUGUAAACCUGUGAUGACUCCAAUAGCAACACAUUUUAAGCUCUCCAGUUUGCAGUGUCCUAAGACAGAAGAAGAAAAGUUAGAGAUGGCUAAGAUUCCCUAUGCUAAUGCAGUUGGCUGCAUGAUGUAUGCCAUGGUUCUAACUAGGCCUGAUAUCUCCUAUGCUCUAAGUGUAGUAAGCAGAUAUAUGGUGUCUCCUGGAAAAGAACAUUGGAGAGCUGUAAAGUGGGUGCUGAGAUACCUAAGUGGAACCUUGAGCCAUGGGCUGGUUUAUGGAAAGUCAGGGAUCAAGUCUGAGGGGAUCUAUGGAUUUGUUGAUUCUGACUUUGCAGGAGACUUAGACAGGAGAAGAUCCCUCACAGGGUAUUUGUACAUGCUGGAUGGCUGCUUGAUUAAUUGGAAAGCAAGUCUUCAACAUGUUGUUGCAUUAUCAACAACAGAAGCUGAGUAUACAGCAGCUGCUGAAGCAGUAAAGGAAGCCUUAUGGAUGAAAGGCUUGAUAGCUGAGCUUGGAAUGAGUCAGAAGACAGUUGAUGUAUUCUGUGAUAGCUCAAGUGCCAUUUACUUGAGUAAAAACCCAGCUCAUCAUGAGAAAACAAAGCACAUCGACAUCAAGCUGCAUUUCAUUAGAAAUGUAGUCUCCAUGGGUGUGGUCAGAAUGGUGAAGAUACAUACAGACAGAAAUCCUGCUGACAUGUUAACAAAAGUAGUCACUACAGCUAAGUUCAAGGUUUGCUUGGACAUAGCUGGUCUUGGCUGCUGGUAAUCCAUUCUGGAAAUGGAGGGGGAAAACCAGGGAUGAUUUGUUUCAAGGUGGAGAAUUGUUGUUUGUGAAAGCAAAUCCAGAAAACCAAAACGGCAGCAGACUUUGCGUUUAGGAGCUGGAAACACUUAAGCUCAAACGGCACAGGAUCCUGCGUUUUGAAGAGUAGAAGAAAUACACUUCUGAACGACGUAUGGGUCUGUCGUUUAGAUUUAAGUGAUUCACGCGUAUAUCACGUGCCUGAGUUCAGCUUUGCAAAGUUCGUUAUAUGUCGUUAGAAGUAUGAGGAACUCACGUGAGGUGCUGGGGAUUUUCUGGGUUCGUUAACUAAAGCUGUUAUGGAACAGCUGAUGUGGAAGCAACGGAUUGGAGAGCUAGAGAGAGAGAAGGGAACUGGUUAUAUAAGCUAGUUGUGAUCCUUCUUUGAAAGCUAAGCAUUUUACUCUGUAAUUCAUCUGAAGUAAAUCAAUAAAGCUGUGUUCUUUCCCUCCCGUGGAUGUAAGCUAGAGAAAUCUAGCUGAACCACGUUAAAGAUUCUUUGUUCUUUCUUUACGUUACUUUCGCUUGAUUCUCUAUACCAUUUUGAUUGAUCAUCUAAGUUCCAUAGGUUCAUCUUAGUCUAAGCUUUUUCAGUUAAACAUCUUGCUGCAUCUUGUUCUGUUGGCUGGAGGUCUUGGGGCAGAGUCUUGGGUUGCUCUAUCAGUCAAUAGCACCUGAGAUUCUUCAAGACGAUUAAAUGAAAAACUAAAAGAGUGUCUUUGAAAAUAAAAGGAAAUGUUUGGAAAUAAAAUAAAUAUAACGGAAAAAAGGAUUUGAUGAGGAGACUAGAGGGGUGCCAAUAGUCCAACUUUUAAAAUAAAGUUUUAUCAAUUAUUGUUCCCUUUUUCUGCAAUUAUUAUUCCCCACAGAUAUUUCUCCAACAUUUUAUUUCAUAUAUUUACUCCUACUACACUCUAACAAAGGACGCCUUUUGGACUACAUCAGUUUCUAGAUGCAUUUUAUUAAUAAAUUAAAUAAAGGCACCAUCCCUUGUUCAAUUUCUCUAAAUAACCACUUUCUGUCAGCUCUCUUAAAAUUUAUUAAGGAAUCUAUGUUGAAGACCAUUUCAUCCUUAGUAUUGUGUAAAUGUAUAAAAACACAUUUUACACUUUGAAAUUUAAAAUGACCUUCUUUUAGCACAAAAUUUUAAAACAAAUGCCUCUAACUAAGCGACAAAUUUUAAAAUACAUGAUAAAUACUAUAUCAGUGAUAUAAAAGGUGAAUCAUACUAUGAUAUAUGUGCAUUUAUUUUGAAAACCCAUCACGUAAAUAAUGCUUAUAUUGAAUCUAAGUAAGUGCAUAUCAUACAUGACACAACCCGGCCCAGCCUCUCUUACGGAUUCGAGGUGAAUCAUGUGAUCUUAUAUCUAAAGCUUAUGAAAUAAAUUUAAUUCAUGAAUGCAUAACACCGCCUUUGUUAUAAACAUAUAAUCACAUAUGUGACUCAUUCAAAAAUAUAUUCAAAACUUGCACAUUUUACACCGUACUAUACAUACAUACACUUUAGAUAUAUACAUAUAAAUAUAAACAUAAACAUGCUCAAAAUAUAAGUUAUGCAGUAAUGCGUGUCGUGGCCCAACCUCAAUUGAUUAGAAACUAAAUUGCACAAAAUCCUAUGAAAAUCUUAAAGAAAUGGGGGUAAAUAGGAAAAUAGUAUACUUGUGGGUAAAUGAAUGGAUAUAAUUAUAUAAAUUAGCGCUCUAGUGCCCGUACAUAAUUGUAUGACAUAACUUCGCACUGAACGCAUUACACAAGCAAACAUGAAAUCAUAUAUUUAUACAUGAUAAAAUUGCACUAAAUAAUAUCUAGGAGAAAUAACUCUCAAUACUCGCUGGAAUCAUCAUUGCACAAGUAAAGUAGGGGAAACACCUCUCAAUACGCAGCGGAAUUAACUACAUCACAAGGGCCUUGUAAUCUAACUCUCAAUACACAUACAUAGAGCCUAUGGUGAAGGGUACACAUAUGGUAUCUGGCAAUCACAUCUCAUUAUUCAAUCAAGCAUAUAAUAUGAGUACAUAUAAUCAUGACAUGAUACUAAAUCAUACUAUCAAGCAUAAAUACUUUGUAGAAUACAUAUAAGUAAUAAUAGUAAUCCACUCAUAAAACAUUUUUCACUCCAGGGCUUGUUGGAGCUCUUAUAGAUUCCUUAAUUCUUGGAUUUCUCCUAAAAUAUAGGGUUCAAAAAUUAACUGUUAGAACUGAUAUAAAAUUUUUUACAUAUGACAUAAACUAAAUCAUAAUUGUUCAAAUUUCUUAAAUACAUUACUUACUGAUUUACUGGAUAUAGAUAUAACUAUCCAACUCUCUUUCCUAUAAUUUUUCCUCUCAAUUCCACUUUUCAAAUUUAUUUUUCACUCUCGGUUUUUCUUUUCUUUAUUUUUCCUUCUUCAUCUUUUAUUCUUCUGUUCUUUUCCUCUUCUUUCUUCAUCUUUUCUUCUUUUGUUCUUUUCCUCUUCUCUUUUCCUUUUGUUUUCUUCCCUUCUCACCUUUUCCUUUCUUUUUCUUUUCUCUUUGAAUUGCUUUGUUUUAGUUUGAUUCUUGAAAAUGGUGACAAUUGCUUCAAUUCUUUACUUUAUAUAUAUCCAUUGCCUCCAAUCAUGCAUGACAAGCACAUAGCAUGCAUGUGCUUUGCUUUAAGCCGACAGUUUGCUAAUUAGCCACAUGUGCUCCCUUUUGGUUUGCAUGUGCGUCACAAUAUAUGCAUUAAUUAGUUGUAUUAUUUUUAAUGUAUUAUUAAAUUUCUUUUAAUGAAGGACGUAGUUAACAAUUUUAACCAGUUAAACAUGUUGUUUGACAUAUAAUACAGUUUAUGGUCAAACAACUCAUAAGUAGUUGAAAUUAAAUUAUUUUUUAAUCUCAAUUUUCCUUUUCUCUCAAUUUUAAAAUAUUUUAUAAGAUUUUCAAACAUAAGAUACAAUGGUAUAGAAUUGAAGCCUAAUCCAACAUAGAAAGAAUAAAUAAAAUUAAUUUUCACCACUACUCAAGAGACUUGAAAGGACAUUAAGGUAGCGUUUAUUUUUUUUAUUUAAAAUAUGAAUAGGUUAGAAUUUGAUUAAAAGCUGAAUGGCUUUGAAUAUAAAUGUUUCAAUAACAUGUUUUUUUUAAUAUCUAAAAAUUAAGUGACAUCUUGUUUGUUUUUAUAAUAAAAAAAAUAUUAAAUGUAGUUAUUUAACAUUUAUGUCCUUAUAAGUCAAAACAAAUAAAAGGGAUUAGGUUUCGUAGUUUAUGAAAUAACUAUAUUGAAUUGAAAUAUUUUUAGGAUAUAGUAUUUAUUUUCCAUUCAAACAUUUUUUCAUUUCGGCAAAGGUCACAAAAAUUUACUUUUUUAAUUCAAAUGUAAAUAUCUAAAAAUCAGACAUAUGUUACAAAAAAAAAUAAAAUAACUAAUUUUUUUUUUAAAAAAAGUUAAACUUUAUAUGUUUAAAAUAAACGCUAAGGAACAUGAAUAAGAGCUAUGAAAACAAAAAAAAAGAGAAUAAUUUUGAAACUAAAUACAAUUAAUUGAGAGAUGAGAAUCGAUAAGAUAAAUUCAUAGAUAAAAAUUAAAAUAUCAACCCUACUUAUUGCUGGCAGUUAUGAGCAUUAAAGAACAGAAGCCGUGUCUUGAUAAGUAUGGUGUUCGUGCGGAAUUCUCAAUUUUAAUAUAUAUAUAUAUAUAUAUAUAUAUUAAAAAAAAGCUAGACUUCGUAUGUUUAAAAUCAACGCUAAGGAACAUGAAUAAGAGCUCUUUAACAAAACAAAAAAGAAUAAUUUUGAAACUGAAUACAAUUAAUUGAGAGAUGAGGACCGAUAAGAUAAAUUCAGAGAUAAAAAGUAACAUAUCACCCUACUCUCACACUGAUUUGUAUUAUAUCUAUUACGCCUCUUUCAGUCUUGUACAUGAAUUUAUUAAUAUAUAAUUCGAGAUAGGUGAUAAAAGAUAUGAAAUCUUAAAAGAAAAAACUUGCAGGGGUCACAACUUAUGCCAACCACCACAUAUCCAUUCGAUGGAGCCGUACCCUAAUAAUUAAAAUUUGGAAGUACGAUGAAAAUUAGAAAUGGGUAUUUAAUAAGUUGGAGAUUAUGUUAAGAUUUAUGGAGCCAAGAGUGCCGGUUAAAUAAUCCUGUGAGAAUUGACAAAAUCUUAUAUUAGAUUAGAUGGAUGGGUGGAUGUACAAAUAACUUGAUUUGCAUAUCUCACCGAGAUUGUCUAUUUCAAUUUGAGAUUUAAAGAAAAAUAAACCUUAAAAAUUGUAACAAAAAAUGGGGAAAAUCGUACCACACAUGGAUUGCAUGGGUCUAAUGAUCAAGGGGGCAUCCAAUGAAUGGGAGCCUAGGUUUUGAGAUAAAUUGGUGGUGGUGGUGGUGGUGGUCCUUGCGCGUGAGAUGAGUUAAUUUAUUAAAUGGAUUAUUAUUUUCUUUUAUUUUUCGAAGGGAGAAAAAAAAAUAAUAAAAAGGACAUCUAGAGGUUGUGAGCCGUGGGUUGAAAAGUAUGGUGUUCAUGUGGAAUUUUCAGCUAGAAGUCUACAAAGCAGUUGAAUUAAUCAAUCAUCGUGGAGUGCACGGUGCUUGGACAGUGAGAUGAAAUUGAAAAAUUAUCACGGAACUUGAAGGAAGGUUCAUGGCAUCGAUUUAUUCUACAGAGUCGCUCACAUUUGGUUCAAUAAUUGUUUUCAUCCGAAUCAAAAUAUCUCUCUAAUCAAUUCAACUGUUUCUGUUGAUUAUGGCUUCUUCUUAUCGAAACAACAAGAAGUAUGAUGUUUUUGUUAGUUUCAGAGGAGAGGACACCCGGGACAACUUUACUAGCCAUCUCUAUUCUGCUCUGAGUCGACAAAAUAUCCAGACUUUCAUUGAUGACCAACUUAACAGAGGAGAUGAAAUUUCGGAGUCACUUGUGAAUGCAAUUGAAGCAUCAGCCAUUUCAGUUAUCGUCUUCUCUGAAUCAUACGCUUCUUCUAGAUGGUGUCUCGAUGAACUUGUAAAGAUCCUCGAGUGCAAGAAAUAUUAUGCACAAAUUGUGAUUCCGGUUUUCUAUCGGGUUGAUCCAUCAGACGUGAGAAACCAAACUGGGAGUUUUGGGGAUUCAUUUUCGAAGCUCGAAGAAAGAUCAAAGGAGAAUACUGAGAAGCUGCGGAGUUGGAGGACUGUUUUGAAGGAAGCAGCCAGUUUGUCUGGCUUUCAUUCUCUUAACAUCAGGUGAAAAGUUGCCUUUAAUUUCUCAUACUAAUAUUUAACAAUAAAUAAAAUUCACGCAGCACUCUUAGUUAAAUUUCCGGAUGCUAAACUACAAUUUUAAAAAUUUUUAAGCAUCAGAUUCUAGACUUCCACACUUUUGUGCUCCCAUAAUUAUAAAAUAAUUUUGACAGAGUUAAUAAUAAAAGCUCGAGAAUUUUACAAUAUACAUCUAACAAAAUUAGUGGUGGUCUGUCAUUUUUUUAAGCAAUUGCAACCUCACUCAUAUACCACCAUUAGGAAAAAAAAGGAAAUUAUCCUUGCACCACCUUCCUUUUAUCUAUUGUACAUCCAACCACUACAAAAUUCUAACAUAUUCUUUGCACCACCUUUUUUUUAAAAAAAAAUUUGAAUCAAUAAGCCACUUUUGCACUAACACCAUGAAAUAAUUUAAAUGAAAUGAUAAUUUUUCCCUUAAAUAAAUUAAAAGACCAUUUUUAUUUUAUAAAAACUAUGAAAAUAAAAAUUAUAAUUAUAAAAAUACCCCUAAAUUUAAUUAAAAAUAAAUCCCAAAAUUACAAUUUUUAUUUUUUAAUAAAAAAUAUUUUAGUAAAAAAUUAUAAUUAUAAAAAUAAUUACAAAAUUUUGGGAUUUAAUAAAAUCCCCUAAAUUAUUAAAAUUUGAGGAUUUAUUUUUAAUAAAUAAAUUCAGUUAUUUUAAUUAAUUUUUACAAAAUUAUAAUUUAUAAUAAUAAAUUCAGUUAUUUUUAUUAAAAUAUUGUAAAAUUAUAAUUUUUUAAAAAAUUAGUAUUAAAAUUUUGUAAAAUCUAAAUUUAAUAAAAAUUAGCUGAGCACCUCUAUUUGAGAUUUAUGUCUUAUUAAAUUUAGGGGUAUUUUUUUAAUUAUAAUUUUUUUAUUUUCCAAGCUUUUAUAAAAUAAAAUGAUCUUUUAGUUUAUUUAGAGGUAAAUUUAUCAUUUUCUUUAAAUUAUUUAACGGUGUUAGUGCAAAAGUGGUUAAUAGAUACAAAUUUAAAAAAAAAAGGUGAAAAAAAUAUGUUAGAAUUUUAUGGUGGUUAGAUGAACAUAAGACAAAAGAGAAGUAGUACAGUGAUAAUUUUCCCAAAAACAAAAAUACUCACACAUAUUCCUGUAAUUUAAGAGUUAUUAAUUUAUUGGAUAUUGUAGACUAGUGGUGGUAUUUAUUAAUUUCAAUAAGAAAACUGACAAUCUCCCUUACUUCAUACUUAAUGCAAAUUCCUCGUAUUAAUUUGAAGUUACUUUGGCUAAUUUUAUGUAUUUGCUAGGUGUGAGUCGGAACUUACAAAUGAAGUUGUUAAUCACAUUUUGAAGAGAUUGGAUGAAGUGUUUCAGCCCCGUGAUAACAAAAACCAGCUGGUUGGAGUGGAAUCAACAGUUGAGGAAAUUGAAUCCCUAUUAGGUGUUGAGUCGAAAGAUGUUUACGCUUUAGGGAUUUGGGGCAUUGGUGGUAUAGGCAAAACAGCAAUUACUAGAGCUAUUUUCGACAAAAUCUCGGGUGAUUUUGAAGGUUCUUGCUUCCUCGAAAAUGUUAGAGAUGAGUCACAAAGACUAGGAGGAUUAGCUUGCUUACGACAAAAACUUCUUUCAAAUUUAUUGAAGGAUAAAAAUGCGAUGCCUUAUAUUGACCUCAAUUUUAGAAGGCUCAGCCGCAUGAAGGUUUUGAUUGUUUUUGAUGAUGUGAUUUGCUUCAGCCAAUUAGAAUCUUUAAUUGGAAGUCUUGAUUGGUUGACGCCUGUGAGUCGAAUCAUAAUAAUCACCAGAAAUAAACAAGUGCUUAGAAAUUGGGGGGUGAGGAAAAUCUAUGAGAUGAAGGCAUUAGAAUAUCAUCACGCUAUUGAGCUUUUUAGUCGACAUGCCUUCAAACAAAACCAUCCUGAUGUUGGUUAUGAGAAACUUUCAAGCAAAGUAAUGAAAUAUGCUCAAGGUGUUCCUUUAGCUCUUAAAGUUUUGGGUUGCUUUCUGCAUAAAAGGGAAAAAGAAGUCUGGGAAAGUGCAAUAGAUAAAUUGCAAAGAAUCCUCCAUCCAAGUAUUCUUGAGGUAUUAAAAAUAAGUUAUGAUAGUUUGGACGAUAAGGAGAAAAAUAUUUUCCUUGAUGUUGCUUGUUUCUUUCAAGGUGAGGAUGUAGAUCUAGUAAUGAAAUUUUUUAAUGCAAGUGGCUUCUACCCAGAAAUAGGAAUGAGUGUUCUUGUUGAUAAAUCUCUCAUUGCUAUUGAUUCAUACAACAAGAUAACAGUGCAUGAUUUACUACAAGAAUUGGGUCGGGAAAUUGUUCGACAAGAAUCAACUAAUCCUGAAAACCGCAGUAGGCUCUGGCAUCAUGAAGAUAUCUAUGAAGUUCUUACGUAUAAUACGGUAAGUAGUUUGUUGUGUAUUAUUAUUUUGGAACAAUGUAGUGUUUAAAAACUUCAUGUGAAUAUAUUUACAUACGCUCGCACUCGUGAGUCUUAGAAUUAAUGGAAGAGUGGCAAUGAUUAGAAAAAACAAUAGUGGUUAGAUGACGUAGCAAUAAAUUAUAAAUGCGACGACAAUUUGCAUAACCGUUUGCAAGCAUAAUUGAUAUGUAAAUUUGUCUAUUACACAUGCAGAAUUUUUAUGUUAAUUAUUACUUGUGUUAUUAUGUUUCUUAACUGCGUAGCAAUAACUAUAAACAUGAAUUAUUGAAAUUUGACUCGAGUAAUGACAGAGAGCCCCACUCCAAUCCCACAUAAACUCCAUGCAAGAAUAAAUAAAAAUUGAAUUAAUAACUAAGCUACCUCUAAUUGUAAAUUUGUGACAAAAUUGCCCCAAAUUGUUUUUCUUGGUGGGGUUGAAGUGCAAUUCAUUAGUGGAAUAUACAUAUCAUCUUCCAUUUGAUUUUAACUUUAUUUUUUUAUUUAUUUUUAGGGGACAGAAAAAAUUGAGGGCAUCUGUUUGGAUAUGUCAAAAGUAAAAGAGAUCCGUCUAAAUCCUAAUACUUUCACAAAGAUGCCUAAAUUGAGAUUUUUAAAGUUCUAUGGUUCAUCAGUCAAUGGAGAGAACAAAUGUAAGAUAUCUUAUUUGCAAGAUCCUAGAUUUGCUGAAGUGAAAUAUCUUCACUGGUAUGGAUAUCCGUUGAAGUCAUUGCCUUCAAACCUUAGUGCAGAGAAACUUGUGUUACUUGAAGUGCCUGAUAGUGACAUUGAACGACUUUGGGAUUGUGUGAAGGUAUGGAUAUCUUAUUAUACAUGUGCAAUCUUUCAAAUUACAACAUUAAAUUAUUAUACGCGGUAACGAUUUUGUCUUGGCCUCUUUUUUGACCGAGCAGCAUUAUAGUAAGCUAAACCAGAUAAUCCAUGCUGCCUGCAAUAAGCUAAUUGCCAAAACUCCAAAUCCCACGUUGAUGCCAAGUCUGAACAAGCUAGUUAUCUUGAAUCUAAGAGGUAGCAAAAGCCUGAAAAGUCUUCCAGCUAGAAUAUUUAAUUUGGAAUUUCUUAUCAAACUUGAUCUUUCGGGCUGCUCAAAACUGAAGAGGCUUCCGCAGAUCUUAUCAGGUAAUAUAAGCUGGUUACUUUUAAGGGGGACUGCAAUUAAAGAACUGCCCUCAUCAAUUGAGCUUCUACAUAGGCUCGGGUACUUGGACCUUUCAGAUUGUAAAAGUCUUAAGUGUCUCCCAAGCAGCCUAUGUAAGGUGAAAUCUCUUGGAGUUCUUGAUCUCAGUGGUUGCUCAAAUCUUGAGAGAUUGCACGAAUGUCUUGGCCAGUUAUCCUCGCCAAUGUUAUUGAAUCUAGCGAAAACCAAUAUUGAGAGAAUACCAGAAAGCAUUAUCCAACUUUUUGUGUUGCGAUACCUCCUCUUAAAUUAUAGUGAGAGGCUUCAAUCCUUACCAAAGCCUCCAUUCCUUGCACGAGGGUUAGAUGCCGAUCAUUGCCCACUGCAAUCAUUAUUAGGUUUAUUCUCUAAGUUCUGAAUCUUAUAGCAGUGUCUUUUGAGCAGAGCAAUAAUUUUAAAUUGAAAGGUCAUUGUACUGCAGGAAUUGUUGAAGAUGCCCUGAGAAUUCAGCAUAUGGGCCAUGUGCUAGCUGUCCGUUGGAAAGAAAUACGGGAAAAGGUGUCUUUAACUCUGUUUCCUUACAGUUUAUACAAUUUUUUUUUUUGGGUUUAAAGUUAUGAUUUUUUGGUACAGGGAGAUUUUUCCAUGGACAAAGGUCAUAUCGUACUACCUGGGAAUGAAAUUCCAAAGUGGUUUAAGUUUCAAAGUGUGGGAUCUUUUAUAACCUGGGAGAUGCCGCCAGAUUUCUUCAAUAAUAGCAGAGUACAGGGCAUUGUAUUUAGUGCUAUUUUAGCAUUUUCAGACCGUCAUGUAGAUUGUGGCAGAUGGUUUUCAUUUUCUUUUGAGCUCAAAGUGAAAACCACCAAAGAUUGUGGUCCGCAUGACACACGAUUAUUUCAGAGCAGAGUUAAUUAUGUAGAAUCAGAUCACUUACAUUUGGGGUACUAUCUGUUCUGUGAAGAGGAUUUUAAUGGUUUUUGGAAAUGCAAUUGCAUUCCUGAGGCUGUCCAAUUUAAUGUUUGUCCACCUUUGGAGUGCCAGUGCUGCGGGGUGAAAAAAUGUGGGAUCCAUUUACUUCACGCCCGAGAUUCUAUGAAUUCAAUGUAAGAUCCAAGCAGAUGUUUCAACUGUAACGUAGAAGACUGAUAUUUUCAUGAAUCUAUUUUUAUUGUUUUCCUUUUUCUAAUGAUUAUUAAUAAUAGGAGAAAAUGCUAAAAUCAAUUCUUGGAACAAAACAUUCAUGUAAUAACUUUGGAGGGAUCAGGUGCAUGCAAUUACCUUCGAGGGAUUUGGUGCAAGCAACACAAAUUCACACUAGAGCAUAGAACGUUACUUAUAAAUAAAAGUAAAAAGACAACCUAAAUGAAGGAGCACAUGAUUAUCUAUAAAUAAAAGUCGCAACAUUUUCUAUAAAUAGAAGUUACGCCAUUUUGUGAUCCAUAUAUCUUCUUGCACCACUCCUUUUUUUCUUUUUUUAUUUUAACCCCUCUUUCCUAAAACGAAUUUCUGCAUAAUACAUCUAUAUUUUAUGCAUCAAAUCCUUAAUAUAUUAUUUUUUGCAGGAACAAUAUAUUAAUUUUUCGUAAGUUUACAACAUACAAGGACAUUUAGGUUUGCUUUUGUUUGUGCAUAAUACAGGCAAAUAAACACAAGCACUUCAUUAUAUCAUGAAGGCAUAUUUACUUAACUUAUGUAUAUCACUCAAUUGGAAGAGGGAGUAAAUAACGUCUUGAGGAAAACAAUAUUGUGUCUCGCAGCACUGUUAAUUCAUACAGUUUACUAUUUUGAUUAUUAUUCUUUGUACCUAUAAAGUUUCAUCAAUUAUUUCUCCAAUUUUCCACAAUUAUUAUUCCCCACGAGUAUAUUUCCAAUAUUUUAUUUCACAUAUUUACUUCUGCUACUAGUGUGAUAAUAAAAGAUGCCUUUUUGAACUACAUCAGUUUCUAGAUCUAUUUUAUUGAGAAACUAACCGAACGCACCAUCCAUUAUUUAAUUUAUGGAUCAAAUAAGCCAUAAGUAGUUGAAAUAAAAUGUUUGUUUGGUAGAUAAUAUCGAUUUUUAAAAUAGUUUAAAAGAUUUUCAAACAUAAGAUACAAUAAUAUACAAUUGAAGCCUAGUCCAACAUAGAAAAUAAAAUAAAAUUAAUUUUCAUCACUACUCGAGAGACUCAAAGAGUACUAAGGUAGCAUUUUUUUUAAUUUAAAAUUUGAAUAGGCUUGAAUUUGGGUGAAGUCUUAACAUAAAUGUCUAAAUAAUAUGUUUAUUUUUUUUAAUAUCUGAAAAUAAAGUGACAUCUUAUUUUUUUUAUAAUUUUUUAAAAAAUAAACAUGGUUAUUUGACAUUUUUGUCCUUAUAAGUCAAAAUGAAUAAAUGGAUUAAACUUUAUAGUUUAAGAAAUAACUAUAUUUAAUAGAAAUAUCUUUAAGAUAUAGUAUUUACUUUCCAUUCAAUAUAUGUUUUCAUUUUGAUAAAAGUCAUAAAAUUCACUUUUUGUAUUCAAAUGUAAAUAUCUAAAACUUAGACAUAAGUUCCCAAAAAACAAAUAAAUAAAUAAACAAGCAACAUUAAGGGAAAAAAAAAGGUUACGUAGCUUUUGUUUUAAACAUAUAUGAUAAAUAAGACAAUUUUCAAAAUUAAAUACAAUUAACUGAGAGACGAGGACUGAUACGAUAAAUUGAGCGAUAAAAAUUAAAAUAUCUCCUUGGUCGUUGCUGAUAGUUUUGACUUGUGAGUGUGAAAGCACAGAAGCCGUGUGUUGAAAGUAUGGUGUUCAUGUGGAAAUUUCAGCAAAAAGUCCACAAAGUAAAUUCAGUCAUCGUACAGUCCACGGUGCUUGGACAAUGAGAUGUUGAAAAAUUAUCACGGAACUUCAAGGGAGGUUCAUAGCAUCGAUUUAUUCUACAGAGUCACGCACAUUGGAUUCAAUAAUUGUUUUCCUCCCAUCAAAAUCGAUUUAUUCUAUGAGUAUGAAAGCACAGAAGCCGUAUGUUGAAAAGUCUGGUGUUCAUGUGGAAUUAAUCAAUCAUCGUGGAGUGCACGGUGGUUGGACAAUGAGAUGAAAUUCAAAAAUUAUCACGGUACUUGAAGGAAGGUUCAUGGCAUCGAUUUAUUCUACAGAGUCGUUCACAUUUAGUUCAAUAAUUGUUUUCAUCCGAAUCAAAAUAUCUCUCUAAUCAAUUCAACUGUUUCUGUUGAUUAUGGCUUCUUCUUCUCGAAACAACAAGAAGUAUGAUGUUUUUGUUAGUUUCAGAGGAGAGGACACCCGGGACAACUUUACUAGCCAUCUCUAUUCUGCUGUGUGUCGACAAAAUAUCCAAACUUUCAUUGAUGACCAACUUAACAGAGGAGAUGAAAUUUCGGAGUCACUUGUGAAUGCAAUUGAAGCAUCAGCCAUUUCAGUUAUCGUCUUCUCAGAGGGGUAUGCAUCUUCCAGAUGGUGUCUCGAUGAACUUGUCAAGAUCCUCGAGUGCAAGAAAGAGUAUGCACAGAUUGUGAUUCCGGUUUUCUAUCGGGUUGAUCCAUCACACGUGAGAAACCAAACUGGGAGUUUUGGGGAUUCAUUUUCGAAGCUCGAAGAAAGAUUAAAGGAGAAUACUGAGAAGCUGCGGAGUUGGAGGAAAGCGUUGAAGGAAGCAGCCAGUUUGUCUGGCUUUCAUUCUCUUAACAUCAGGUGAAAUUGAAAAGUUACCUUUAAUUUCUCAUACUAAUAUUUAACAAUAAAUAAAAUUCACGCAGCACUCUUAGUUAAAUUUCCAGAUGCUAAACUACAAUUUUAAAUAUUUUUAAGCAUCAAAUUCUUGACUUCCUCACUUUUGUGCUCUAUAAUUAUAAAAUAAUUUUGAUAGAAUUAAUAAUAAAAGCAAGAGAAUUUUACAAUAUAUAUCUAACAAAAUUAGUGGUGCUCUAUAGUUUUUUAAGCAAUUUCAACCUCUCACUCAUAUACCACGAUUAAAAAAAAAAAAAAAAAACUCACGCAUAUUCCUGCAACUUAAAAGUUAUCAAUUUAUUGUGAGAUUGUAGACUUAUAGUGGUAUAUAUUAAUUUCAAUAGGAAAAUUGACAAUCUACCUUAUUUCAUAUUUAAUGCAAAUUCCUCCUAUUAAUUAAUUUGAAGUUACCGCGGCUAAUUUUAUGUAUUUGCUAGGCGUGAGUCGGAACUUAUAAAUGAAGUUGUUAAUCACAUUUUGAAGAGAUUGGAUGAAGUGUUUCGGCCGCGUGAUAACAAAAACCAGCUGGUUGGAGUGGAAUCAAAAGUUGAGGAAAUUGAAUCUCUAUUGGGUGUUGAGUCUAAAGGUGUUUACGCUUUAGGGAUUUGGGGCAUUGGUGGUAUAGGCAAAACAGCAAUCGCUAGAGCUAUUUUCGACAAAAUCUCGGGUGAUUUUGAAGGUUCUUGCUUCCUCGAAAAUGUUAGAGAAGAGUCACAAAGACCAGGAGGAUUAGCUUGCUUACGACAAAAACUUCUUUCAAAUUUAUUGAAGGAUAAAAAUGCGAUUCCUGGUAUUGACCUCAAUUUUAGAAGGCUCAUCCACAUGAAGGUUCUGAUUGUUUUUGAUGAUGUGACUUGCUUCAGCCAAUUAGAAUCUUUAAUUGGAAGUCUUGAUUGGUUGACGCCUGUGAGUCGAAUCAUAAUAACCACCAGAAAUAAACAAGUGCUUAGAAAUUGGGGGGUGAGGAAAAUCUAUGAGAUGAAGGCAUUAGAAUAUCAUCACGCUAUUGAGCUUUUUAGUCGACAUGCCUUCAAACAAAACCAUCCUGAUGUUGGUUAUGAGGAACUUUCAAGCAAAGUAAUGAAAUAUGCUCAAGGUGUUCCUUUAGCUCUUAAAGUUUUGGGUUGCUUUCUACAUAAAAGGGAAAAAGAAGUCUGGGAAAGCGCAAUAGACAAAUUGCAAAGAAUCCUCCAUCCAAGUAUUCUAGAGGUAUUAAAAAUAAGUUAUGAUGAUUUGGACGAUAAAGAGAAAAGUAUUUUCCUUGAUGUUGCUUGUUUCUUUCAAGGUGAGCAUGUAAAUCCCAUAAUGAAAUUCUUUAAUGCAAGCGGCUUCUACCCAGAAAUAGGAAUAAUUGUUCUUGUUGAUAAGUCUCUCAUUGCUAUUGAUUCACACAAAAGGAUAACAAUGCAUGAUUUAUUACAAGAAUUGGGUAGGGAAAUUGUUCGACAAGAAUCAAUUAAUCUGAAAAACCGCAGUAGAUUGUGGCAUCAUGAGGAUAUCUACGAAGUUCUUACAUAUAAUAUGGUAAGCAGUCUGUUGUGGAUUAUUUUUUUGGAAUAUUGUAGUGUUUCAAAACUUGAUGUGAAUAUAUUUAUAUACGCUCGAGCAAAUGAGUCUUAGAAUUAACAGAAGAGUGACAAUGAUUAGAAACACAAUAGUGGUUAGAUGAUGUAGUAAUAAAUUAUAAAUGCGAUUGACAACUUGCAUAACCGUUUGCAAGCAUAAUUGAUAUAUAAAUUUGUAUAGUACACAUACAGAAUUUUUAUGUUAAGUAUUACUUGUGCUAUUAUAUUUCUUUGUGCAUUUGCAAUUAAGAGUUUAACUGCCUAGCAAUAACAAUAAACAUGAAUUAUUGAAAUUUAAUUUGAGUAAUGAUGGAGAACCCCACUCCAAUCUGACAUAAACGCCACACAAGGACAAAUUAAAGUUGAAUUAAUAACCAAGCUACCUUUAAUUGUGAAUGAGUGACAAACUUGCCCCAAAAAUUUGUCUUGGUGGAGCUGAAGUGUUAAUCAUUAGUGGAAUAUCAAUAUCAUUUUUCAUUUGAUGUUAACUUUAUUGAUUUUUUUAUUUAUUUUUAGGGGACAGAAAAAAUUGAGGGUAUCUGUUUGGAUAUGUCAAAAGUAAAAGAGAUCCAUCUAAAUCCCAAUAUUUUCACAAAGAUGCGUAAAUUGAGAUUUUUAAAAUUCUAUAGUUCAUCAUUCAAUGGGAAGAACAAAUGCAAGGUGUCUUAUUUGCAAGAACUCGGAUUUGCUGAAGUGAAAUAUCUUCACUGGCAUGGAUAUCCGUUGAAGUCAUUACCUUCAAACCUUAGUGCAGAGAAACUUGUGUUUCUUGAAGUGCCUAAUAGCGACAUUGAACAACUUUGGAAUGGUGUGAAGGUAUGUUUACCUUAAUAUAUAUGUGCAAUCUUUCAAUAAGAACGUUAAAUUAUCAUACAUAGUAAUGAUUUUAUCUUUGCCUCUUUUUUGACCGAGCAGCAUUAUAGUAAGUUAAACCAGCUAAUCCAUGGUGCCUGCAAGAAGCUAAUUGCCAAAACUCCAAACCCCACGUUGAUUCCACAUCUGAACAAGCUAGUUAUGUUGAAUCUAAGAGGUAGCAAAAGCCUGAAAAGUCUUCCAGCUGGAAUAUUUAAUUUGGAAUUUCUUACUGAACUUGAUCUUUCGGGUUGUUCAAAGCUGAAGAGGCUUCCAGAGAUCUCAUCUGGUAACGUAGGCAAGCUAUUUUUAAGUGGAACUGCAAUUGAAGAACUACCCUCAUCAUUUGAGCUUCUACUUAGGCUUUGGUUGUUAGACCUUUCAGAUUGUAAAAGGCUUAAGAGUCUCCCAAGCAGCCUCUGUAAGUUGAAGUCUCUUGGACUUCUUAGUCUCCGUGGUUGCUCAAAUCUUCAGAGAUUGCCCGAAUGUCUUGGCCAAUUAUCCUCGCCAAUAAUAUUGAAUGUAGCGAAAACCAAUAUUGAGAGAAUACCACAAAGCAUUAUCCAACUUUUCGUGUCGGGAUACCUCCUCUUAAGUUAUGGUGAGAGGUUCCAAUCCGUACAAAAGCCUUCAUUCCUUGAACGAGGUUGCUUGGCACUGCAACCAUUUUUAGGUUUGUUCUCUAAGUUAUGAAUCUUACAGGCAAUUUUUUUUUACCGGAGCAAUAAUUUUAAAUUGGAAGGUAAUUCUACUGCAGGAAUUGUUGCAGAUACCCUGAGAAUUCAGCAUACGAACUAUAUGCCAGCCAUACAUUGGCUAGGAAUAUGGCAAGAAGUAUGGCUAAAUGUGUGUCUUUAACUCUCUCUAUUUACAAUUUCUACAAUCUUUGUUUUUUUUUUGGGUUUAAAAUUAUGUUUUUUUGGUACAGAGAGGUUUUUCCAUGGGCAAAGGUCAUAUAGUACUACCUGGGAAUGAAAUUCCAAAGUGGUUUGAGUUUCAAAGUGUGGGAUCUUUUAUAACCUUGGAGAUGCCGCCAGAUUCCUUCAAUAAUAGCAGGGUGCAGGGCAUUGCAUUUAGUGCUAUUUUAGCAUUUUCAGACCGUCAUGUAGAUUGUAGCAGAUGGUUUUCAUUUUCUUUUGAGCUCAAAGUGAAAACCACCAAAGAUUGUGGUACGCAUGACACACGAUUAUUUCAUAGCAGAGUUAAUUAUGUAGAAUCAGAUCACUUACAUUUGGGGCACUAUCUGUUCUGUGAAGAGGAUUUUAAUGGUUUUUGGAAAUGCAAUUGCAUUCUUGAGGCUGUCCACUUUAAUGUUUUUCCACCUUUGGAGUGCCAGUGCUGCGGGGUGAAAAAAUGUGGGAUCCAUUUACUUCACACCCCAGAUCCUACGUCAAUGGAAGACCCAAGCACAUGUUUCAACUGUAACGAAGAAGACUGAGAUAGGUGUCAUUUUCACUCAACUCACCUGAGUUGUGAAUCCAUUUGCUUAAACAUGUAUGCACUUUUUCAAGUAUCUCUACCAAUUCCAUAUUUGGAAUGGUGCAUUUGAUUCCAUAGUUGAUGUGAUAUCGUCUAUGGUUAGAAUUUAUAUUUACAAAAUGACUUGUAAGGAAAGGAUUGAAGAUGCCUGUGAACUUAUAUUUCGAUUUAGAUUAUUGUAUCUUUUUCAUGUAUAAAAUUGGAUCCUAUCAUUCACAUAUCAUUGACAUGAGCAAUAUGGAUUACUAAAUCAUUAUUCUUUAUUAUUGUGCUGAAUUUGAUUUUUUAUUGAAUAAUUUGAUAUAUUUCUUUAAUCAAUUUGGAGCUUCUACAACUUGUCAGAGAUCAGUUUCUCCAACAUUCCUUUCGGUGCCAAAAGAUAACCAAGCGGUUGAAUAAGAAUUGAUAUAUACAACAUAAAUAGAAGAGUUGUUUUGUCUUUUUACAAUAGGAAUAAUAUUUAAUGCUCGUUAAAACUUGCUGAUGAGAAAGUAAAUUUCUCAGAAAUUAAAUGUUUCAGCCAACCAAGGAAGCAUCUUUUCAUGGACCAACUCAGGCCUGUCGUCAUGGGGGCAAUGUCCUACUCCUUCCAAUACAAUUAACUUCACAUUUGAGAGUUUAGAAGGCAGAUAUGAGAAGUAUUUACCAACAGGUCCAUCGAGGGGUGUGAAUGGAUCCUCAUCACCCCAUAAAACUAGUACAUGUAUAGAGAUUGAUGGCAUCAAUUGAACUGGGUUCGGCCCUGGUGGGCCUGUUACAAUCGAAACAAAUGCAUCAAGUGCCCCUUCCUCAUUGGCAGGCUCUCGUAUGAUCUGCAGUUUUGAGGUUGAUACCUCAACCAGUGUUUCAUCCACAGAUUCCUUAUUUGCAUAGAUCGACAGUAAAAUAUUCCUCAGUGAUUCCCUGAAGCACCAAUGUAUACACAUCAUAGAUUUUUUUAAUUUUGACUCUAGUGUUUUAGGAUAAUGAACAAUGGACUGAAUAAAGAGAAGAGAAAAUACCUUUGUUUCACACGCUCAAAUAUAGCAGAAGCAAUUGGCCUUUGCUUCAACAAAAAAUCAAUGAACCAAAGCAAUGGUAACAAUAGCUUGAUUCUCCAAUCAUCAACAAUUGCCUUGUUGUUCAUGCCACCAGCACAAUUCAACAGAACAAGCCCUCGAACAAGGGGUUGACUAGAUUCUUAUGGUAGAAAAUAUAGCAGGUUUAUCGUAAACCAUAGAUACCAAAAAGAUAAUUAGGGACAGUGUUUCUUUUGCAACAGUUGAAGAAUAUCUGAUGUCCAAGGGGANNNNNNNNNNNNNNNNNNNNNNNNNNNNNNNNNNNNNNNNNNNNNNNNNNNNNNNNNNNNNNNNNNNNNNNNNNNNNNNNNNNNNNNNNNNNNNNNNNNNAGGCAGCAAUAACACAAGCUAGGCUUCCAACAGAGUUACCUAUAAGCACAGUUGGCUUCUUAACAACUUCAUCCAAUAAAUCCAAUAUUAUCUGUAUCAGUGAAUCUCACUCAAGUUAGCAAGGAAAAUAACUAAAGGUUAAGUGAUUGAUGACGUAAGUACAUAGAAAGAUCCAACUUCUGGGUAGGGAACAUUGCACACCUGAACCCAUGCCUCCCUGGUAUAUGAAUAACCAGCUGGCUUAUCUGAAGCACCAAAUCCAAGAAGGUCAAUUGCAUAAACCGUGUAGCUCUUCGCCAGGGUGCCGAUAUUCCUGAAAUUACCUCAGAGAUGACAAGAAAAAUAUCAAUUCCUCACAUUAUUUAAUAGGAUAAAGGAGUAGUGAACACACAAAUUGUCAUUCCCCUCUUCUACGAAGCGGUAAAAUGAAUACUUUUUCACUAGAUUAAGAAUUGGAAAAUGGAAGAAGCCUAUACCCAUAAAAGGGUAAUAUGAAAUGGAACCCUGAAAUUCAGAUCACUGGUUUGUCAUCAUCUAGGUGCAAGGAAUAGAACUAAGUGUUAAUGCCAAUGCACCAUGAAAUAAUGAAUAGACUUUACUUUCAUUAUUCUUUUGCUUCAUUGAUCUUAAUUAAUUAUUAGAAGUAUAACACAUAUAAAUCCAUCCCUGGAGUUCAUAAUACAUAACAGAGUCAGAGAUAUUACAUACAUAAGUGUUUGAGGGAAAUACUUCGGUGAGACCAGACGUGAUGAACAGAUGUUUGGUGGCAGAAUUCUGCGAGCAGGUGUCUCCUGUAAGAGCCAGGUAGCAAGGGAACAGGAGCAGGAAUAUUCUGCUCGUCCACGAAUAUGCCAUUCGCGAGGCCGAACCCUUGCUAGAGGCAUAGGGUCACUCCCGCUAGGGUUCGAGGAGAGGAGACCCGGUCAACGGCAGUUGGCGAGACGUGCCUUCCUAUCCGAGAAUCAAGGCACGAGGUCCAUCUCCAUUCGCCCAUCAUGACGAUAAUGGGACAUCCACAUCCGAGCAUGGGGAGAACAACGGGCGUAAGCUGCGGAAGACCGGGACUCAGAGGAAGCCUAUAAAAAGGUAGCCAACGAAGGUAAAAGGGUUAGCAAUUUUGAGAUUAGAAGAGAAAUAAAAGCAAUUCUAAAGAAGAGAAAACUACCCAAAAGCCAUAAAAUCUGUGGCAAGCAUUCCCCGAACCUUCAUAUCUGACUUGAGCGUCGGAGGGUUUGUGCCGGGAAAACAACCGGCGUACUCUGACCUGUCUGUGUGCGCAGGAACCUCUGGAGAAGAAUCUUUACGAGGAGAGAUCCUGGUCGUGGUGAAGUUGAUCGAGCAGAGACCCUGGUCGUAGAACGAGGACAACCAGAAUCUCGCAUCAACAUUUUGGCGCCGUCUGUGGGGAGCUGAGCAAAAAGCUUCUGUUGAUAGCAAGAAGAGAAGGGAAGCAGCUGAAAAGCAAUGGAGACAGGAGGAAGUAGUACACAAGGGGGUGAUAUGAGGCUUAACGAUUCCGUAACGCUGAGGGAGAUAGCCAGUGAAGCACGGGAAAAAGCCAUGUUCGACCGAAUGGAACGGAUGGAAAAGCAGAUGGAGACCUUGACAACCAUCCUGCAUGAGCUGCGAAGCGAACGAAGGGUAACCCAGGAAGAAAGGGUGAGAGGUGAUAGAGUGGCACCAGGUCCGGAUAAUACGAGGAGAAGUCAGACCAUCGGGAGAUUUGGUGAGGAAAGAGGUAACAUACCCCAGCGAGGAGAAUUCCAUAGAGAGGGAGAGCAGUCCCCGGCAAGACAGAUUUUUGACGAGGACGAUGGGGUGGCGAACGCAGAGGAAACAGUGCUGAGGCAACAUUUACAUAAUGUAGAGCAAGAGCGGGAUCAAGUUGCAGCACGUGACCCUAGUCGUGCAGUGCAGCUGGAGGAGGAAGUGCGCAGACUAGCGCAGAUAAUUGACGACAUGCAAGGGAGGAGCAGAGCUCCUGGUUGGAGGAUAAUGCUGGACGGAGAAUCACUGCUCGCAGCAGAGAUCAUGAGGGCAGUUAUUCCGAGAGAUUUCCGCCUCCCAGACCUAAAAUAUUCGGGAAGAACUGAUCCGCUGGUACACAUAGAGCGCUUCAACGACAUAACUGGGGUACAAGAAUUAUCUCAAUCCCAAAGGUGCAGAGUGUUCCCACUAUCCCUUGAGGGACGUGCACGAGAGUGGUACAGGAAACUUCCUCGGGGCAACAUUAAAACCUUCGAGCAAAUGUGCCAGGAAUUUGCGGAGCAGUUUAGUGGGGCAAUGGCACCAGAAGAUGACAUGAUGGAGCUGAAAAGCAUGAAACGGGGAGAGCAAGAAACCCUUCGGGAAUUCAUCAAGAGGUUUCAUCGUGCUGUCCUCGACUUGGGAGCCUUCAACCACCCUCAGUCGUUAAGGGGGUUGAAAGAAGGGGUGAAGAUAGGAAGGCUGUGGUACAACUUAAGAAGCCCAAUUAUUCAGACGUAUGCGGCCGCAUACGAGCAGGCUAAGAGAGACAUUGAGAUUGAAGAGGAGAAGGCCGCACAGAUUAAAACAGACCAGUUAGAAGGGUUGGGGAGGAAAUAGAAGAGAGCAUUACCAGGGAAUGGGCCGAUCAGGAGGAGGGACCACCAGACCUCGGGUAGUGGAGCAGGAGGUCGGGUAACUGCUUACCAACCCCAUCAGAGGCCACCACAGUAUCAGCGCAGCAGGGCGCAACCUCCUCGUUCCCCAGCUAGGGAGCCUUGGAGAAGACAUGAUUCGGCAUAUGGUGGUCUUCAUCAACAUUCCCACGGUAGCAGAGGGAGCAGACCAGAAUUACUGCCAACGCCCUCAACUCAGAACGGAGCAAACAGAGAAAGAGCAGUGCACCUGAUCGACCAGAACCAGGACUAUGGGCGGUAUACUUCCUUGAAGAUGUCCCUGGAUGAGGUGUAUGAAGCCAUAAAGGAUCGAGGGCUGCUGUACCUCCCUGCCCCAAUAACAAAGCCAUCCAGCAGGAGGGAUAGGGGACGCUAUUGUAAGUUCCAUGGCACUCAUGGCCACACCACAGCAGAUUGCAAGGAUCUCAGGACCCAGGUUGAAGAUUUGGUGAGAAAUCGGUAUCUGGACGAGUUUAUAGAUGGGACAUUCCCAAUGGUAGCAUCAACAAAUGAAGGGGAGCAGAGUGACAGGAAUUUGAGGCGCGAGCAGCCUACAGUAAGGGUGAUAGCUGGGGGGCCCAACAUUGGCUGGAGAUUCCAACAGGUCGAGGAAGAAUUAUGCUAGAUACGCCAUGAUCGGCAAAGAGGUAUUCUUCAACACCCCAGCAGCCAAACGUGCAAGAGUUAGGCAAGUGCCAAUCAUGUGGACAGAUGAGGAUGAGGAAGGGAUUUUAUACCCUCACGAGGAUGCUUUGGUCAUCAAGGCCACUGUUGCUAGCAAGAAGUUUGACAGGAUACUGGUUGACACAGGGAGCUCAGUUGACGUAUUGUUUAAGUCAACCCUGGAGGAGAUGGGAAUAGCAGACCGGAAGUUGGAAUAUACCAACACCUCCUUGAAAGGGUUUGAAGGAGGAAAGCUGAUCCCUCUGGGCCUGGUCGAGCUGCCUAUCACAAUUGGGAGCUCCCCGACAGAAAGGACAAUGAUGCUGGACUUUGUGGUGGUAGACGAAGAAGGCCCUUACCAGAUGAUCCUAGGCCGGCCAUUUCUGAGGAUGAGCAAAGCGGUGCUGUCCAACCAUUAUCUGGCUCUGAAGUACCGGGUGAAUGGGGUAGUUGGAGUGGUACGAGGAGACCAGAGGAUCACAAGAAGCUGCUACUCCUCGGCAGCAAGGGAAGCAAUGCAGAUAACAUCCCUCGAUACCCGAGUAGAAAACAAGAAGGGCCAUAUAGAGUCAAGCAGAUGGUGGGACCCGGAGCUUACAAGUUGGUUCGCACGGACGGCCACGAGGUGAAACGCCCAUGGAACGCAGCACACCUCCGAAAAUACUUCCAGUAAGACUUGUUCACAUUUUAAAGCAAUUUCUGCUCGUGCUCUUUAUCUUUUAUUUUUAUGUUUUACGUCAAAGCAAGUUCAUGUAAAAUCAAAACCUGCAAUUAAUGGAACGUCGAGGAAUGUCAUUCACUUGAAACUGUGAUAAAUUUUCUAAGGCAUGCAAAGGCUCGUGAAGUCUCAAGGCCUGUUUUAUGGCGAGACAGAAGCCAAGCAUGCCAGGAUCUGCUCGACCACGUGAAGGCGAGCAGAAUCCCCAAGCAUCGAAGAAGUCACUAAGGCAUGCAAAGGCUCACCAAGUCUCAAAGCCUGUUUUAUGGCGAGACAGAAGCCAAGCAUGCCAGGAUCUGCUCGGCCACGAGAAGGCUAGCAGAAUCCCAAGCUUUGAAGAAAUCAUCUAAGGCAUGCAAAGGCUCACCAAGUCUCAAAGCCUGUUUUAUGGCGAGACAAAAGCCAAGCAUGCCAGGAUCUGCUCGGCCACGAGAAGGCUAGCAGAAUCCCAAGCUUUGAAGAAAUCAUCUAAGGCAUGCAAAGGCUCGUCAAGUCUCAAAGCCUGUUUAUGGCGAGACAGAAGCCAAGCAUGCCAGGAUCUGCUCGGCCACGAGAAGGCUAGCAGAAUCCCAAGCUUUGAAGAAAUCAUCUAAGGCAUGCAAAGGCUCGACAAGUCUCAAAGCCUGUUUAUGGCGAGACAGAAGCCAAGCAUGCCAGGAUCUGCUCGGCCACGAGAAGGCUAGCAGAAUCCCAAGCUUUGAAGAAAUCAUCUAAGGCAUGCAAAGGCUCACCAAGUCUCAAAGCCUGUUUUAUGGCGAGACAGAAGCCAAGCAUGCCAGGAUCUGCUCGACCACGUGAAGGCGAGCAGAAUCCCCAAGCAUCGAAGAAGUCACUAAGGCAUGCAAAGGCUCAUCAAGUCUCAAAGCCUGUUUCAUGGCGAGACAGAAGCCAAGCAUGCCAGGAUCUGCUCGACCACGUGAAAGCGAGCAGAAUCCCCAAGCAUCGAAGAAGUCACUAAGGCAUGCAAAGGCUCACCAAGUCUCAAAGCCUGUUUUAUGGCGAGACGGAAUCCAAGUAUGCCAGGAUCUGCUCAACCACGUGAAGGCGAGCAGAAUCCCCAAGCAUCGAAGAAGUCACUAAGGCAUGCAAUGGUUCACCAAGUCUCAAAGCCUGUUUUAUGGCGAGACAGAAGCCAAGCAUGCCAGGAUCUGCUCGACCACGCAAAGGCGAGCAGACUCCAAAGCAUUCGAAAAAUUUUCAAAGGCAUGUAAAGACUCGCCAAUUCUCAAAGCCUGUUUUAUGGCGAGACAGAAGCCAAGCGUGCCAGGAUCUGCUCGACCACACGAAGGCGAGCAGAAUCUCAAGCAUUGAAGAAUUUUCCAAGGCAUGUGGCGAAACCAUAUGCCAAGCCAGAACUUGCUCAAUCAGACGAAGACGAGCAGAUUCUCAAACGAAAAAUAACUCAUGAUUACAACACAAGAAAGUAAUCAAAAAACAUUUUUUAAUUUGUUAAUAAUUAACAGAGGAGAGAAUCUUCACUAACAUGGUUCAUUACAAGACAAGAAAUAUAUCAAGAAGAUGGUGGAUCAGUAAGCCGAGCAGUGUCGGCGGGCUGGGCCUCCUCAGGUGCGGGGGGGGUAUCACCAGUUGCGUCUGGGGGGUGCUCGCCUCGCCAACAUCAACAGGGAUUGCACGAGGAGGAGAGCUUUCCUCCUCAAUCACGAUUGGCUCCACCCCUUGGGCAUUUUCCUUGGCAGCCUUUUCCAGUCCCACGCGACCAAGAACCACUGAGUUUCUACUGCUGGUCCAUUACAUUACCCAACACCAGAAACUGGGGGACCGGUGUUUGAGGGAAAUACUUCGGUGAGACCAGACGUGAUGAACAGAUGUUUGGUGGCAGAAUUCUGCGAGCAGGUGUCUCCUGUAAGAGCCAGGUAGCAAGGGAACAGGAGCAGGAAUAUUCUGCUCGUCCACGAAUAUGCCAUUCGCGAGGCCGAACCCUUGCUAGAGGCAUAGGGUCACUCCCGCUAGGGUUCGAGAAGAGGAGACCCGGUCAACGGCAAUUGGCGAGACGUGCCUUCCUAUCCGAGAAUCAAGGCACGAGGUCCAUCUCCAUUCGCCCAUCAUGACGAUAAUGGGACAUCCACAUCCGAGCGUGGGGAGAACAACGGGCGUAAGCUGCGGAAGACCGGGACUCAGAGGAAGCCUAUAAAAAGGUAGCCAACGAAGGUAAAAGGGUUAGCAAUUUUGAGAUUAGAAGAGAAAUAAAAGCAAUUCUAAAGAAGAAAAAACUACCCAAAAGCCAUAAAAUCUGUGGCAAGCGUUCCCCGAACCUUCAUAUCUGACUUGAGCGUCGGAGGGUUUGUGCCGGGAAAACAACCGGCGUACUCUGACCUGUCUGUGUGCGCAGGAACCUCUGGAGAAGAAUCUUUACGAGGAGAGAUCCUGGUCGUGGUGAAGUUGAUCGAGCAGAGACCCUGGUCGUAGAACGAGGACAACCAGAAUCUCGCAUCAACAAUAAGGUAAAGACAUGCUCCAUACAAAAAAAAAUUAUUACAGUCGAAAGUACCCAGAACAUAAUUUGAAUUGAAUUCACAAUAAAGGAGCUACAUUUUUUUGCACUCAAUAAUCAACCCACUAGACAAUUCACAACAAGAAAGAGCAAUCUUAUCUCGCUAACCUGUGCCAGUGAGGAAUGGGGGUACCAAAGCCAUGGACAAGGAGUAGAGGAGGAGAAUCGGGAUGUGAAUUUGGAGUUGAAGAAACCAAGUAAUUGAUGGAGUACUGACCCUUCCAUUUCCACAUUUUGCAACUCUCCCUUAUCUCAUUAACCUCCAGUUCUAGUGCAGCAGAAGCAGAAUCCCCUCCACUGCUACUGUUAGUAUAACUGAUGGUAACAUUUUGUCUCUUCUUCUUCUCCUUAUUCCUCUGCUGCAACUCCAACUGCAACUGAAACUGCCAACUCUUAUUGCUCAAUAGGGGCAAGCGCAGGCCUUUUACAUCUCCAUUUCCAUUUCCAAUCCUGAGUGUUGUUAUUGAAAUAAUGAAAGAGGGAGCCCGAGCCCUUACCAUCCACACGCUCAUUCUUUUCUUGCUUUUUCAAUUGAAUAUUUUCUGUGGCCUGGCUUGGUCUGCUCCUCCCCUGCUUCCACCUCUAUGAGACUGUGGCUAUGACAAAAACUUUUUAUGUCCUUAUUUAUUUAUUGGGCUUGUUCCACUAUUAUAUGAAAAUUUUACUGAUAUUCCUCAAAAAUCAAAAUGACAAUACUUCGUCUAAAAAAUAAUUAUAAAACAUACAUGCUAUGUUUUAAAAUUUUCAAACAAAGAAGAACUUAGUAGAGUUAAUUAACUAGAUUUAUUUUAGUUUACUUUCUUGUGAUUUAGAUUAUUUUAUUAUAUUUAGCUACAAAGAUUAUUUUGUCAUGAGUUUAAAUUGAUUGUUUUACCCUUAUAAGGUAAAACUAUUAAGAAUUUACUUAAUUUCAAUAUUUUUCUAAUUUUAUUCCAAACUCAUUGUUUCUAAUACUACUUUACUAGUAUGAGUUUUAAUCUUUAAUUAAACUAAAAUAGUAUCUUUAGGGCACGAUACUCAUGUAAAUUAUUGGGAUGUCAAUUUUAUGUUAUUUACACACUAAAGUAGAGAAAAUCACAAUUAAAUUUUAUUUUAAAAUAUUAUAUUAUAAGCCACAAAAUUAGAUACAUAAAUUAUUAGAUAAAAUAACUCGUGUUUAUUAUGGUAAUUUAGUCGCUAUAUAUCAUAAUUAUAAAAUACUAAAAUAAAACUUGUAUUAAAGUUUAUGAUUAAAGAUGGUCAAAGAACCCAAGAAGAAAAUCGAUAGAAGGAUCUAAUUUAUUAACUAUACGAAAUUUUUAUUAAUUUGUAUUUUUUAAAAAAUAUUGUGAAUUCAUUGCAAUUAAUAUCUAGAAAUAGGGUGGAUUUAUAAAAAUAGUGGGGUGUAAAUAACCUUAUCCAAAUACUCCAUAAAAAGUGAAAAUUAUUACCCUUUUCGAUGUACUUCUCUUAAAUUUUUUAUUCCUAAGGAUAAACUUCAAUUCAUUCCCAAAUAAAAUGAUAAUCUCUAAUUUGCUCUCAAUGAAACCUCAAUUUAUUCUUUAUUUUCGUCCAAAAGAUGAGGGGCAAAUAAGAAAUGUAUUGAUGGAUUUCUUUUUUUUAAUCUUCUUAACAAUAAAUGGGGUAAAUUAAUAUUUUUCUACUUUUAGGUGAUAAAUUAAAGAUUUUCAUUCUGAAUUGGGGGCAAAUUAAAAUCUAUCUUAUUUCUAAAGGCACCAUGUGACUAUUUUGCCUAACCAAGAGAACCAUUAUUCAAACACCAAUCGCAUUUUUUUUUUAACAAACACACUUUCAUUUAUUCUUUAAGCUUUUUUUUUUCCCAAAAAAUGAUGAAUAGAUAUUGAAAAUUUUGUUUUCAUUUUUUUAUUGAAAAAAUGAAAAACAACAAAGAUUACUGCUUCCUUGUCCAUACUUUUUCGUCCUAUAUUACCUUAAUUUUAAUCGUUUUCUCUAUUUUUAUUUUUAUAGUCCAAUUCUGAAAAUACACUAUUAGACACAUUUUUAAAUUUAAAAACACAAAACAUAGUGCAUCAUUUUCAUUAUAGGCAUUAACACCUGACGUACACAUUCUCCAAAUGGGAUUAAUGGAAAAAAAAUAAAUAAAUAAAGGUGAGUCCUUCGGCCAAUCUUAUAGGUUCUAACGUUUUGAAGGUAAGUUUUAUCUUGUAACAUUCCCACAAAAUUUAAAAUCAACUGGGACGAAAAUUUUGAAAAUACUAUGAUUAGCACAAGCAUUUCAACAAUAGAGGAUGUAAUAAAAGCUCAUUGAGUUGAAACUUGAAAGCAAAAUUAGGGCAAGGUCAUUUCUUUAAAAGAAUAAGGCAAGAUGCACGACAUGAAAUACCUGUGCCAAGCCUCAAAAGAUUCACCAAGCCCAGUAUUUUGCUUGCCCACGGCAUAAUUACACUUGGCUUCCCAAACAAAUAAUUGCUGGAGCUCGGACAAUGCUAGUAUUCAAUUUAACUUCAUAAAUAUCAGCCGGAGCAUAAUUACACUUGGCUCCCUAACAAAUAAUGCUGGAGCUCGGACAAUACGAGUAUUCAAUUUAACUGUACAUAGAUGCGCGGGGUUUUGGGGGUAAGUAAAAAGACGUGCCACUAUCAGUUGAGGAGUGCAUAAGAGAGUUACAUCUAUCAAAUACUAUCCGGCCCCCUCGGCCAAUUCUUCCAUGAAAUUUGUGAGUUCGUGCUAUAGUGCCAUUCCUCGUAGAAGAAUCUGACGGCGGAACAAUACCUGCAGCGUCCAAUUUUUCUGGCACAAGGGGUUUUGUGAACAACAAAACUGGCUCGAGAGGAUCCUGAAACCCCACAGUUACAUUUUCAAAAUGAUGCACUGCUGAUAUUCAGAAAUAAAACAAGGAUAAAACAUUUUCUAAAGUUUACUUAAAUCAUUUUUCUUUCCAACCACAGAUAGGUCAAUAAGUCAAAUAUGUGAGGAAAAAUACUAAAGAAACUGAAGCUGACAGAGGGCAGGCAGAAUUAACUACAAAACCACCAGAUUUAUCGUGUUCUUGUCCUGUUAAUUAAUUGUUUUCAAUUAACACGGUAACCCGGCUCGGGUGUUAACUCUGUUUCUGUCAGUGCUCUGUUGAAUAUUUCUGUUUAAAAAUCAGCACUCCCAUGUAAGUAGUAUGGCAGCAGCAAAAUAUCAUGUGUAAUAAUUAGGCUACUGGUUCUGGGUCCAGGAAUCGAGAUAAUCAGAUUAGGUGCAAAAGCUAUAUGUACCGAUUUAUGUAGCCAUGCAUAAUAUAUUCAUUUUUUACUUGCAAAUUCUUCCUUUUCACAACUUUAGGUACAACUUUUCCUUUCCUUUUGAAGGCCCACUCCACUGGCAUAGAGAGUAAAAAGAGUUUCUUAUUAAUAAUUUUAGGAGGAUGCUUCUGCCACGACAAGUAAAACCAUAAACAAAUGAUUUCACCACAUUUCAAGAAAGCAUUUAACUUAUGCCUCAUUUUCAUUCUAGCAAUUUGCUUGCCAUUGGCUGAUUGGAAAAAGUGCAUUUAAGUUAUAGAUUACUGUCAACCUAUAGCACGAAUAGGGGUUAAACAAAGUAAAUCCCUACCUUUACAUGUCAAAUAAAAGACUUUCAUAAUCAACUAUCAAAACUCAUGUCUAGUAAAGGAUUCCCCAAUGCUGGCUCUCAAAAUUGCUUUUGUUUCAUGGAUGAGAUGAUCGAUUUUGUGGAUAUUCUGCUCAACUUGGAUUAUGACUUGGGUCAGAUCCCAACUUGCUGCAAAGCUCACCUGACUAAAUCUUAGUUGAUUUGCUUUUCCAAACUAAAUCCAAGCAAGUAAGUACAAGAGAUAAAAGCAAAAGUUCAAGCAUCUCAUUUGAGCCUGUCACUAACAAAUGGUCAACAAGCAAUGUCUAGCUAUGACUGAGCAACAGAAUCAAUAAACAGACNNNNNNNNNNNNNNNNNNNNNNNNNNNNNNNNNNNNNNNNNNNNNNNNNNNNNNNNNNNNNNNNNNNNNNNNNNNNNNNNNNNNNNNNNNNNNNNNNNNNAAAUCAUAUAUAUAUAUAUAUAUAUGUAUGUAGGUAGGUAUAGGUAUAUGUAUAUGUAUGAUCAUUCAUUUCUCAAUCAACCACCAAAUUGAUGUCAACAAAGCCAUGAGGAUUGUCUCACAAGUCUUUCAAUUUCCCUCUCUUUAGGCCAGAGACCAGUAAACCAUUUGAAAUAUGGAUGUGCAAACCAGUAAAUAAAUCAUGAAGUUACACACUAGUCUGCUUUCGCACUCAUUCAGAACUAUCAAUGAUACUUACUGCAGGUACGGUGUAUACAUUAUACUAAAGUGAAGGCUGGAUCAAUAAGAAAUUCAAAAUGUUUCAUCACAUUUGGGGCUUGAUGAUGCCAAAAAAAGACCAUACCAAUUAUGAUGAACAGUAAAAUGUGAACAAGAACAAGCAUACAUUUAGGAAAGCAGAGAAGCAUCAUUAAAAUAAAGUAUUCUUCUUACUAUUCUAUGUUGUUGGAAAAUGGACCAAAAUAAAAAAGAAACCAUAUAUGGUUAACGUCACAACAAGAGUAUUUGUGCAUUUGUACAUCAUAGGAUAUUGGGAAGACAUCAGCAGAGAAGUGCAAAUUUUUUUUUUUUGAGGAAAGGAGCAGAGAAGUGCAAAUCAAAAAGGAGAAAAAAUAAAAGAGAGAGAUCGAAAGGAAUGCAAUCUAAUUAAUCGUCUGAGGAGACUACUAUACUACAUUUAGCCAUUGGUUGAAUAGGCAGCAUGUUUUCUAGUACAACUUUCAAUUUUCCAAGAUUUAGAAUUUUCCUACUGAAGAAAACUAAUUUCUAAAGCUGCUAUUACCAUCUUCAUCCCAACGGUAAGCAGCUCCAUACUAAGGAAAGAGUGAAAUAAGUGUGCUUUACUCAUAGAAGCCCAUUCCUGUCCAGAGUGAUUAGUAAGUUGUUUCACCAUGACCCCCAUUAUGGUGACUGAAAAAAGAAAAAUAAAAGAAGAAAAUAUUUGCCGAACACAAUAGUGGCACCUAAGAAGUCCUACUUAAGAGGCUUCAUACCGUGCACAAAUCGGAAAGUUUUUUAAAAUUUUCAUGUUUCAAAUGAAGAUUGUCCAUUAAAAAAUUACACACAUAAUGUAUGUAAAGCAAUUAAAACAAAAAAAAAAAAAACAAGGAUAACCCAGAAACAAUCCAACCAUCAAUAACAUAAAACUUUUGUAAUGCUGGUAAAGUGAAUGAGAAGCAGAACAUACAUUUCACGUAAUAAUGAAGAUACAUCUUUUAAUCAGUCUUUGCUCUUAAUUUAUUAUCGUACUUCCUUCCAAUAACAAUUCAUAAUGCAGGUAGGUAUCUUGAAAAAUUAUAUCAUACAUUUCUCUUAUCAAUGGGGCAGGUUGCUAUUGAACAUUAUUCAUAAACAAAGAGCCAAAUAUGCUUUAAAGCUACUUAAAAAAUAAGCCAUCAGGCACUGACGCAGACACUCAACAACAAAAAACAGACUUAUUAUAUUUGUUGCACAAAUAAGAAAGAAGAUAACAAUUUUAAAUUAACCAACAGGUUGAGUCUUAUCGUAAUACACACUAUCAGCUAUGAAUUAGCAUACCUUUAGAAGUCCUGAACUCAUUCACGGCCAUUCGAAGAGAAUCAUCCGAUAGAAUCAACCGUGACAAUGCUCCAGUGCUUAACCUGCGAAAAUUAGAUGAAGCAGAGCUUGCAUUCCCUGAAGUUAACCAAAAAAAAAACAUUACGAUGACUUAAAUUUUAACAGAAAACAAAAAAACAAAGCAAGAGUGAAUAGAGUAAUACCAAAGCAAAUUUAGGAUUGUUAGGUCCAAUUUGUGGACCAACUUCUGAACUUCUAAUAGUAGACUUAGGAGGAAGGAUUUGAAGAAGCUGUGGCGGCGGCGAAUACGCAUCAAGAUUCACACUGCUCCUCACAUUGAGGGCCAAAAGAGUGCGGAGGCGCGACAAAGCUGACGCGCGAUUCUUGUGCUGCGAUCGGUCUUCGGAGGCUUGCGCUAUGACGCCGGUCGGUACGUGCUUGAGACGUACGGCGGAUUCACGCUUAUUGCGGUGCUGACCGCCUGGUCCCGACGAUUUGUACGCGUCCAUUUCGCAUUCGCGAAACAGCUCAUCGUCGGUCAAUUCUAAGUAAUUCUUCGAAGAAGAAGAAGAAGAAAAGAACAAUUGUCAUUGGUGCUGUAAAUUGUAAUUGCAAGACAAGAACAAUGGCUGAUAAUUCCCGCGAUUCUUGUACGACGGAAAGUUUAUAUUUUUCCUUCCUAGUUGGGGAAUCCGAAGCAGGAAUUGAGCGGCCAACGCCCUCAUCAAUUUCAAUUUCCCCCACCGUGUAUGCGAUGAUGAAAGCAAAGCUUCGUACUAGUAAUGGCAGGCCCAGCCCAGUCCAGCAAGUGAGCAAUGUUAUUGUUUUAUUAUUUUUGAACCCGUGGUGGCUCUAAAUUAUUUGCAAAAUACUCGUAUAAGGAGAGGGACAUAUUUUAUGCUAGAAUAUUUUCAAUAUAAAUGGUGCUCUAAAAAUGUGUCCGACUGUAAAGAUAUGUCUAAUUAAACAGUGUCAUAUAUAUUAAAAAUGUAUCCUUUUAUUUAAAGAUGCAUCCAUUCACGGUUUCAUGCUUUAAUUUGAAAUGGCGAUAGUUUAUUUUGGACCAGUGAUGAUCUAAUUCAAAUUUUGAUUUAAUAACCAUGAAUGAAAUAACCACUUUCUGUUAGUUCUCUUAAAAUUUUUUAAGAAAUCUAUAUUGAAGGCCGUUUCAUCCUUUAGUGUUGUAGAAAAUACACUUUACAUUUUGAAAUUUAAAAUGACCUUCUUUUAAAUAAAAUUUUAAAACAAAUGCCUCUAACUAAGAAAGAAAUUUUAGAAUACAUCAAAAGUAUCAUGUUAGCCAUACAACAAGUGAAUCAUGCUAAGACACAUGUGCAUUGAUUUUAAAAAACUAUCAUUCAAAUGGUGGUUAUAUUGAAUAUAAAUAUGUACAUAUCAUACAUGACACAAACCGCUGAAUAUGGGAUGAAUCACGCAAUUUUAUAUCUAAAACUCAUGACAUAAACUUAAUUCAUGAAUAUAUAACACUAGCCUUGGCCUUUGUUAUAAACAUAUAAUAAUCUAUGUGCCUCAUUCAAAAAUUUAUUAAAAACUUACAUAGUUCAUAUCUCACUGUACAUACAUACACUUCAAAAAUAUACAUAUAAACAUAAACGUGGUCAAAAUGUAAGUCAUGCAGUAAUGUGUGUCGUGGCCCAACCUCAAUUGAUCAGAAAUUGAACUACACGAAAUCCUAUGGAAACCUUAGAGAAAUGAGGUAAAUAGGAAAAUAGUAAGCUUGCGGCUCAAUGAAUGAAUAUAAUUAUAUAUAAAAAUAAAUUAGUGCUUUAGUGCUCGUCAUAAUUGUAUGACAUAACUUUACACUGAACGCUUUACAAAAGCAAACAUGAACUCGUAUAUACACACAUGACAAAAUUGCACCAAAUAAUAUACAGGGAAAAUAACUCUCAAUAUUCACUGGGAUCAUCAUCGCACGAGUAAAAAGGGGGAAAAACCUCUCAAUACUCAGUAGAAUUUACAACAUCACAAGGGUCGAGUAAUUUAACUCUCAAUACGUAUGCGUAGAGCCUAUGGGGAAAGGUACACAUAUGGUGCCUGUCAAUUACAUCUCAUGACUCAGUCAAUUAUAUAAUGUACGUACAUAUAAUCAUAACAUUAUACUAAAUCAUACUAUCAAACAUAAAUGUUUUGUGAAAUACAUAAUAGUAAUAAUAAUAAUAAUUCACUCACAGAUCCUAUUGAUGAAGCACGCACGUGCUUUGCUUUAAGCUAACAGCUUGCUAUUGCUUUGACAAUUAACCCAUGUGCCUCCUUUUAGCUUGCACGUGCGUCACAAUACAUGCAUUAGAAUUGGUUGUAUUCUCAUGGGUGAAGCAUGAAUGUGCUUUGCUUUAAGCUAACAGCUUGCUAUUGCUUUGACAAUUAGCCACAUGUGACCCGUUUAUAGUUUAGGAAAUAACAAUAUUGAAUCGAAAUAUUCUUAGAAUAUAGUAUUUAUUUUCCAUUCAAACAUUUUCUCAUUUAGGCAAAGGUCACAAAAAAAAAUUACUUUUUUUAAUUUAAAUGUAAAUAUUUAAAAAUCAUAUAUAAGUUAUAAAAAAUAAAUAACUAAGUUUUUUUUUAAAGUUAGACUUUAUAUGCUUAACAAUCAACCCUAAGGAACAUGAAUAAGAGCUACUAAAACAAAAAAAAAAAGAAUAAUUUUGAAACUAAAUACAAUUAAUUGAGAGAUGAGGAUCGAUAAGAUAAAUUCAUAGAUAAAAAUUAAAAUAUCAACCCUACUUAUUGGUGGCAGUUAUGAGUAGGGUUGGCAAUGGGACGUGAUGGGAUGAAAUUUACCAAUCCCAGUCUCAUCCCGUAUAUGAAAGUGAGAUGAAAAGACAUUUCACUCUCGUCCCUAUAUUUCUUUUUAAGACAAAAAUAUGUCCCGAUCCCGUCCCAAAAGAGAUGGGAUCUUGCAGAAUGCCAUCCCAAGUUAUGAGUAUUAAAGAAUAGAAGCCGGGUCUUGAUAAGUAUGGUGUUUGUGCGGAAUUCUCAAUUUUAAAAUAAUUUUUUUUAAAAAAAAGUUAGAUUUCGUAUGUUUAACAAUCAACGCUAAGGAACAUGAAAAAGAGCUAUUAAAACCCAAAAAAAAGACUAAUUUUGAAACCAAAUACAAUUAAUUGAGAGAUGAGGACCGAUAAGAUAAAUUGAGAGAGAAAAACUAAAAUAUCAGCCCUACUUAUUGCUGGCAGUUAUGAGCAUUAAAGCACAGAAGCCGUGUCUUGAUAAGUAUGGUGUUCGUGUGGAAUUUUCAGCUAGAAGUCUACAAAGCAGUGGAAUUAAUCAAUCAUCGUGGAGUGCACGGUGGUUGGACAAUGAGAUGAAAUUGAAAAAUUAUCACGGAACUUGAAGGAAGGUUCAUGGCAUCGAUUUAUUCUACAGAGUCACGCACAUUUGGUUCAAUAAUUGUUUUCAUCCGAAUCAAAAUCUCUCUCUAAUCAAUUCAACUGUUUCUGUUGAUUAUGGCAGAAAUAUGAUGUUUUUGUUAGUUUCAGAGGAGAGGACACCCGUGACAACUUUACUAGCCAUCUCUAUUCAGCUCUGUCUCGACAAAAUAUCCAAACUUUCAUUGAUGACCAGCUCAACAGAGGAGAUGAAAUUUCAGAGUCUCUUGGGAACGCAAUUGAAGCAUCAGCCAUUUCAGUUAUCAUUUUCUCUGAAUCAUACGCUUCUUCCAGAUGGUGUCUCGAUGAACUUGUAAAGAUUCUCGAGUGCAAGAAAGAGUAUGCACAGAUUCUGAUUCCGGUUUUCUAUCGGGUUGAUCCAUCAGACGUGAGAAACCAAACUGGAAGUUUUGGGAAUUCAUUUUCGAAGCUCGAAGAAAGAUCAAAGGAGAAUACUGAGAAGCUGCGGAGUUGGAGGACUGUUUUGAAGGAAGCAGCCAGUUUGUCUGGCUUUCAUUCUUUUAACAUCAGGUGAAAAGUUACCUUUAAUUUCUCAUACUAAUAUUUAACAAUAAAUAAAAUUCACGCAGCACUCUUAGUUAAAUUUCCGGAUGCUAAACUGCAAGUUUAAAAAUUUUUAAGCAUCAAAUUCUAGACUUCUUGACUUCCCCACUUUUGUGCUCUAUAAUUAUAAAAUAAUUUUGAUAGAAUUAAUAAUAAAAGCAAGAGAAUUUUACAAUAAAUAUCUAAAAAAAUUAGUGGUGAUCUGUUGUUUUUUAAGCAAUGUCAACCCUGUCCAAAGUGGUUUUAGUUUCAAAGUGUGGUCACUUUUAAAACCUGGGAGAUGCCGCCAGAUUUCUUCAAUAAUAGCCGAGUACAGGGCAUUGUAUUUUGUGCUAUUUUAGCAUUUUCAGACCGUCAUGUAGGUUGUGGCAGAUGGUUUUCAUUUUCUUUUGAGCUCAAAGUGAAAACCACCAAAGAUUGUGGUCCGCAUGACACACGAUUAUUUCAGAGCAGAGUUAAUUAUGUAGAAUCAGAUCACUUACAUUUGGGGUACUAUCUGUUCUGUGAAGAGGAUUUUAAAGGUUUUUGGAAAGGCAAUUGCAUUCCUGAGGCUGUCCACUUUAAUGUUUUUCCACCUUUGGAGUGCCAGUGCUGCGGGGUGAAAAAAUGUGGGAUCCAUUUACUUCACACCCGAGAUUCUAUGAAUUCAAUGUAAGAUCCAAGCAGAUGUUUCAACUGUAACGUAGAAGACUGAUAUUUUCAUGAAUCUAUUUUUAUUGUUUUCCUUUUUCUAAUGAUUAUUAAUAAUAGAAGAAAAUGCUAAAAUCAGUUCUUGGAACAAAACAUUCAUGUAAUAACUUUGGAGGGAUCAGGUGCAUGCAAUUACCUUCGAGGGAUUUGGUGCAAGCAACACAAAUUCACACUAGAGCAUAGAACGUUACUUAUAAAUAAAAGUAAAAAGACAACCUAAAUGAAGGAGCACAUGAUUAUCUAUAAAUAAAAGUCGCAACAUUUUCUAUAAAUAGAAGUUACGCCAUUUUGUGAUCCAUAUAUCUUCUUGCACCACUCUUUUUUUUUCUUUUUUUAUUUUAACCCCUCUUUCCUAAAACGAAUUUCUGCAUAAUACAUCUAUAUUUUAUGCAUCAAAUCCUUAAUAUAUUAUUUUUUGCAGGAACAAUAUAUUAAUUUUUCGUAAGCUUACAACAUACAAGGAUAUUUAGGUUUGCUUUUGUUAGUGCAUAAUACAGGCAAAUAAACACAAGCACUUCAUUAUAUCAUGGAGGCAUAUUUGCUUAACUUAUGUACAUCACUCAAUUGGAAGAGGGAGUAAAUAACGUCUUGAGGAAAACAAUAUUGUGUCUCGCAACACUGUUAAUUCAUACAGUUUACUAUUAUGAUUAUUAUUCUUUGUACCUAUAAAGUUUCAUAAAUUAUUUCUCCAAUUUUCCACAAUUAUUAUUCCCCAUGAAUAUAUUUCCAAUAUUUUAUUUCACAUAUUUACUUCUGCUACUAGUGUGAUAACAAAAGAUGCCUUUUUGAACUACAUCAGUUUCUAGAUCUAUUUUAUUGAGAAACUAACCGAACGCACCAUCCAUUAUUUAAUUUAUGGGUCAAAUAAGUCAUAAGUAGUUGAAAUAAAAUGUUUGUUUGGUAGAAAAUAUCGAUUUUUAAAAUAGUUUAAAAGAUUUUCAAACACAAGAUACAAUUGAAGCCUAGUCCAACAUAGAAAAUCAAAUAAAAUUAAUUUUCAUCACUACUCGAGAGACUCAAAGAGUACUAAGGUAGCAUUUUUUUUAAUUUAAAAUUUGAAUAGGCUUGAAUUUGGGCGAAGUCUUAACAUAAAUGUCUAAAUAAUAUGUUUAUUUUUUUUAAUAUCUGAAAAUUAAGUGACAUCUUAUUUUUUUAUAAUUUUUUAAAAAAUAAACAUGGUUAUUUGACAUUUUUGUCCUUAUAAGUCAAAAUGAAUAAAUGGAUUAAACUUUAUAGUUUAAGAAAUAACUAUAUUUAAUAGAAAUAUCUUUAAGAUAUAGUAUUUACUUUCCAUUCAAUAUAUGUUUUCAUUUUGAUAAAAGUCACAAAAUUCACUUUUUGUAUUCAAAUGUAAAUAUCUAAAACUUAGACAUAAGUUCCCCAAAAAACAAAUAAAUAAAUAAACAAGCAACAUUAAGGGAAAAAAAAGGUUAGGUAGCUUUUGUUUUAAACAAAAAUGAUAAAUAAGAUAAUUUUCAAAAUUAAAUACAAUUAACUGAGAGACGAGGACUGAUACGAUAAAUUGAGCGAUAAAAAUUAAAAUAUCUCCCUGGUCGUUGCUGAUAGUUAUGACUUGUGAGUGUGAAAGCACAGAAGCCGUGUGUUGAAAGUAUGGUGUUCAUGUGGAAAUUUCAGCAAAAAGUCCACAAAGUAAAUUCAGUCAUGUUGAAAAAUCGAUUUAUUCUACAGAGUCACGCACAUUGGAUUCAAUAAUUGUUUUCCUCCCAUCAAAAUCGAUUUAUUCUAUGAGUAUGAAAGCACAGAAGCCGUAUGUUGAAAAGUAUGGUGUUCGUGUGGACUUUUCAGCUAAAAGUCUACAAAGCAGUUGAAUUAAUCAAUCGUCGUGGAGUGCACGGUGCUUGGACAUUGAGAUGAAAUUGAAAAAUUAUCACGGAACUUGAAGGAAGGUUCAUGGCAUCGAUUUAUUCUACAGAGUCACGCACAUUUGGUUCAAUAAUUGUUUUCAUCCGAAUCAAAAUCUCUCUCUAAUCAAUUCAACUGUUUCUGUUGAUUAUGGCUUCUUCUUAUCGAAACAACAAGAAAUAUGAUGUUUUUGUUAGUUUCAGAGGAGAGGACACCCGUGACAACUUUACUAGCCAUCUCUAUUCAGCUCUGUCUCGACAAAAUAUCCAAACUUUCAUUGAUGACCAGCUCAACAGAGGAGAUGAAAUUUCAGAGUCUCUUGUGAACGCAAUUGAAGCAUCAGCCAUUUCAGUUAUCAUUUUCUCUGAAUCAUACGCUUCUUCCAGAUGGUGUCUCGAUGAACUUGUAAAGAUCCUCGAGUGCAAGAAAGAGUAUGCACAGAUUCUGAUUCCGGUUUUCUAUCGGGUUGAUCCAUCAGACGUGAGAAACCAAACUGGGAGUUUUGGGGAUUCAUUUUCGAAUGAAGAUGAAUGCAAACUUGGAGGAAUGUUCACAAACUUGGAGGAAUGUUCGCAUCUGGCUUUCCUUCUCAGAGCAUCAGGUGAAAAAGUUACUCUUAAUUUCGCAUACUAAUAUUCAACACUGUACAUAAAAUUCACGCAGCACUCUUAGUUAAACUUUCCAGAUGCUAAACCACACUUUUAAAUUUUUUCAGGCAUCAAAUUCUAGACUUCUUGAACUUCCCCAUUUUUGAACUCCUAUAAAAGAAUUUUUGCAGAAUUAAUAAUAAAAGUUCCAGAAGUUUACAAUAUAUUUUAACAAAAUUAAUGGUGUUUUGUCGUUUUUUAAUCAAUUUCAAUCUCUCACCCAUAUACCAUUAGGGGGAAAAAAAUCUCUUCCACAUAUAACAUAUUCCAGUAAUUAAAGAGUUAUUAAUUUAUAGGGAGAUUGUAAAUUGCCUUACUCAAAUCAAUAUAUACCAUCUAUUCUGACUAUUUUUACAAUAUUUAAUAACUCUCGUGGUACCAUCACUUUACAAUAUUAUCCUUAUGAAAAAAAAUAAGUGGUAUAUAUUAAUUUCAAUUGAAAAAUUAUCAAUCUCCCUUAUUUCAUAUUUGAUGCAAAUCCCUGCUGCUAAUUUUAUGUAUUUGGUAGGCCUGAAUCGGAACUUAUAAACGAAGUUGUCAAUCACAUUUUAAAGAGACUGCUGGAUGAAGUGUUUCGGCCGAGUGAUAACAAAAACCAGCUGGUUGGAGUAGAAUCAAGAGUUGAGGAAAUUGAAUCUCUACUAGGUGUUGAGUCGAAAGAUGUUUACGCUUUAGGGAUUUGGGGCAUUGGUGGUAUAGGCAAAACAACAAUCGCUAGAGCUACUUUCGACAAAAUCUCUAGUGAUUUUGAAGGUUCUUGCUUCCUUGAAAAUGUUAGAGAAGAGUCACAAAAACCGGGAGGAUUAGCUUGCUUGCGACAAAAACUUAUUUCAAAUUUAUUGAAGGAUAAAAAUGUGAGUCUUGAUAUUGGUCUCAAUUUUAGAAGGCUCAGCCUCAUGAAGGUUCUGAUUGUUUUGAUGAUGUGACUUGCUUCAUCCAAUUAGAAUCUAUAAUUAGAAGUCUUGAUUGGUUGACGCCUGUGAUUCGAAUCAUAAUAACCACCAGAAAUAAACAAGUGCUUAGAAAUUGGGGGGUGAGGAAAAUAUAUGAGAUGAAGGCAUUACAAUAUCAUCAAGCUAUUGAGCUUUUUAAUCGACAUGCCUUCAAACAAAACCAUCCUGAUGUUGGUUAUGAGGAACUUUCAAGCAAAGUAAUGAAAUAUGCUCAAGGUGUUCCUUUAGCUCUUAAAGUUUUGGGUUGCUUUCUACAUAAAAGGGAAAAAGAAGUCUGGGAAAGUGCAAUAGAUAAAUUGCAAAGAAUCCUCCAUCCAAGUAUUCUAGAGGUAUUAAAAAUAAGUUAUGAUGGUUUGGACGAUAAAGAGAAAAAUAUUUUCCUUGAUGUUGCUUGUUUCUUUCAAGGUGAGCAUGUAAAUCCCAUAAUGAAAUUCUUUAAUGCAAGAGGCUUCUACCCAGAAAUAGGAAUAAGUGUUCUUGUUGAUAAGUCUCUCAUUGCUAUUGAUUCACACAAAAAGAUAGCAAUGCAUGAUUUACUACAAGAAUUGGGUAGGGAAAUUGUUCGACAAGAAUCAAUUAAUCCCAAAAACCGCAGUAGAUUAUGGCAUCAUGAGGAUAUCUAUGAAGUUCUUACAUAUAAUACGGUAAGCAGUUUGUUGUGGAUUAUUUUUUUGGAAUAUUGUAGUGUUUCUAAACUUGAUGUGAAUAUAUUUAUAUACGCUCGAACAAAUGAGUCUUAGAAUUAAUAGAAGAGUGACAAUGAUUAGAAAACAAUAGUGGUUUGAUGAUGUAGUAAUAAAUUAUAAAUGCGAUUGACAACUUGCAUAACCGUUUGCAAGCAUAAUUGAUAUAUAAAUUUGUAUAGUACACAUACAGAAUUUUUAUGUUAAGUAUUACUUGUGCUAUUAUGUUUCUUUGUGCAUUUGCAAUUGGGUAAAAGCUCGUUUAGUCCCUAUAUUUUGAAGUUAGUGCCCGUUUAGUCCCUAUAUUUUUAAAAAUACCUCAAACCAUCCCUACCAUUAAAUUAUUGACACUUUUGCCAUUAUCUUUUGUUCCUUUUAACUUAUUUUUAUAAUAUUGCCCUAUUAUAAUAAUUUUUUAGACAUUAUUAAAAAGAAAAAAAUAACCCUAUUAUAAUAAUUUUUUUGCCAUUAUCUUUUGUUCCGUUUAGUCCCUAUAUUUUUAAAAAUACCUCAAACCAUCCCUACCAUUAAAUUAUUGACACUUUUGCCAUUAUCUUUUGUUCCUUUUAACUUAUUUUUAUAAUAUUACCCUAUUAUAAUAAUUUUUUAGACAUUAUUAAAAAGAAAAAAAUAACCCUAUUAUAAUAAUUUUUUUAGACAUUAUUAAAAAGAAAAAAAUAAAUUACCAGUUUAACACCAAAAAAUAAAAUAAAAUAAAAAAAUAUAUAUUAAUUUUUGUGGAACACACUCUUGAGUUAAAAUAUUAAUUUUUCUAAAAAAAUUGAUAAUGUAAUUUUUUACGAUAUUAAUUUUUUAGACAUACGUGAGCUUCCACAAAAAUUAAUAUAUACCUUUUUUGUUUUUAUUUUAUUUUUGAGUUUAAUUUGAUAAUUUAAUUUUUUAUUAAUAUCCAAAAAAGAAACAUUAUUGUAAAAAUGUAAUAUUGUAAAAGCAAGUUAAAAAUAAUAAAAAAUAAUGGCAUAAGUGUCAAUAUUUAGUAGCAGGGACGUUUUGAGGUAUUUUUAAAAAUACAGGGACUAAAUAGAUACUAACCUCAUAAUAUAGGGACUAAACAAGCUUUUACCCUUUGCAAUUAAGAGUUUAACUGCCUAGCAAUAACAAUAAACAUGAAUGAUUGAAAUUUAAUUUGAGUAUUGAUGGAGAACCCCACUCCAAUCUGACAUAAACUCCACGCAAGGACAAAUUAAAGUUGAAUUAAUAACUAAGCUACCUUUAAUUGUGAAUGAGUGACAAACUUGCCCCAAAAAUUUGUCUUGGUGGAGCUGAAGUGUUAAUCACUAGUGGAAUAUAAAUAUCAUUUUUCAUUUGAUGUUAACUUUAUUGAUUUUUUUAUUUAUUUUUAGGGGACAGAAAAAAUUGAGGGCAUCUGUUUGGAUAUGUCAAAAGUAAAAGAGAUUCAUUUAAAUCCCAAUACUUUCACAAAGAUGCGUAAAUUGAGAUUUUUAAAAUUCUAUAGUUCAUCAUUCAAUGGGGAGAACAAAUGCAAGGUGUCUUAUUUGCAAGACCUCGGAUUUGCUGAAGUGAAAUAUCUUCACUGGUAUGGAUAUCCGUUGAAGUCAUUACCUUCAAAGCUUAGUGCAGAGAAGCUUGUGUUUCUUGAAGUGCCUAAUAGCGACAUUGAACAACUUUGGAAUGGUGUGAAGGUAUGUUUAUCUUAAUAUAUGUGCAAUCUUUCAAUAAGAACGUUAAAUUAUCAUACAUAGUAAUGAUUUUAUCUUUGCCUCUUUUUUGACCGAGCAGCAUUAUAGUAAGUUAAACCAGCUAAUCCAUGCUGCCUGCAAGAAGCUAAUUGCCAAAACUCUAAACCCCACGUUGAUUCCACAUCUGAACAAGCUAGUUAUCUUGAAUCUAAGCGGUAGCAAAAGCCUGAAAAGUCUUCCAGCUGGAAUAUUUAAUUUGGAAUUUCUUACUGAACUUGAUCUUUCGGGUUGUUCAAAGCUGAAGAGGCUUCCAGAGAUCUCAUCUGGUAACAUAGGCAAGCUAUUUUUAAGUGGAACUGCAAUUGAAGAACUACCCUCAUCAUUUGAGCUUCUACUUAGGCUUUGGUUGUUAGACCUUUCAGAUUGUAAAAGGCUUAAGAGUCUCCCAAGCAGCCUCUGUAAGUUGAAGUCUCUUGGACUUCUUAGUCUCCGUGGUUGCUCAAAUCUUCAGAGAUUGCCCGAAUGUCUUGGCCAGUUAUCGUCGCCAUUAAUAUUGAAUCUAGUAAGAACCAAUAUUGAGAGAAUACCAGAAAGCAUUAUCCAACUAUUUAUGUUGCGAUACAUCCUCUUAAAUUAUUGUGAGGGGCUUCAAUCCUUACAAAAGCCUCUAUUCCUUGUACGAUGGCUAGAUGCCGAUUAUUGCUCGGCACUACAAUCAUUGAUAGGUUUAUUCUCUAAGUUCUGAAUCUUAUAGGCAGUGUUUUUUUACUAGAGCAAUAAUUUUUAAUUGGAAGGUAAUUCUACUGCAGAAAUUAUUGAAGAUGCCUUGAGAAUUCAGCAUAUGGGUAUGGUAGCUGCUCGUGGUAAAGAAUUACGGGAAAAGGUGUGUCUUAAUCUUUCUCCUUACAAUUUAUACCUUUUUUUUGGGUUUAAAAUUUUGAUUUUUUGGUAUAGAGAGGUUUUCCCAAGGAAGGCCAUUUCGUACUAGCUGGGAAUGAAAUUCCAAGGUGGUUUAAUUUUCAAAGUGUGGGAUCUUUUAUAACCUUAGAGAUGGCCCCAGAUUUCUUCAAUAACAACAGAGUACUGGGCUUUGCAUUUGGUGCUAUUUUAGCAUUUUCAGACCGUCAUGUUGAUUGUGGCAGAUGGUUUUCAUUUUCUUGUGAGCUCAAAGUGAAAACCACCAAAGAUGGUGAUCCGCAUGACAUACAGUUAUUUGAGAGCAGAGUUCAUUAUGUAGAAUCAGAUCACUUACAUUUAGGGUACUAUCUGUUCUGUGAAGAGGAUUUUAACGGUUUUUGGAAAUGCAAUUGCAUUCCUGAGGCAGUACACUUUAAUGUUUUUCCACCUUUGAAGUGUAAGUGCUGCGGGGUGAAAAAAUGUGGGAUCCAUUUAUUUCACAUACUAGAUUCUACGAAUUCAAUGGAAGAUCCAAACACAUAUUUUAUCUACAACAAAGAAGAAUGAGAUUUUCAUAAAUGUAUUUUUAUAGUUUUCCUCUUUCUAAUCACUCUUAAUAGUAGGAGAAAAUGUCAAAAUCAGUUCUUGGAACAAAACACUCAUGUAAUAACUUUCGAGGGAUCUAGUGCACGUAACACAAAAUUCACACUAGAGUAUUGAACUUUACCUUAUUAGAUGAAGGGUACAAUGUACGGAAAGCACAUGAUGUAUAUUGUAAAAUUAAAAUUAUUGGCCUUCUUUCUUGCUUUGCACACACCAUCGAUAAUGAUUUUGUUAUUUAACUUUGCAACCCAAAACGCAUCUACUUAGGUGAGCAUGUGACUUAUAAACUAGUGAAAAAAACUCACUUGCCAACGGCAUGGAAUAUUACAGGACAUGCAACAAGUUCUUACAGAGUAUGCUAUUCGCCCAUAUCUCAACCAAUGAAAACAUGCCACUCAUCCCAUUGUGCACUACAUCAACUCUCCUGUAUAUAACGCAAUCACAUUUGAAAAUUUUCUACUUUGUUAAAUCUAAAUUGUUGUAUAUGGGAAAGUUGCAUCAUGUGGAAGUAAAAGCAAUAAAGAGGGAACAGUUAAACUCCGUCAAAUCUUAUAUAUUUUAAAAAACAUAUUUGUAUAUUGAUUUAAAAAAAAAAGAACAGGAUAGGUGUCAUUUUCACCCAACUCAUUUUUUCUGUGAAUCAGUUUGCUUAAACAUCUAUUUUGGGGUGAAAAACAUCAUGAUCAGGCACACAUGAGCACACCCCUCAGCCUAAAAUGACUCCUCGAGAAAGAUUAUCCCCAAUGAGUGUGUGGCUGGUCACAUGAGCAAAGUCGGCUUGAGGAUGCAGGAGAAGAGACCAGAAUUAAGUCAAAUCGAAGACUUGGUUAAAGGUCAACCAGUGGGUUUCCUCCAAAGAAUUCGAGCAUGACGCCCACUCACCCGCAGUUACGCUGCCUACUCUUCCACGGUUAUGUGACCAACCCAGCAACGGUGUUGGGGAAGAGAGAAGGCCAAUAAUUUUGGUUGGAUAUUAAAGCUUUAGAGAACGAAGGUAAGGGGUUUAGAUAACUUUUUACUUAAUUUUCUCAUGCUCUCUCUAUUCACAAUUUUAUCUUCUCUAUCUUUUUUUUUCUGAAAUUAAACCUUUUUUCAUUCAGAGUAAUUGUAAUUAAGUCACGUGAAUCAUUUCACAAAUUUUUCCAAGUAGACCCAGAUCGCUCACGUGAGCGUCGUAGGGUUUACGCCGGAAAAACUUCAGGUAGCCCCAAUAGCGGCUCGACCUCUAGGGAACUUAGGCGGUUGCCUAGGGCCCCACUUUACAUGAAGCCCCAUGAGAUGAUUAUUUUGUAUGUAAAAGGGGAAAAAGAAUUUAAAAGUCAUUAUUAUACAUUUGAUUUAUUAUUAUUUUGUAAUUAUCUUUUCCCAAAUAAAUUAUCAAAUUCCUAUAAAGUUUAUUUAAUGUAGUACUUAGUAGUUUUAAUUCUUACAAAACUGAUAAAUUAAUAGUUUCAAUCCUACAAAUUCUCUAUUUCAUUGUUAGAAUUAAUACGUUAUAAUUAAAAAGUUUUAUAUUCAUUUUAAACCUCUAUAAAAGCCCCACAUUUUAUUAUUUAUCCAUUAAAUUUUUCCUCCAACAAUCAAGACACGAUAUGUUCUAGGUGUUUGAGAGAGAGAAAGAAAGAAAGAGAGAGGGAAAAAAAUCCUGCUUCCUCUACUUUCCACUCAAGAAGAAAAAGAAAAAAUCUAAUAGUUUUCUCUAUUCUCUAUGGUUAUUGAUCAUUACUCAGAUCCUCAAACAAUUAAUAUAAAGAUAAAGUUAAUUUAUGAUUUCAUCUCAAAUUCCAGAUUUGAUUUUUUUAUUAUUCUCUUAAUUAGUUGUGUUAUUUAUUUGUUCUUAUUUCUUUUUAAUAUAUUCUUUUAUUCAUCUAUAUUUUUGUGUGUGCUUAUUUUAUCUAUUUUGAAAUAAAACUAUGUUGAAAAACUUUAGAAAAUAGAAGAAUAGAAAAAUUAGUUUAAUCCAGAAAAGGAGUAGUAAAAAAGAUGUAAUUUGAGUUAAAAAAACAAUAAGUGAAAAUGUUAUAAUUGAAUUAAAAUUUCAUGGAUUAGCAAUAGUAGAAUAGAAUUUUAUUUAAUAAUUUUACAUUUGAGAGUGUUUAAAGAAUUGAUUUUCAAUAAAUAAUAUAUAACAUAUAUAUGUGUGUGUGUGUGUGUGUGCGUGUGUGUUGUCCUAAAUUUUAAGAAGAACUAAUUAAAACCAUUUGCUUAAGGCCCCAAAUAUGGUUGAGCUGGCCCUAGGCAGCCCCUAACUAGUUGUUAUCAACAUAGGUGUUCUUACAGAAAGUACUCAAGGUCGCAGGAACUUGUUCAAUAGUGAGGAAGUAGCACAGAACCGUCUCUCCAAUACAACAAAUUUAAGUGUUGGCGUGGUUGUCUGGUCGCUACAUAGCUCAACUAGAUUUCUAUAUCAACAAACAUGUAUCCACUCUUUCAAGUAUUUAUACCAAUUCUAUAUUCGAAAUGUUUCAUUUGAUUCCAUAGUUGACGUGGUAUCAUCUAUGGCUAGAAUUUACCUUUAAAAAACUAGCUUGUAAGGAAAGGUUAAAGAUGCCCAUGAGCAUAUAUUUCUAUUUAGAUUAUUGUAUCUUUUUCAUUGGAAAAAUUGAAUCUUAUCAUUCACAUAUCACUAACAUGAGCAAUAUAGAUUAAUAAAUCAUUGUUCUUUAUUAUUGUGCUAAAUUUGACUUUUUAUUGAAUAAUUUGGUACAUUUCUUGAAUCAAUUUGGAGCUUCUACAACUUGUUAGGGAUCAGUUUCUCCUACAUUCUUUCGAUGCCAAAAGAUAUUCAAGCGGUUGAAUAAGAAUUGAUAUAUACGAUAUAAAUACAAGAGUUGUUUGCCAUUUUACAUUAGGAAUAAUAUAAAAUGCUCAUCAAAACUUGCUGAUGAGAAAGCAAAUUCCUCAGCACUUAAAUGUUUCAGCCAACCGAGAAAGCAGCUUUUCAUGGAUCUCCUUGGGUCUGUCGUUAUAGGGAUGAUGUCCUACUCCUUCCAAUACAAUUAACUUGCACAUUUGAGAGUUAAGAAUGUAGAAAUGAGUAUUAACCAGCAGGUCCAUCAAAGAGGGUGAAUGGAUCCUCAACACACAUAAAACUAGUAUAGGUAUAUAGAUUGAUGGCAUCAAUUGCACUAGGUUCGGCCCUGGUAGGCCUAUCACAAUCGAAACAAAUGCAUUAAGCGCCUAUUCGUUAUUGGUGGGUUCUCGUAUGAUUUGUAGUUUUGAGGUCAAUUAUGAAUUCUGAGUAGCCGUUUUUGUAAGAAGUUAAAAUGGCACAUUAGUGGAGAAUAUUAGGGCCUGUUCGGUAACAUUUUAUGGGCCCUGUUUUCAUUUUCCUUCUAUGAAUUUAAGUUAAUACGCGAUCGAUGGGCGAAAUUCAAAAAAAAAAUUGUAAAACAAAUAAUUCAUACCUUCUUUUAUAGUUAUAAAUUUGAGAACGUGCUUCGGCCGCGUGAUAACAAAAGCCAGCUGGUUGGAGUAGAAUCAAGAGUUGAGGAAAUUGAAUCUCUACUAAGUGUUGAGUCGAAUGAUGUUUAUGCUUUAGGGAUUUGGGGCAUUGGUGGUACAGGUAAAACAACAAUCGCUAGAGAUUGUUCAAGGUGUUCCUUUAGCUCUUAAAGUUUUGGGUUGCUUUCUAUAUGAAAGGGAAAAAGAAGUCUGGGAAAGUGCAAUAAAUAAAUUGUAAAGAAUCCUCCAUCCAAGUAUUCUAGAGGUAUUAAAAAUAAGCUAUGAUGGUUUGGAUAAUAAAGAGAAAAAUAUUUUCCUUGAUGCUGCUUGUUUCUUUCAAGGUGAGGAUGUAAAUCUAGUAAUGAAAUUCCUUAUUGCAAGUGGCUGCUACCUAGAAAUAGGAAUAAGUGUUCUCGUUGAUAAGUCUCUUAUUGUCAUAUCAAAUAACAACAAGAUAACUAUGCAUGAUUUGCUACAAGAAUUGGGCAGGGAUAUUGUCAGUCAAGAAUCAAAUGAUCCUGGAAGCCGCAGUUGAUUGUGGCAUCAUGAGGAUAUCUACAAAGUUCUUACAUAUAAUACGGUAAGCAAUUUGUUGUGGAUUAUUACUUUGGAAUAUUCUAGCAUUUACAAACUUGAUAUGGAUAUAUUUAUAUACUCUCGAAUUGAUGAAUCUAGAAUUAACAGAAGAGUGACAAUGAUUAGAAAAACAAUAGUGGUUAUAAAUGCCGUGACAACUUGUAUAAUUCUUUGCAAGGAUAGUUUAUUUGUCAAUUUGUAUAGUAUCCCACAUGCAUAAAUUUCAUGUUUAGUAUUACUUGUAUUAUUAUGUUCCUUUGUGCGUUUGCAAUUAAGAGUUUCACUGCUUAGCAAUAACUAUAUAAACAUGAAUUACUGAAAUUGAUUAGAGCAAUGAUAAAGAACUCCACUCCAAUCCCACCUCAAUUCCACAUAAGAGUAAAAAAAUGUUGAAUUAAUAACUAAGUUACCCCUAGUUCUGAAUCAAUGCCAAACAUGCCCCAAAAAUUUGUCUUGGUGGGGUUGAGGUGCAAUUCAUUGGCGGGAUAUAAAUAUAACUUUUUUAUUAUUAUUAUUAGGGGACUGACAAAGUUGAGGGCAUCUGUUUGAAUAUGUCUAAAGUAAAAUAGAUCCAUCUAAAUCCCAAUACAUUCACAAAGAUGCAGAAAUUGAGAUUUUUAAAAUUCUAUAGCUUGUCAUUCAAUGGAGAGAACUAUAAGGUGUCUUAUUUGCAAGAUCCUAGAUUUACUGAAGUGAAGUAUCUCCACUGACAUGGAUAUCCAUUGAAGUCAUUGUCUUGAAACAUUAGUGCAGAGAAGCUUGUUGUUGAAUAUGAACUGCAAAUCAGUUUAUAGUCAAGUGCGACAAGUCGGUUGAAGAUUUUUCAACACCAUGACAUGUCGGUUGACAGUCGUGACAUUUGCUAUAUGACAAGAAUACCGUGUCAUCUGUGUGUGCAAAGAAGGCAUGUGGUUUGCACGUGAUUCACUUAAACAAAACGGCUGCUUGAACUGUCGUUUUAUUCCUUAGAAUAACAGAGAUGAAGACACGUGGGAUGGAGGCUAAUCAGAAGUCUGUUAAGCCGUUAAUUAGCGCCGGAAGCCGCUGUUCUUCUUCACGGAAAACAGGGGAAGCUUGCUGGUGAUUGAGAGUCCUCCUUGAUCAAGCAUUGCCUAUAUAUAUAGCUGGGUACUCUAGAAUAAGUCAUGUUGUUCAUGUGUGGUUAGCUUCUCUAAUAAGCUUGUACUCUGUAAGACACUCGUUCAAUACAAACUUGGAUUCAUCUUUUCACAGUGGACGUAGGCUUCCAUAGCCGAACCAGUAUAAGCUUUCUUGUGUUGUCCUUUCUGUUCUUAAAAUUCUUUCAUUGACUUGCUUUGAUUGCUUGGGUUCUUAAAGUGUUCUUUAAGCUGAGUACUGAUCACAUUAGUUUUAGAUACAAGAACCCUUCUUGAGUGGAUCUUGGGGAGCCAUUAUCGGUCCUUUACUGAUAUUUGGCACAACACUUGUGUUUCUUGGAAUGCCAAAUAGCAGCAUUGAACAACUUUGGGAUGGUGUGAAGGUAUGUAUAACUUAAUAGUUUAUGUGUGCAAUCUUUCAAUAAUAAUGUUAAGUUAUCAUACAUGGUAAUGAUUCCUCUUGGCCUCUUUUUGACCCAGCAGCAUCGUGGUAAGUUAAACCAGACAAUCCAUGCUGCCUGCAAGAUGCUAAUUGCCAAAACUCCAAACCCAACGUUGAUUCCACAUCUAAACAAGCUAGUUAUCUUGAAUCUNNNNNNNNNNNNNNNNNNNNNNNNNNNNNNNNNNNNNNNNNNNNNNNNNNNNNNNNNNNNNNNNNNNNNNNNNNNNNNNNNNNNNNNNNNNNNNNNNNNNNNNNNNNNNNNNNNNNNNNNNNNNNNNNNNNNNNNNNNNNNNNNNNNNNNNNNNNNNNNNNNNNNNNNNNNNNNNNNNNNNNNNNNNNNNNNNNNNNNNNNNNNNNNNNNNNNNNNNNNNNNNNNNNNNNNNNNNNNNNNNNNNNNNNNNNNNNNNNNNNNNNNNNNNNNNNNNNNNNNNNNNNNNNNNNNNNNNNNNNNNNNNNNNNNNNNNNNNNNNNNNNNNNNNNNNNNNNNNNNNNNNNNNNNNNNNNNNNNNNNNNNNNNNNNNNNNNNNNNNNNNNNNNNNNNNNNNNNNNNNNNNNNNNNNNNNNNNNNNNNNNNNNNNNNNNNNNNNNNNNNNNNNNNNNNNNNNNNNNNNNNNNNNNNNNNNNNNNNNNNNNNNNNNNNNNNNNNNNNNNNNNNNNNNNNNNNNNNNNNNNNNNNNNNNNNNNNNNNNNNNNNNNNNNNNNNNNNNNNNNNNNNNNNNNNNNNNNNNNNNNNNNNNNNNNNNNNNNNNNNNNNNNNNNNNNNNNNNNNNNNNNNNNNNNNNNNNNNNNNNNNNNNNNNNNNNNNNNNNNNNNNNNNNNNNNNNNNNNNNNNNNNNNNNNNNNNNNNNNNNNNNNNNNNNNNNNNNNNNNNNNNNNNNNNNNNNNNNNNNNNNNNNNNNNNNNNNNNNNNNNNNNNNNNNNNNNNNNNNNNNNNNNNNNNNNNNNNNNNNNNNNNNNNNNNNNNNNNNNNNNNNNNNNNNNNNNNNNNNNNNNNNNNNNNNNNNNNNNNNNNNNNNNNNNNNNNNNNNNNNNNNNNNNNNNNNNNNNNNNNNNNNNNNNNNNNNNNNNNNNNNNNNNNNNNNNNNNNNNNNNNNNNNNNNNNNNNNNNNNNNNNNNNNNNNNNNNNNNNNNNNNNNNNNNNNNNNNNNNNNNNNNNNNNNNNNNNNNNNNNNNNNNNNNNNNNNNNNNNNNNNNNNNNNNNNNNNNNNNNNNNNNNNNNNNNNNNNNNNNNNNNNNNNNNNNNNNNNNNNNNNNNNNNNNNNNNNNNNNNNNNNNNNNNNNNNNNNNNNNNNNNNNNNNNNNNNNNNNNNNNNNNNNNNNNNNNNNNNNNNNNNNNNNNNNNNNNNNNNNNNNNNNNNNNNNNNNNNNNNNNNNNNNNNNNNNNNNNNNNNNNNNNNNNNNNNNNNNNNNNNNNNNNNNNNNNNNNNNNNNNNNNNNNNNNNNNNNNNNNNNNNNNNNNNNNNNNNNNNNNNNNNNNNNNNNNNNNNNNNNNNNNNNNNNNNNNNNNNNNNNNNNNNNNNNNNNNNNNNNNNNNNNNNNNNNNNNNNNNNNNNNNNNNNNNNNNNNNNNNNNNNNNNNNNNNNNNNNNNNNNNNNNNNNNNNNNNNNNNNNNNNNNNNNNNNNNNNNNNNNNNNNNNNNNNNNNNNNNNNNNNNNNNNNNNNNNNNNNNNNNNNNNNNNNNNNNNNNNNNNNNNNNNNNNNNNNNNNNNNNNNNNNNNNNNNNNNNNNNNNNNNNNNNNNNNNNNNNNNNNNNNNNNNNNNNNNNNNNNNNNNNNNNNNNNNNNNNNNNNNNNNNNNNNNNNNNNNNNNNNNNNNNNNNNNNNNNNNNNNNNNNNNNNNNNNNNNNNNNNNNNNNNNNNNNNNNNNNNNNNNNNNNNNNNNNNNNNNNNNNNNNNNNNNNNNNNNNNNNNNNNNNNNNNNNNNNNNNNNNNNNNNNNNNNNNNNNNNNNNNNNNNNNNNNNNNNNNNNNNNNNNNNNNNNNNNNNNNNNNNNNNNNNNNNNNNNNNNNNNNNNNNNNNNNNNNNNNNNNNNNNNNNNNNNNNNNNNNNNNNNNNNNNNNNNNNNNNNNNNNNNNNNNNNNNNNNNNNNNNUAAAAUUUAUUAUAUCUUAAUAAUUUUAUCAAAAUUAUUAUUUAAAAUUUAUAUUUACUAUAUAUUAUUAACUUUUGUUUCAUAAUUACAGCUUUUUUUUCACAGCAGCUGUAACUUUUAAGCUACAGCACCUCAAUCCCAAACGCACCCUAAGAGGUAGCAAAAGCCUGAAAAGUCUUCCAGCUGGAAUUUUUAAUUUGGAAUUUCUUAUAACACUUGAUCUUUCGGGGUGCUCAAAACUUAAGAGGCUUCCAGAGAUCUGAUCUAGUAAUAUAGGCUGCCUUUUUUUUGAGUGGAACUGCAAUUGGAGAAAUGACUUUAUCAAUUGAGCUUCUACUUAGGCUGGGGUACUUGGACCUUUCAGACUGUAAAAGGCUUAAGACUCUCCCAAGCAGCCUAUGUAAGUUGAAAUCUCUUGAAAUUCUUGAUCUCAGUGGUUACUCAAAUCUUCAGAGAUUGCCCGAAUGUCUUGGCCAGUUAUCCUCGCCAAUAUUAUUGAAUCUAGCGAAAACCAAUAUUGAGAGAAUACCAGAAAGCUUCUGUGUUGACUUACCUCCGCUUAAGCUAUUGUGAGAGGCUUCAAUCCAUACCAAAGCUUCCAUUCCUUAUAUGAUGGUUAGAUGCCGAUAAUUGCACAUCGCUGCAAUCAUUAUCAGGUUUAUUCUCAAGUUCUGAAUCUUAUAUGUAAGCAGUGUUUUUUGACUAGAGCAAUAAUUUUAAAUCGGAUGGUAAUUCUACUGCAGGAAUUGUUGAAGAUGCCCUGCAGAGAAUUCAGCUUAUGGCAGCUGCCUGUUGGAAAGAAGUACAGGAAAAGGUGUGUUUUUAACUCUCUUCUUUCAAUUUAUAUAAUUUUGUUUUUUGAGUUAUGAUUUUUUUUUUUUACAGAUUCAUUUUCACAUGAACGGAGGUCAAAUCUUACUACUCGGGAAUGAAAUUCCGAAGUGGUUUGAGUUUCAAAGUGUGGGAUCUUUUAUAACCUUGGAGAUGCGAUCAGAUUCCUUCAAUAAUAACCGAGUACUACUGGGCUUUGCAUUUAGUGCUAUUGUAGAAUUUUAAUGGUUUUUGGAAAUACAAUUGCGUUCCUGAGGCGGUCCGCUUCUUUUAUGAUGAUUUUGAUCGUUUUCCACCUUUGGAUUGCGAGUGCUGCGGGGUGAAAAAAUGUGGGGUCCAUUUACUUUACAUCCCAGAUUCUACGGAUUCAAUGGAAGUUCCAAGCAGAUGUUUCAACUGUUACGAAGAAGGCUUAAGAUUUUCAUGAAUGUAAUUUUAUUUUUUUCUCUUUUGCUAAUCACUAUUAAUAAUUAAAAAAAAAAAGCCAAGAUUAGUCUUGGAACAAAACAUGCAUGUAAUAAUUUUCGAGGGACGUGGUGCAUGUAAUAUUAGAUGAAGGGUAUAGUGAAAGCACGUAUUUAGCAUUGUAAAAUUACUGGCCUUCUUUUCCUGCAGAUUUAAUCUACUUGGCGUGUUAUUUUUUUCCCUAUUUUUUUUUUAAAUGCAGGUGUUUCAUUCAUGAUAUUUUAGGAUAACGAAAAAUGGACUGAAUAGAGAGAAGAGACUUCGUUUCACAUCUUCAAAGAUUGCAUCUGCAAUUGGCCUUUGCUUCAACAAAGGAUCUAUUAGCCAAAGCAAUGGAAACAAUAGCUUGAUUCUCCAAUCGUCAACAAUGCCUUGUAGUUUAUGCCGCCAGCAUAAUUCAACAGAACAAGCCCUCUAACAAGUAUUUGUAUGUAUGUAUGAUCAUUCAUUCUCAAUCAACCUCCAAACUGAUGUCAACAAAGCCAUGAGGAUUGUCUCACAAGUCUUUCAUUUUCCCUCUCUUUUGGCCGGAGACCAGCAAACCAUUUGAAAUAUGGAUGUGCAAACCAGUAAAUAAAUCAUGAAGUUACACACUAGUCUGCUUUCGCACUCAUUCGGAACUAUAAUUGAUACUUACUGUAGGUCAACGCUGACCUGAGCUGAGAGACUGAAGAAUCCAAAGGCUCAUAACUCCCAAGUCUCUGCACAAAACCAUGUAUAACCAAUGGUCUGCGCAUCCGCCUGUUUUUUUUUUUUUUUUCUGGGGGGAAAGGAACAGAGAAGUACAAGUCAAAAAGGAGAAAAAAUGAAAACAGAGAGACAAAAAGGAAUGCAAUCUAAUUAAUCGUCUAAGGAGGCUACUAUGCUACAUUUAGCCAUUGGUUGAAUAAGCAGCUUGUCUUCUAGUAUAACUUUAAAUUUACCAAGAUUGAGAAUUUUCCUUCUGAAGAAAAGUAAUUUCUAUAGCAGCUAUUACCAUCUUCAUCCCAACGGUAAGCAGCUCCAUACUAAGGAAAGAGUGAAAUCGGUAUGCUUUACUUAUAGAAGCCCGUUCCUGUCCAGAGUGAUUAGUAAAUUGUUUCACCAUGACCCCCAUUAUGGUGACUGGAAAAAGAAAAAAAAAAAAUAUUUGCCCAACACAGAAGUAGCACCCAAGAAGUCCUACUUAAGAGGCUUCAUACCCUGCACAAAUUGGAAAGUUUUUUAAAAUUUUCAUGUUCCAAAUGAAGAUUGCCCAUUAAAAAAUUACACACAUAAUGUAUGUAAAGCAAUUAAAAAAGAAAAACAAGGAUAACCCAGAAACAAUCCAACCAUCAAUAACAUAAAACUUUUGUAAUUCUGGUAAAGUGAAUGAGAAGCAAAACAUACAUUUCACGUAAUAAUGAAGAUACAUCUUUUAAUCAGUUUUUGCUCUUGCUUUACUCUCGAACUUCCUUCCAAUAACAUAUGUAGAUACGUAUCUUCAAAAUUUAUAUCAUACAUUUCUCUUAUCAAUGAAGCAGGUUGCUAUUGAACAUUAUUCAUAAACAAAGAGCCAAAUAUGCUUUAAAGCUACUUGCAAAGAUGCCAUCAGGCAUUGAGACAGAGUGACGACAGACACUCGACAACAAAAACAGACUUAUCAGCACUUAACAACACAAAAGUAAAAAAGAAAAUACUCUUACUCAAGUAUUAUAUUUGUUGCACAAAUAAGAAAGAAGAUAACAAUUUUAAAUUAACCAACAGGUUGAAUCUUAUCGUAAUACACACUAUCAGCUAUGAAUUAGCAUACCUUAGAAGUCCUGAACUAAUUCACUGCCAUUCGAAGAGAAUCAUCCGACAGAAUCAACCGCGACAAUGCUCCAGUGCUUAACCUGCCACAUUUAUAAGAGAUCACCAUAUGAGAAAAAUUGAACGGUUGAGAUAGAAUUUGAGCGGCCAACGCCAUCAUCAAUUUCAAUUUCCCUCACUGUGUAUUCGAUGAUGAAAGCAAAGCCUCGUACUAGUAAAACAUUCUUAUAGCAGGCCCAGCCCAAUCCAGCCCAGUCUAGGAAGCGAGCAAUGUUAUUGUUUUAUUAUUUUUGAACUCGUGGUGGCUCUGUAUUAUUUGCAAAUUAUUUGCAAAAUACUUUUAUAAGGGAGAGGGAUAUAUUUUAUGCUGGAAUAUUUUCAAAAUAAAUGGUGCUUUAAAAAUUUGUCCGACUGUAAAGAUAUGUCUAAUUAAACAGUGUCAUAUAUAAUAAAAACGUAUCCUUUUAUUUAAAGAUGCAUCCAUUCAUGAUUUCAUGUUUCAAUUUGAAUUGAUGAUAGUUUAUUUUGGACCAGUGAUGAUCUAAUUCAAAUUUUGAUUUAAUAACCAUGAAUGAAAUAACCACUUUCUAUUAGUUCUCUUAAAAUUUAUUAAGGAAUCUAUGUUAAAGGCCAUUUCAUCCUUUAGUGUUGUAGAAAAUACAUUUUACAUUCUAAAAUUAAAAAUGACCUUCUUUUAAAUAAAAUUUUGAAACAAAUGCCUCUAACUAAGGAAGAAAUUUUAGAAUACAUCAGAAGUACCAUGUCCGUCAUACAAUAAAUGAAUCAUGCUACGACACAUGUGUCCUUAUUUUAAAAAACUAUCAUUCAAAUGGUGGUUAUAUGGAAUCUAAAUAUGUACAUAUCAUACAUGACACAAACCGCCUCAACCCUUGGAUAUGGGGUGAAUCAUGCAAUUUUAUAUUUAAAGCUCAUGACAUAAACUUAAUUCAUGAAUAUAUAACACUAGCCUUGGCCUUUGUUAUAAACAUAUAAUAAUCUAUGUGCCUCAUUAAAAAAUAUUUUAAAAACUUACACAGUUCAUAUUUCACUGUACAUACAUACACUUCGGAUAUAUAUACAUAUAAACAUAAACGUGGUCAAAAUGUAAGUCAUGCAGUAAUGCGUGUCGUGGCCCAACCUCAAUUGAUCAGAAAUUGAACUACACGAAAUCCUAUGGAAACCUUAGAGAAAUGGGGUAAAUAGGAAAAUAGUAAGCUUGCGGCUCAAUGAAUGAAUAUAAUUAUAUAUAUAAAUAAAUUAGUGCUUAAGUGCUCGUCAUAAUUGUAUGACAUAACUUUACACUGAACGCUUUACAAAAGCAAACAUGAACUCAUAUAUACAUAAAUGACAAAAUUGCACCAAAUAAUAUACAAGGGAAAUAACUCUCAAUACUCACUGGGAUCAUCAUCGCAUGAGUAAAAAGGGGGAAAAACCUCUCAAUACUCAGCAGAAUUAACAACAUCACAAGGGCUGAGUAAUUUAACUCUCAAUACGCAUGCGUAGAGCCGAUGGGGAAGGGUACACAUAUGGUGCCUGUCAAUCACACCUCAUGACUCAAUCAAUCAUAUAAUGUACGUACAUAUAAUCAUAACUUUAUAUUAAAUCAUACUAUCAAACAUAAAUACUUUGUAGAAUACAUAAUAGUAAUAAUAAUAAUCCACUCUCAUAUCCUAUUGGUGAAGCACGCACGUGCUUUGCUUUAAGCUAACAGCUUGCUAUUGCUUUGACAAUUAGCCACAUGUGCCUCCUUUUAGCUUGCACGUCCAUCACAAUACAUGCAUUAGAAUUGGUUGUAUUAUCAUAGGUGAAGCAUGAAUGUGCUUUGCUUUAAGCUAACAGCUUGCUAUUGCUUUGACNN